rnacentral:lncRNA from 1 species
UAUGGGGUGGUACAGGUGAAACUUGUGGUUGGUGUUGAAAAAGAAGUGAAAAGCCUUACCAGCCACCUUGAAGCCAUUCAAGUUGUGCUCGAUGAUGCAGAGGAAAAGCAAGUGAAGGACAAAGCUGUUAGUCUUUGGCUGGGUAGGCUCAAGUACGCAUCCUACGACAUUGAAGAUGUGUUGGAUGAGUGGAUCACAGCAAGACGCAAAUUGCAAAUUGAGGGUGGCGUUGAUGAAAAUGCUCUUGUUGUUCCUCAUAAGAAAAAGAAGGUAUGUCUCUGCUUUCCCGGCUCUUGUUUUGGAUUCAAACAAGAAGAAUUUGGUUUCAAACAAGUCUUUCUCCGUCAUGACAUUGCCGACAAGAUCAAAGAAAUCAAUGAAGAGCUACAUGAUAUUGCCGCUCAAAAAGACAUGUUUGAUCUUGUUAAGAGUGGCAAUAAAAGUAGUGAAAGACCAAGGCGUGUACAGAGUACCUCCUUGAUUGAUGAGGAAGAGAUUUGUGGUAGAGUUGGUGAGAGGAAUGAACUCAUAAGCAAGCUGUUGCGUGAGAGUAGCGAGCAACAAAAAGGCCUCCAUAUCAUCUCAAUUGUUGGUAUGGGAGGCAUAGGGAAAACUACUCUUACACAACUAGCUUGUAAUCAUGAUGAGGUGAAGAGAAAGUUCGACAAAAUUCUGUGGGUGUGUGUAUCAGAAACUUUUGAGGAGUUUAUGGUAGCCAAAGCGAUCGUUGAAGUUUUGGAUGGUCGUGAAUCUCAUUUAGCUGAAUUCCAUUCUCUUCUUCAACAUAUUUAUGAAUCAAUUGCAGGGAAGAGCUUUCUUCUUGUCUUAGAUGAUGUGUGGGAUGGAAAUUACUUGAAAUGGGAACCAUUCUACCGUUGUCUAAAGAAUGGUCUCCAUGGAAGUAAAAUUUUAGUUACCACACGUAGUGGGUCUGUUGCAUCCACGAUGGGAUCCACAGAUAUUAUCUCCGUCAAGGAGUUAGCUGAAGAGGAAUGUUGGUUGUUGUUUAAAAAGAUAGCAUUUUUUGAUCGGUCCAUCGAGGAACGUGAAAAAUUAGAACAAAUUGGGCAAAGAAUUGUAGGCAAGUGCAAAGGUUUACCUCUUGCAGCAAAGACAAUAGGGAGUCUCAUGCGUUCUAAACAAACUGAAGAAGAGUGGAAAAGAAUUUUAAAUAGUGAUUUAUGGAAAGUAGAAGAGAUUGAGAAAGAUGUUUUGUCCUCUUUAUUGUUGAGUUAUAAUGAUUUGCCAUCUAGAGUAAAAAGAUGUUUUUCAUAUUGUGCUGUCUUUCCAAAAGACUACGAUAUAAAAAAAGACGAACUAAUCACAUUAUGGAUGGCUCAAGGUUAUCUUAGUGCGGAACAAGAUGAAGAGAUGGAGACAGUAGGUGAAGAGUAUUUUGGCAUCUUAGCUUCUCGCUUGUUUUUUCAAGAGUUUAAGAAAAGUUAUGAUAAUCGUAUUAUAGAGUGCAAGAUGCAUGGUAUGGUACAUGAUUUUGCCCGAUUUGUAAGUCAAAAUGAAUGUUUUUCGAUGGCAAUUAAUGGUAGUGAAGAACCAAACGCCACAAACUCUCUUGAUGAGAAGGUCCGUCAUUUAAUGUUAAUCUUUAGUAAAGGGGCUUCAUUACCUGUUUCCACUCGUAGAGUUAAAAGAAUGCGUACCCUCGUAAUUAACGAUAGUAGAUCAUUAAAUGGCGAGAUCCUAGAAGAAUUAUUUAGGGAAUUGACAAGUUUAAGGGCAUUAGAUUAUGGCGGAUCGCCCCACUCAAGGCCGUUGUUGACUGCGGAGGUUCCAAGAAACAUAGAAAAGCUGGUACAUUUGAGAUACCUUAAUUUGUCUUUUCAGAAAAUAGUGAAACUACCGGAGACAUUGUGCGAGUUGUAUAAUCUAGAAAAGUUAGAUAUUAGUUGUUGUUUGUAUCUUAGAGAAUUACCUGAAGGGAUUGGGAAGUUAAUAAACAUGAAGCAUUUACGAAAUAGAGGUACUAGUUCUUUAAGGUACAUGCCAGUAGGGACUGGGAGAUUAACGGGUCUUAGGACCUUGGGUCAGUUCCAGGUGAGUGCAGGAGGAGGUGUUGAUGGUAGGAAAGCAUGUAGGCUUGAAUCUCUUAAAAAAUUGGAACACCUUCAAGUAUGUGGUAUACGUAGACUGGGUGAUGUAUCAGAUGUGGGCGAGGCUAAGCGAUUAGAACUUGACAAAAAGAAAUACCUCUUCAGUUUGACCCUUGAGUUUGAUAAGAAGGAAAGAGGAGGAGAAACGAGGAAGAACGAGGACGAUCAACUUCUUCUUGAAGCCCUGCGACCACCUCUGGAUUUAAAGGAAUUAGUGAUACGGUACUACCGAGGCAACACUGUUUUCCCCAGCUGGAUGACGUCAUUAAUCAACUUAAAGAGUUUAGAUCUCUCUUCCUGCGAAAAUUGCGAGCAGCUGCCUCCUUUGGGAAAAUUGCCGUCCCUUGAAAAACUCGGCCUAUCGGACAUGAAGAGUGUGAAAAGAGUGGGUGAUGAAUUUUUGGGGAUAGAAAGUGAUCAUCAUGGCUCAUCUUCAUCUUCAUCGGUUAUUAUUGCCUUCCCCAAAUUGAAAUCACUCUCAAUUGAGUUUCUGCGCGAAUUGGAGGAGUGGGAUUAUGGGAUUACAAGAACGGGAAACACCGUCAUCAACAUCAUGCCACGUCUUUCUUCAUUGACAAUUGUUGAUUGCACCAAAUUAAAGGCACUGCCCAACCACAUUCAUCAAACGACAACGUUGAAGGAAUUGUGCAUUGUGGAUUGUGAGCUUCUGGAAGAACGUUACCGCAAGGGGGAAGGAGAAGACUGGCCUAAGAUAUCACACAUUCCCAACAUAGAUAUUUUUUAAGAAGGAUUUGCGCAUUCGAGAUUUGGCGUUGACAAGUAAUUUCUUCUCUUACUCUGAUUUGCUUUGUUGUUGUUUUUAAUCUAAUUAAGAAGCGUAAAUAGCAUUUUGAAUCAAACUCUAUAUCCGAAAUCUGCAAUACAUACUUUCUAAUAUUCUGAUUUUCAUAUCCUACCAUUUUUAAUUUGUGAGAUGGGUAACGUUACUGUAAAAGAUUAUUAAUGGAACAUGAGUAAUUCUUUUGCAGGACAAGUGACCUACAUUUAGUUUGGCUUUGGAGUUGAAUAAUAACCUUUCAAGGCCAGGACCCAAAAGCAGGAAAAACAAAAAAAGGAACGAAGCUUAAUUUUGCCACAGAUUACAUGUAUUGCCAUUAUUGACAAGUUUCUGGACAAGUGAUCAAGGGUGAGAGUGGUGCUACAACAUUGAAUAAAGCAGUCGUGACUGAAUUUAGGUUGUGUCAAAAGUGGUAAAUUAUUUGCAUGUGUAGCUAAUUUGACCAUUUCCUGAUCUAUAAGUCUAUAUUAAUUUUGAUUUUUAGUUGAGUGAUUACAUUUCAAGGUUUGCUUACUUAACAGGGCGACCAAUUUCUUUUAACUAAAUGUAUUAUAUGAUGCAGGAAGCAAGGCAGGAUAUGAAAUAAGAAGCUUAUUAAUGGCAGUUGGCAGUGAAUGGAGGCCCUUGACUAAAUUCUCAAGCGGUUGCACUGCAAUUACGCUUAUCCGUAGCCUCAGGUAAUUUCUUCUUCUGCAUUUUUGUAAUUUGUUAUCUAAUUAAGGGGCGUGAGCUAUUUUGAAUCAAAUUCUAUAUCAGGAAUAUAUGCAACAUUUUUUAAAAUUUUGAUAUGAGAGUAAUGAUGGUAAUUUCUCUUUUUUGUCUGUCAUCGAAUGUUAAAUAACAUUCACUAAGACUCUUGAGAGUCAUUUUUUGACAAUUGCAGGACAAGCGACGAAGAGUGAGAAUGGUGUUAGAUUGGGGAUUGAGGCAAAAGGAGGUAAAUUAUUGGCAGAGAAUUUGGGAGCUUGAGUGUACAGGGAUUUGCAAUUACAAUCUUACUCUGCCUUAGGUGAUUUCUUCUCCUGCUUUGUCAUUGGUUGUUCUCUAGUUGAAAAGCAUAAAGUAUUUCAAUCAAAUUCUAUACCAAGAAUAUGCAAAACUUUAUUUCCAUCUGUUUGCAUUGAUAACUUUGCGGCAUAUGCGCUAGUUAAAGAACAAACAGAAACAGAGGUCAGGAACAAGUUUCCUCUGCCGUCAUAUUUGAAAAUGCAACCAUUUCCGGGAAGUAGUUGGCAGCAAAUUCAUAUAAAGUGUAGACAAUAAUGAGCAAAAAGGUGAUUCACAAUUUUAUUUUUUUUAAAUUAAUUGUUAGGUUGGAGUUGUUAAAAGGCCAUUGAGCUAACCUAUGUCAUUAGUUACCUAGAUUGCAGGGGGUCCCGAGACUCCAAAGAAGCAUUGAAUUUUAAAAGGCAUGCAAUAAUUCUUGUGGGCGUAUGAGUUUGAUUUAGAAUCAAACUCUAGAUCAGAAAUCUGCAAUGCAUAUUUUCUAAUAUUCUGAUUUUCAUAUCCUACUAUUUUUAAUUUGUGAGAUGGGUAACGUUACUGUAAAAGAUUAUUAAUGUAAUAUGAGUAAUUCUUUUGCAGGACAAGUGACCUACAUUUAGUUUGGCUUUGGAGUUGAAUAAUAACCUUUCGAGGUCAGGACAACAAAAAAAUGAAUCUUAAUUUGCCACAGAUUGCACUUAUUGCCAUUAUUGACAAAUUUCUUCACAAGGGAUCAAGGGCGAGGAUGUUGAUAGAAUAUUGAAUAAAGCUGCCGUGACUGAACUUACGUUGAUGUCAAAAGAGGUAAAUUAUUGGCAUGCCUGACUAUUUUGACCAUUACAUGAACAUGAGUUUACAUUAAUUUUGAUUUUGAGUUGAGUGACUUUUUAAGGUUUGCUUACUUAACCGGGUGAUGUGAUGCAGGAAGCAGGGCAGGAUAUGAAAUGAGAAGCGUAUUAGUGGAAGUAUUGCCAGUAACAGAACCCAAAAAAAAGUGGAACCAUUUUAAGGCAGCAGUUGGCAGUUGGGAGUGAAUGGAGGCCCUUGACAAAAUUCUCAAGCAGUUGCAAUGCAAUUACGAUCAUCCUCAGCCUCAGGUAAUUUCUUCUCCUGCUUUGUUGUUAUUUGUUACCUAAUUAAGAAGCAUAAAGUAUCUUGAAUCAUUUUCUGUAUCUGGAAUAUAUGCAACAGUCUCUAAAAUUUUGAUGACUGUAAUGAUUGUAGUUUCUGCUUUCUGUCCGACAUCGAAUGUAAGACGACUUUAUUAAGACUCUUGAACCGAGACAUUUUUGACAAUUGAAGGGCAAGUGCUGAAGAGUGGGAAUGGUGCUAGAUUGGGGAAUAAAGCAAAAGGAGGUAAAUUAUUGGUAGUUUCUGCAGCCUUGUUUUCUUUGAAUCAGCACCUGAUUCACAAGACUCCAUUAAUUUGGCUUUUGAUGAGCUGAGUGAUAAAUUUUCAAUUUCUUUGGUGCUAAAUGUAUGUGUGAAGCAGGUAGCAGGGCAUGACUGUGGAAAAGAGAAGAUUUUAGUGAAAGCUGAAACUCAGAUAAUUCUACAUUUAUCUAAUUCACGAAAUUUUAUUUCCAUCUGUUACAAGAUCAAACUGAAGCAGAACUCAAAGAAAGUAAUCUACUUCUUGCGGCAAUCUUGCCUUCGCUCAGAUUAUGAAACCAUUUCCAUGCACCAAAUUCAUCCAAAAGUUUGAAUAAGUUUCAUGGUUGGACACUGUUGGCUUCUUUUUCUUUUGGGGUGCAUUUUGGUGCUACCAAGUGACAGCUGCAAGUAUGAUUGCACUAACCUGCUGCUGGGAAAUUUGAGGUUUUGAUGGCUGCCCAUGUUAUUGUCAAGAAACUCCUCAUGUAAGAAGCUGUGGUUCUUUUCAUCAGCUUGAACCUGAAACUGUUGCUAUGGAUAACUCACGUUUUUAUUCUCAACUAUAUCAUCUUUUUUAGUGUUUUGAAACUCUUAAGAUUAAACUUUGGUAAAAUGUUUUCAGUUAUCCAUGUAAUCAGGCUGAGGAUAAUUUAGUAAAGUUGUUUCCGCUAUUCAAAUGAAAAACCCCAUUGAUUUUAACCAUGAUAAAGCUAAUGUUCCCAAUGAUUACUGCAGGUGAGACUUGUGAAGAGGGUGAGUGAGGCAACUGCUAAAAUUCCUGGCUGGGAUACAGUAACUAGAGGCUGAGAUCAGGUGGUGGAAUUUUUUGUUCCGUGGAUGAUACCAGAAUUGUCCAGAAAAGAUUUGUUGAUACUAAUUACAGAUGAUAGAAAGAGGUAUAGGUGGAGAAGAGAAAUCUGCGAGUCAAAUUAGGGAUAAUUGAUUCUGAUACUAGUUAUAUUGAAAAUAAUAAUAACAAUUGCAUGAAGAUAGUCAAUAUUCUUCUCUAGAUAUAUUGUAUGGACUUCCUUGCUGCCUUUAUCUAUGUGCAUGUUGACUAAAGCUAAUCUAGAAUCAAUAGAGAGGGAUAUUUAUCUAUUUUGUUUAACAUAAGAGUGCUGUAUAAUUUUUCACUAAAUACACCUACAACAAACUAUUAAUAAUAAAGUGAUAGAAGAAUGCCUAAAAUAUAGGUAUUAAUGUCAUAAUAAGCCCAUGUGGAUCUCAGUGCCGCAAGUUCGAUAAAUGGCUAUCAAGGAUUGCUUAUUAAGUCAAAAUAUUCAAAGGACAAAAUGGUAAAACUAUAAGGGUGGAGUAAUAUGGCUAUCUUGGGUUACAUAGUAAGUCAACUACAUUCAAAGUAUAAAAUAUUAGAACCUGAACGGCGGAGUAGUCGUCGUUAGAACCUGAACGGCGGAGUAAUCGUCGUUAGAAUCUGAAUGAUAUGUCUAAGACGUUGCAUGCAUCUAGAAAAUUGCAGAUGAUUAGACCUUGCCAUCUAUGCGUUGUAUGAGGUUAUAGCAACUAUCUAUCUGGUCACCGUUUUCAAGUCUCAAUUGGUAGUCCAAACUCCAAAGAAAAGAAUGAUUCUACAAUAGCAUUAAGUGUUAAUUGGACACAAAAAGAAAUGUUUUAACCACUUUAAGGAAAGUAAAUGUAAUUUUGUGUCCUAAAGAAAAGGUAAAUGUAUGCACUGUCAAUUAAUCUUUGGUCGACCAGCAACAUCAUAAUUUUGUGUAGGUUCAUUUUUGUUUCUUAGAGUUUGUAAAAAGAAUGGGAAGAUUUUAAAAUAUAAAUUUCAUAUCUGUUUAUUACUGUUGUUUGGUCUAAUUUCUUAUGUAGAAUUUUCAGAAUCUGUAGGACAUUAGUUUAUAAUUUUGAGAUUUUGCAGCCAUAAAUGUUUUUUUUUUCUUUUUUCUUUCUUUUUUUUUUUGUUGGCAUUUUAUUUUGCUCCUUUAUCUAUGUGCAUGUUGACUGGCUGCAGUGAGUGAAAAUUUACCCAUAUAUGCUGGCUAUUCUUGGACAAUAUUAGAGAAAAUAAUCAUAUUAUUUCGCUUGAUGUGAACUUCCAUAACUUAUCAAUUGAAUUGCUGUAAAAUAUUAAAUAGUUUUAUUUUUCUUUUAUCGUGUAACUUGGACCAAAAAAGGAAAUGAGUUUAACACGACCCUCAUUCUGCUUCUUGCUUUGGUUUCAAACAAGUCUUUCUCCUUUAUGACAUUUAUUGUAAUUUCAUUUGGAGACAUAUAUCUGUCGUUCAAAUAUAUUUCAUACGUAAGCUGUUAAUAAUUCUGCUUGCAGAAAGCCUACAAAGCAGCUGUGUGAUGUAAUAGAAGACCAUAGUCUCGUCAAUUUUUCAACAUUAGAUAUUCAGGUCAUCAGCUUCUCAUGAAUUCUUUCCUGAGUUUCUUUGAAUUAUUUGUGAUGUAAUAACUUGUGCAUUUGAGAAACUGUUCUCAUGAAUUCUUUCCUGAGUUUCUUUGAAUUAUUUGUGAAUAAGUUCCUAAUCGGCUGCUUCUCCUCAGGAUAAGGAAAGUGUUGCAAACUGGUGAAGCAGCUGAUAGAUAAAAGCAAUGGGUACAUCUUUGCUGGCAUGGAUCGAUGCCAGUGCGGUUGAAUUCAGCAAGACUGCCGUUCGUGAUGUUGUUGAUUGGGAUUACAUUAAGGAUGAUGACAACAUUGAUUAAAAUGGGACGUGAAGAUAUAUGGUGUGCAAAUUAACCCAACCCAACCAAACCCGUACAUUUUAUCAACCCAACCCAACCCAACCCGUAAAAAAUCACACGGAUUAGGUUGGUUUCACGGAUUGGGCGGGUUAAUUCUAAUUUCUUUAUAAGUUUACCAAAAUUAGAUCUGCUUACCUUUGUUCAUUCAGCAACAACACUUACAAUUCACAGCUAGAGAAUCUAUCCAUUGACAAUUGUGGAUUAAAAUUAUAACACCUGAAUUCAAACAUAUCCUUAUGAAGUUAUGAAUUUGUUCAUACUUCAAAUGAUUUUUUUUUUCCAAGCUAAUAAAGCAACGACUUUGAUCAAACGACGACGUUGAAGGAAUUACGUAUUUUCAAUGUCCUUUGCCAGACAGACGCUGGAGAGAGGGAAAGGAGAAGACUGGCCUAAUUAAGAUAUCUCACAAAGAUUAUUAUUGAGUUAAAAUGUUAUUGUAAAAGAUGUUUAAUACAAUAAUAGUACUUCUUUUGCAUUGUUAUAAUGAGGCUGGCGGGUUUCCUCAGAGGAUGGAUCUGGCUCGCUAGUAUGCAUUUGGGAAGCUGCUAAUUAUCGGCCAUAAAAAGUCAGGGGGUUGUGGCUCGUCCGUCGCCCAGAAAUUCCUAAACUCAUAUAUCAAACUUCAGAUGAACUUGGGCAUUAUGUAAAUAUGUAUUUUUGAGAAUUAAACUAGUGCGUUAGAAAAAUUUUGAGCCAUUGUAAUCAUUUUAUUUUGCUAAGAGAAAAUUUUACUCUGUGUUUCGCUUUGCCUUUUGUUUUUUCUGUGAUAAUAUGAUUCAUACGAAUGUGAUUACACACUAUCAUGCAUCUAUUUUCAUUUGCUUGUCAUGAAUGAUCAACAUGCUCGAAAUAUUUAUUUAGGUUGGAAAUAUUUAAAUCUAUUAAAAUACUAUACACACCCAUUUAAAAAUAAAAAUAUGAUUAUCAUAAUGAUCGCGAAGAUAACACGAUAUCAUACAUAAAAUAAAAUAUUUCGCAAAAAAGAAAAGAUACACUUGAAUACAUUGGUAUAAAAAAUAUUUUAGUGGAUUCAAGUAGCACUAAUGCCCCCUUAUCAAAAAAUAUAUAAAGAUAACUAAUCUGAUUGGGUAUACCGUGUGUGUGUGUAAUAUUUUUUGAUAUUAUUAUAUAAUAUUUUUUAAAAAGAAGAGAGUGGGCAAAGUCCAAAUCAAUUUUCUAAUCCCUAUCUCCUUUAGGAUUUCUAGUCAAAGAGGCUAAAUUGCACGAAAUUGUGCUAGCUUAUUUGAUUUUAAAAUUUUCCAAUGCACUGUAACACACUCUCAUGCUUGUACAUAGCUCGAAAAUCUCUAGAAUUUACCAGAGUAGUGUACCAUGUAGCUUGUACAUAGGUUUUUCUGGAACACUCCAAGCGUUACUAAGCAUAAGAGCUUUGAGAACUCUCUAGACAUAAAACAUUCAAGGGUAGGCCUACCCUAAAAAUAGGGCAUGAUGAUUGCCAUUUGAGCAUACAAGAAGUAAGAACAAAUCAAGUAUAUUUGUAAGCUCCCAAACUCUCUCGUACACACUCUUGUGAAUAAUAUGCUUUCUCUUUGACUACAUUACUCUCUCUUCUCUCUAGUUUUUUUCGUAAGUAUCAUAGCUUAGCUAGUCGAAAAGUUCAAGUAGGAAUGAUAAUUUUUCCUGACAGGAUGUGGGAUCCCAUCUCAUUUGGGACGGGAUUGGGACACAUUUUUAUCCCACAAAAAAAUAUAGGGACGGGAGUAGAAAUUUUUUUAUCCCACUUGUAUAUAUGGGACAGGACUGAGAUUAACAAAUUCAGUCUCGUCCCGUCCCGUCUCAUUACCAACUAGGGAUGGAAAUUUUUCCAAUUGGGAUGGGCUCUCGCAGAAUCCCAUUUAUUUUGGGAUGCAAUUGAGACAUAUUUUUAUCCCAAAAAAAUAUAUCGAGAGUGAGACUUUUUUUUAUCCCACUUGCAUAUUCGGGACGAGACUGAGAUUAGUAAAUCUCACCCUAUCCCAUCCCAUUGCCAACCCUAAGUUCAAGGCUUACUUUGCAAUUAUCUCAUAAAAGUUGUUUUAAGUACCACAGGAGUUUGUUGUGCAAAAUACUCAUCCCGUGACAUUAGCUAAAUAAAAUUAUUUGAAAGCCACUUACCCAAACUAUUAAACAAAUAUUAUUCUUUUAAUAUGUAAUCUUUUAAUAUAAAACUUUUGUCUUAAUUUUCUAUCUCCUACAAUAAAUUUUAUGAUUUUAAAAAUUGAAAAAAUUAGUAACUUUUAGAUAGAGCAUUCCUUACUGUGAAAAGAAAUAUGAAUGGUAAUAUAAAACUUACUUAUUAUAGUAUAAUGCUUUUAGUUUUUUGAAAUAUAGGUUCUUAUUUUUUUCAAGAUAAAGUUCAAAGAAAACAAGUUAAAUGUUGUGGAAAAUCUUACGCACAUACAAUAAAUUAUGACAGCUAAAUGCAAACCUGGCUGAAGUAUUAGUUGUUUUAUUACAGAGACAAAAGGACAAUAUCACUAUCCAAGUCAAAAGCAACUCAAUGUGAGUCUUAGGGCACUCGCAGUGAAUCCCAAGAUAAACUAAUUUCACUAGCAAGUUGGAUACCAAAGAGUAAGGCUUCAGCCUCAAUUAUAUUAACAUUAGCUGAGUAAACAUUAAAUACCACAAUCAAUCUCAGAAAUCAUAAUUAAACUAUCAUGAUUAAAAAUAAAGUUUUUUUUUUAGAUAUCCGUUUGUAGUAUCUCUUUAGAUGACAAGUAGGAGAUAAAGUAAAUAAAUAUUGGUUGCGUAAAUAAAAAUAAAUAAAUUUUUUAACUGAAAAAAAAAUUCCUAAAAACUAAAUAGUUCAAACUUUUUUUAACAUGAAAUAAAUAUUUGAUGCGUAAAUAAAAAAAAUUUAACUGAAAAAAAUUCCCAAGAACUAAAUAGAUCAAACUUUUUGUUUAACAUCAUGGGUUUUGUAUAUUCAAUUGAACCGAACAACUAAAUUAAAUCGAAAUUACCAUGUUCGGUUCAAAUGAAUAGACGAAAACCGAACAGUUUAUAUUUUUAUGAACUGAUGGUGCGUUUACUUCAUGAAAUGAAAAUAUGGUGGAAUGAGAAUGUGUUAAAAUGAAAAUGAGGAAUGAGAAUGAGAUUCUAAUGUUUAUUUAGUAAAAAUAAAGGGAAAUGAGAAUGUGCUGGAAUGUCAUUGAUGUGUUUAUUUGACAAAAUAAAUGACAAAAGUAUCAAUUCGGAUCCUGCUAAUGAUAGUUUGCCAUAUCCUUUGUCAUUGAACUUUCUUACAAAUGCUGUGGUUUGUUGUAGUAUAAUUAGUUCAAUCAGAAACUUCCUUGAUGUUAAUAUAGAUAUGAGUGUGCUGUGAAUAUUGAGGACUUCAUUAGACUAAGUGAUGUGAUGAUGGAGCAUUCACUUGGUCCCAAUGGAGGUUAGUCAGCCCAUUGUUGUUUACUCUUUCUUGCUUUAUCACGCAAUGAUAUUCCUUUGCUUCACAACAAAUUUCAUGAAAUUAACUUCAAUCGAGUGGCUAUGUUCAUACGCUAUUGAGAUUUUAUGGACAAUGAUUUGGUAGACUUUAUAUGCCGUCUUCUUUCUUUUUGCAGUGAUAUGUUUGUAUGCAAUGCACUUGUACUUGUUCUAUGGUUUCUAAAGUAGGCGUUUUUAUGAUAAACUAGGUCUUGGGUAUUGUAUGGACUAUCUAGAGAAGAAUAUUGACUGGUUGCAGUCGAAAUUGGAACCACUUUUGAAAGGUAAGAAGUGGCCAUUUUCCUUCAUUCUAAUGCCAAUAAUGCUGUCAUGAGACUCAUAAAAAUUGUUAAAACGUUAAUGUUUUUGGUAUUUUGCAGAUCAUUAUCUUCUGUUUGAUUUUCCUGGCCAAGUUGAAUUAUUUUUUCUUCAUUCCAAUGCCAAGAAUGUUAUAAUGAGACUCAUAAAGAAGUUAAAUCUCAGGGUAUUGUUACAUCUUACGUCUAUGAAGGGACUCAAAGAGUUGAGAUGAAUUCAUCAUUAUUAUUUUGAUGCCAGAAUUGUGCAAUUCUCAGUUGCUUCCUUUCACAUGCAGUUGACUGCAGUGCAUCUAGUUGAUGCGCAUCUUUGCAGUGACCCCGGGAAGUAUGUUAGUGCUUUGCUUCUCUCGUUGUCGACGAUGCUACAUCUGGAAUUUCCCCCAUGUCAAUGUCUUGUCUAAGAUCGGCCUGAUUGAGAAUUAUGGAAAGCUAGGUGUGGUUUUAAGUGUAGCUCUCCUACUUGUUUGUUUAGAUUGAGAUAUCAGAUAUUGUCACAAGCUCCUAUCUGCUACAUUUCCUCACCAAUCAAUUACUUUGGGUAUGUUGCAGCUUUUAAUCUCGAGUACUAUACGGAUGUGCAAGAUUUGUCAUUUUUACAGCAUGCUCUGGGUCAGGACCCUCGUUCUGCUAAGUAUAGGUUUGAAUUCUAGCUGAAUCAAUGAUGCAAAUUAUGUCCAUUGCUAUUUCUGACUGUCGUUUCUAUCAUUUUCAAUUGUUACCUCCCCUUGCCAUCUACUGCCAUACUGCAAUGCCCACACAAAUGUUAUGAAAUUUGUCAAUGGAAAUGACAUUCUAUUUGUCCAGAGACAGCUCUUAGAUGCAAGUGAACAAUUUUUGGCUUUGGCCGUAGUACAGCCUUAGAUUUCAACUUGCCAUAUCUUGUCUCGGAAGUCAAAAGAAAGCAUAUAUGUUAGCCAAAUUUUAUUUGAAUUUCUUGUGUAACAAUGAAUGGGGAAAAAAAACAGUUCCUCUUUUGUUUUGAUCAGACUCAAUGAAUAAGUGGUUAAAAUGUGCCUGUACUAGAAAUAUAGAUGUGUGGUUUCAUAAAAUUUUCUUGAUCUUAAGAAAGAGUUAUCUUGAAAAGAAGAUAACAUGGGGAAUUGAACAACUAUACAGUCAUAUUGAUGUCUGUCAACUUGGGUCAUAUGGUGUCGUUUGGAUGGAGAUGUUAGGUCCCAGAUGGUAAACUUGUUAUCGAAUUCCAGUCUACUUCAUUCAUGCUUUGAUGACAUAUGUGGUGCAGCUUCUUAUCUAAGACCUGCAUAUGUUACAGUCAACAUUCUGUUCUGUAUUUGGCUGCCAUUCUUUUCAAUGAAUUCAAACCACUUUCUGAAUACUUGGAAAUUCAUCCAGUGUUGUCAUUGAGAUGCCAAUAUGAAAAGAAGCCAUAAUUGCCCUUGAUAGUAUGCUUAUUGAUUGCCUCUUGCCUCACUCAACCUCAGGAAUCUGCUUGUAUGGUGUUCUUCUAAUUUCAAUUGGAGAUAAAUAAUAUCUGUUGUUCAAAUAUAUUUUAUUUACAAGCUGUUAAUAAAUCUGCUUGCAGAAAGCUUACAAAGGAGCUGUGUGAUGUAAUAGAAGUCUACAGUCUGGUCAAUUUUUCAACCUUAGAUAUUCAGGUCACCAGUUUCUCUUGAAUUCUUUCUUGAGUUUCUUUGAAUUAUUUGUGAAUAAGAUCUUAGUUGACUGCUUCUCUUCAGGAUAAGGAAAGUGUGGCAAAACUUGUGAAGCUGAUAGGUAAAAGCAAUGGGUACAUCUUUGCUGGCAUGGAUGCCAGUGCAGUUGAAUUCAGCAAGAUUGCCGUUCGCGAUGUUGAUUGGGAUUAUUUCGGAUAUCCUUCUUUUCACCUAUUUUCAAUCUUGUUAUUCUCAUAUUCAUAAAACUUUUUGGUUAUUUAAUUAUGGUUCAUCAUAUGCAUCUGCAUCUUCUAACUUGUUCGUUUGAGAAACUAAUUUUGCCGUUAGGUAGGCUUCGAGCUUGAUGAGUUGAUUCAUGCUUUUUCAUAAAUGUACCAAAAUCAUGGAAACUUCUUUUUCCCAGAUAUUGUAUCCACACUUUUCCCAUAUAAUUGGGUCAGACAAGUUUUGCUUAACAAAGAUAUCUACAGUAGCCGAAGUGCAGGAGAAGUACAUUAAGGAUGAUGACGAUGUUAACUAAAAUGAGACGUGAAGAUAUGUGGUGUGCAAACCGUAAGCCUGCCUCUUAAUUUUGUGCAUGUUUACUUGCUUGUGAUUCACGUUUGUUAAUCUAUUUUGCUCUCUUGCAGGAGUUAUAAAGUUUUCAAUCAAUCAAACAUUUAACUCAAGUCCUUAGCUCUUCACGGCUUGAAUGGGUCAGAUAGGACAAGCGCCGAAGAGGUGGUUUUAAUCAAACCCCUCCUAAUUAUGAUGUAUGGUCCGAAUCUCGGACUUUUUGUACAAUAUCAAGCGAUUUUUUUUUGGUUGAAUCGGCUAGUGUACGCAAAUGUCGAUUAUUGAUUUUUCUCCAGUAUUGUUUGUAAUUACAAGAAACGAAGUAAUGAAAUUUAUCACUGCGUUCAUAGUUAUGCUUAAGCUCAAAGAUUACCGUCAAGAUCAUUUUGGGCCCUCAAAGAAACAUGAUGUUGACACAUGUAAAAUUAUGAAGCUUGUGAUUAAAAUACUUUUCACAUAUAUAUGUUAAGUUCUAUUAAUAAUUAAAUAUAUGAAUAAAUAUGGUCAAUGAGGAGAGGAUAAAAUAAAAUGGUUUCAUUUUUUGAAUUACCCAUCCGCUUCAAACUUCUAAGAAGUAGAUAUACAAUCAGUGGAAUACUGAAUUGAGUACGAGCUGCGGAUAACUUAUAAAAUUGGGAUACAAGCUUCAAGGAAAGUGUAUUGCUAUUCAAAUGUAGAUUUCAAAUUAAGAAGAUAUGCCAACAAAUUAUUCUAAAUGAUGAAAUGAGCUAUCUUGAUCAAAAGGUCAAGAACCUACCUUACUUCUCUUAGAGAUAACUUGCAUCAACCGUUGUGGUAUUGAUACUUGUCUUCAGCUAGUAAAAGUGAAAGUUUCACAAUUGAAAUAAAGCUAAGGGAAGAUGCUAUGCUCCAUUUAUUAUUAUUAUUAUUAUUGACGUGGUCGAGAAGUAAAGCCGUGCAUAUGAUGAAGUAUAAAUAAGAAUGCAAUAGCCCGGAAUUCAUUUACACAAACACUUCAAUAUCCUUUCGAUCACUUUUGCAAACAUCAAUUUGUCUCCUCUUGUAUUCACCAUGGUUGAUGCCAUCGUUUCCCCUCUCGUGGAGCAGCUGACUUCCUUCGCUGCUAAAGAGAUAAUACAACAGGUGAUCGAAGUUACACCCCCCAUAGUAUAAAUACUUCUAAUGAUUUUAAUUGGUUUUGUUUUUAUCGAAAACAUUAACUUUGCUUUAUUUUACGCAUUUAGGCAUUUUAAAUUUUGAAAUUUGAAUUGAAUUUAAUUAAAAUGUGAUUUAGUUAGUAACCACUUUUUUUUUUCAUUUAUAUUCUCAAUAACUACCCAUAUUUUGGUAACUUACUGUAACCCCCGUAUCUAAGAAAUUAUCAAAACCCACAAUUUUAACUCCACAUAAAUAUUCCAUGUUGAGCUAAGUUCGAUGUUGAGGUAAGUUUUUUGCAUAACAUUCAAAUUUGUCAAAUAGUCAUUAAUUUAAUGUUUAGUAAAAACUCAUCUCUGAAAAAUUUCAUAAUUUUCUUACAUUAUUUGAGUCUGGUAAGUGACUUCAUAUAAUUUCUUUUCAAUUUAAAUUUUAAUUUGGUUUCUGAUAUAGUCUCUUUACUGAAUUUAUAUCUUUUAUGAUUCUUGGAUUUUGGGCUCCAACUUUUUAGGAUUUGAUAGUCACAUUUUAUGGCAUGCUUAGAUUGAUGUUCAUGAUUUUUAGUACUCGUUAAGUGACUGAGAAUUUGACAAAAGUUUGAAAGGAAAUCCGUUUCACGAUUCUUAUGUGGAAGGUUCGUAAAAUCAUGAAAUUUGGAUAGGAUUCAUUAGCAAUAUGUACAAGACUGUCCAUAAAGUUUCAUAAUUUUUCAUUCGGUCGGGGGUGGUACAGGUGAAACUUGUGGUUGGUGUUGAAGAAGAAGUGAAAAGCCUUACCAGCCACCUUCAAGCCAUUCAAGCUGUGCUCAAUGAUGCAGAGGAAAAGCAAGUGAAGGACAAAGCUGUUAGACAUUGGCUGGGUAGGCUCAAGUAUGCAUCCUACGACAUUGAAGAUGUGUUGGAUGAGUGGAUCACAGCUAGACACAAAUUGCAAAUUGAGGGUGGCGUUGAUGACAAUGCUCUUGCUGCUCCUCAAAAGAAAAAGAAGGUAUGUUUCUGCUUUCCUGCCUCUUGUUUUGGAUUCAAACAAGAAGAAUUUGGUUUCAGACAAGUCUUUCUACGUUAUGACAUUGCCAACAAGAUCAAAGAAAUGAAUGAAGAGCUACAUGCUAUUGCUACUCAAAAAGACAUGUUUAAUCUUGUUAAGAGUGGCAAUAAAAGUGGUGAAAGACCAAGGCGUGUACAGAGUACCUCCUUGAUUGAUGAGGAAGAGAUUUGUGGUAGAGUUGGUGAGAAGAAUGAACUCAUAAGCAAGCUGUUGCGUGAGAGUAGCGAGCAACAAAAAGGCCUCCAUAUCAUCUCAAUUGUUGGUAUGGGAGGCAUAGGGAAAACUACUCUUGCACAACAAGCUUGUAAUGAUGACGAGGUGAAGAGAAAGUUUGACAAAAUUAUGUGGGUGUGUGUAUCAGAAACUUUUGAGGAGUUUAGGGUUGCCAAAGCAAUGGUUGAAGCUUUGGAUGGUCGUGAAUCUCAUUUAGGUGAAUUCCAAUCUCUUCUUAAACAUAUUGAUGAAUCCAUUGCAGGGAGGAGCUUUCUUCUUGUCUUGGAUGACGUAUGGGAUGGAAAUUACGUGAGAUGGGAACCAUUCUAUCGUUGUCUAAAGAAUGGUCUCCAUGGAAGUAAAAUUAUAGUUACCACACGUAGUGGGUCCGUUGCAUCCAUGAUGGGAUCCAUAGAUAUUAUUCCCAUUAAGGAAUUAGCUGAAGAGGAAUGUUGGUUGUUGUUUAACAAGAUAGCAUUUUUUGGUAGGCCUAUCGAGGAACGUGAAAAAUUCGAACGAAUUGGGCGAAGAAUUGCAGGCAAGUGCAAAGGUUUACCUCUUGCUGCAAAGAUAUUAGGGAGUCUUAUGCGCUCUAAACAAACUGAAGAAGAGUGGAAAAUAAUUUUAACUAGUGAUUUAUGGAAAGUAGAAGAGAUUGAGAAAGAUGUUUUGUCCUCUUUAUUGUUGAGUUACAAUGAUUUGCCAUCUAGAGUAAAAAGAUGUUUUUCAUAUUGUGCUGUCUUUCCAAAAGACUACAAUAUAAAAAAAGACAAACUAAUUACAUUGUGGAUGGCUCAAGGUUAUCUUAGUGCAGAAGAAGAUGAGGAGAUGGAGACUAUAGGUGAAGAGUAUUUUAGCAUCUUAGCUUCUCGCUCUUUCUUUCAAGAGUUUGAGAAAAGUUAUGAUAAUCGUAUUAUAGAGUGCAAGAUGCAUGAUAUGGUACAUGAUUUUGCCCGAUUUGUAAGUCAAAAUGAAUGUUUUUCGAUGGAAAUUAAUGGUAGUGAGGAACCAAACACCAUAAACUCUCUUGAUGAGAAGGUUCGUCAUUUAAUGUUAAUCUUUAGUAAAGGGGCUUCAUUACCUGUUUCCACUCUUAGAGUUAAAAGAAUGCGUACCCUCUUAAUUAACGAUAGUAGAUCUGAUCAUUCAUUAUUAAAUGGUGAGAUCCUAGAAGAAUUAUUUAGGGAAUUGACAAGUUUAAGGGCAUUAGAUUUUGGCGGAUCGUACACACAUUUUUCUUUGACUCUGGAGAUUCCAAGAAACAUAGAAAAGCUGGUACAUUUAAGAUACCUUAAUUUGUCUUGUCAGAAAAUAGUGGAGCUACCGGAGACAUUGUGCGAGUUAUAUAAUCUACAAAAGUUAGAUAUUAGUGAUUGUUUUAAUCUUAAAGAAUUACCUGAAGGGAUUGGGAAGUUAAUAAACAUGAAGCAUUUACGAAAUAGAAGUACUAGUUCUUUAAGGUACAUGCCAGUAGGGAUUGGGAGAUUAACGGGUCUUAGGACCUUGGGUGAGUUCCACGUGAGUGCAGGAGGAGGUGUUGAUGGUGGGAAAGCAUGUAGGCUUGAAUCUCUUAAAAACUUGGAACACCUUCAAGUAUGUGGUAUACGUAGACUGGGUGAUGUAUCAGAUGUGGGCGAGGCUAAGCGAUUAGAACUUGACAAAAAGAAAUACCUCAUCAGUUUGACCCUUGAGUUUGAAAAGAAGGAGGAAGGAGGAGGAAGGAGGAAGAACGAGGACGAUCAACUUCUUCUUGAAGCCCUACAACCACUUCUCAAUUUAAAGGAAUUAGAGAUACAGUACUACCGAGGCAACACUGUUUUCCCCAGCUGGAUGACGUCAUUAACCAACUUAAAGAGUUUAGAUCUCUCUUUGUGCCUAAAUUGCGAGCAGCUGCCUCCUUUGGGAAAAUUGCCGUCCCUUGAAAAACUCAGCAUAAUGUUUAUGCCUGUGAAAAGAGUGGGUGAUGAAUUUUUGGGGAUAGAAAGUGGUCAUCGUGACUCAUCUUCAUCUUCAUCGGUUAUUAUUGCCUUCCCCAAAUUGAAAUCACUUUCAAUUGAGUCUCUGGACGAAUUGGAGGAGUGGGAUUAUGGGAUUACAAGAACGGGAAACACCGUCAUCAACAUCAUGCCACGUCUUUCUUCAUUGGAAAUUAAUUACUGCCCCAAAUUAAAGGCACUGCCCGACCACAUUCAUCAAACGACAACAUUGAAGGAAUUGCGCAUUUGGGGGUGUGACCUUCUGGAAGAACGUUACCGCAAGGGAGAAGGAGAAGACUGGCCUAAGAUAUCACACAUUCCCAACCUCCAUAUUGGGCUUUGACAAGUAAUUUCUUCUCUUACUCUGAUUUGCUUUGUUGUUGUUUUUAAUCUAAUUAAGAAGCGUAAAUAGCAUUUUGAAUCAAACUCUAUAUCAGAAAUCUGCAAUACUUACUUUCUAAUAUUCUGAUUUUCAUAUCCUAUGAAUAUACGAUUUUUAAUUUGUGAGAUGGGUAACGUUACUGUAAAAGAUUAUUAAUGCAAUAUGAGUAAUUCUUUUGCAGGACAAGUGACCUACAUUUAGUUUGGCUUUGGAGUUGAAUAAUAACCUUUCGGGAACUGGUGUGGACUGGCAAAGGAUGAUGAGAUAGUUUUUUGAGUGAGUAAAUUUUGGGAGCUUGAGUGUAUUGGGAUUUGCAAUUACAAUCAUCCUCUGCUUCAGGUGAUUUCUUCUCUUGCUCUGUCAUUGUUUGUUCUCUAAUUCAAAAGCAUAAAAUAUUUCAAUCAAUUCUUAUACCACGAAUAUGCAAAAGUUUCUAAUAUUUUAUUUCCAUCUGUUACAAGAUCAAACUGAAGCAGAACUCAAACAAAAGUAUGCUACUUCUUGCGGAAAUCUUGCCUUUGUUCAGAUUAUGAAACCAUUUCCAUGCAGCAAAUUCAUCCAAAAGUUUGAAUAAGUUUCAUGGUCGGACACUGUUGGCUUCUUUUUCUUCUGGGGUGCAUUUAGGUGCUAUCAAGUGACAGCUGUAAGUAUGAUUGCACUAAGCUGCUGCUGGGAAAUUUGAGGUUUUGAUGGCUGCCCAUGUUAUUUUCAAGAAACUAUUGAUGUAAGAAGCUGUGGUUCUUUUCAUCAGCUUGAACCUGAAACUGUCGCUAUGGAUAACUCAGGUUUUUGUUAUCAACUAUAUCAUCUUUUUCACUAUUUUGAAACUCUUAAGAUUAAACGUUAGUAAAGUUGUUUCAGCUAUUCAAAUGAAAAACUCAUUGAUUUGAGACUUCCUUCAUUAUUGUUUCUAAUUACAAUGCUAACGAUCCAGAUAAGAUAAUAUUUAAUCGGCGAAGGUGUCCCUUGGAAGUACAUCCUUCUUUUUCUUUUAUUAUAUAAAUUCUUGCAAUGAGCUUAGUGAAGCUGUUGUGCUAAUCAUGCCACUGCAUAAUUUGGCCCCUAAUGUGGGUACUCUGUUACAUUGUUCUGCAAAUUCUCCAGAAGUUAAAAUCAAUAAAUUUUCUAUUAGCUCUAGUGCUUUGACCUAAAUGCUAUUCUAUAUUCUGAUUACAAUGUUUUAACCUUUAAAUUAACUACCCCUAGAUGUUGGAUUUUCUAGAACUUCAAAUUAUAUAUAACCUUUAAAUUAUAUAUUUCUGUGUCUCUAUUUAUAGAUGACAUUUAAGCAUCCAUAAACCGUCAGACAGAGGAAGGGGGUUCAGUGCAAAGAUUCUGUUGACCUAGGGUUGACUGCAUAUGUCACUUGUUCGCAAUCUAAUAUUUAUUUUAUAUUUUGAAAAAUUUAAUGGGUAAUCCUAAUUGUUUGUUUUGGCAGGUAUGUGUUGUUAUCUCCUUCUAUCUUACAGUCGUACCUAAAUAGCAUAGUUUCAUCUGUGUUACCAUGUGAUGUACAUAAUUUCACAUUUGCCUCAGAUUAAGCUUAAUUUCCCACAGAAUAGAGCUGUCGCGACUGGACUUAGUUUGAUGUCCAAAGAGGUAAAUUAUUGGCAUGCCUAGAUAAUUUGGCCAUUUCCUAAUUCAUAAGUCUACAUUAAUUUUGAUUUUGAGUUGACUGAUUUCUUUUCAAGGUCUGCUUCCUUAACGGAGUGACCAAUGUUUUUCAACUAAAUUUAUCAUAUGAUGCAGGAAGCAGGGCAGGAUAUGAAAUGAGAAGCUCAUUGGUGGAAGUAUUGCCAGUAGCAGAACCCAAUGAAAAUGAAACUAUUUCAAGGCAGCAGUUGGCAGUUGCAAGUGAAUGGAGGCCCUUGACAAAAUUCUCAAGCAGUUGCAAUGCAAUUACGAUCAUCCUCAGCCUCAGGUAAUUUCUUCUCCUGCUUUGUUUUUAUUUGUUAUCUAAUUAGGAAGCAUAAAGUAUCUUGAAUCAUUUUCUGUAUCUGGAAUAUAUGCAAGAGUUUCUAAAAUUUUGAUAUGAGUGUAAUGAUGGUAAUUUCUGUUUUCUGUCUGUCAUCAAAUGUUAGAAAACUUUCAUUGAGACCCUUGAACCGAGUCAUUUUUGACAAGUGAAGUGCCGAAGAGUGAAGAGUAAGAAUGGUGCUAGAUUGGGGAAUAAAGCAAAAGGAGGUAAAUUAUUGGCAGCUUCUUCAGCCUUAUUUUCUUUGGACCAGUGCCUAAUUCACAAGUCUCCAUAAUUCGGCUUUUGACCAGUUGAUAGAUAAAAUUUUAAUUUCAUUGGUGCUAAUGUACCCGUGAAGCAGGCAGAGAAGGACUGUGGAAAAGAGAAGGUUUUUAGUGAAAGCUUAAACGCAGGUAAUUCUAUAAAUUAUAUGUUUUUGCUGAUUUAUCUAAAUCAGGAAAUUUUAUUUCCAUCUGUUACAAUAAAACAGAAACAGAACACAAAGAAAAAUAGUCUACCUCUUGUGGCAAUCUUGCCUUCAUUCAGACUAUGAAACCAUUUCCUUUCACCAAUUUCUUCCAAAAGUUUGAACACGUUUCAUGGUUGGACAUAGUUAGCUUCUUUUUCUUUUGGUGCAUUUAGGUGCUAUCAAGUGACAGCCAUAAGUAUGAUUGCAUUAUUGGGAAAUUUUAGGUUUUGAUGGCUCCCCAUGUUAUUGCCAAGAAAUUUUAAGUCCUCAUGUCAGAAGCUGCGUUUCUUUUCAUCAGCCUGAACCCGAACUGAGGUUUUUGUCAUCAACUAUAUCAUCUUUUUCACUGUUUUGAAACUCUUAAGAUUAAACUUCAGUAAAGUUGUUUCAGUUAUCCAUGUAAUCAGGCUAAGGAUAUUUAGCAGCUUAUUUAGGCAACUGCCAGAAUUCAGUUUGUUUGCUCGAAACUUGUAUGGUGACAAGGAUACUGGCAAGGAUAGUGAGAUAGAUUUUUGUGUGAGUGAAUUUUGAAAGCUUGGGUGUUCUGGGAUUUGCAAUUGCAAUCAUCCUCUGCUUUAGGUGAUUUCUUCUCCUGUUCUGUCUUUAUUUUCUCUCUAAUUGAAAGCAUAAAGUAUUUCAAUCAAAUUCUGUACCAGGAAUACGAAAAACUUACUAAUAUUUUAUUUCCAUCUGUUUGCAUUGAUAACUUGGCCGCAUAUGUACUAGUUAAAGAACAAACAGAAGCAGAGUUCAGGAAAAAGUUUCUUCGGCCACCAUAUUUGAAAAUGAAACCAUUUCCAGGAAGCAGUUGGCAGCAAAUUCAUACAAAGUACAGACAAUGAUGAGCAAAAAGGUGAUUCGCAAUUUCAUUUUUUAAAAAUGAAAUUAUUUGUUAAGUUGGAGCUGAUAUUGUUAGAAGGCCAUUGAGCUAACCUAUGACACUACUUGCCUAGAUUGCAGGAGGUCAAGACUCAAAAGAUGCACUGAAUUUUAAAAGGCAUGCAAUAAUUCUUAUGGCCAUUUGUCAAUGGUGGAAUGCUUUUAGCUUCUUUUCCUUUCGUGCAUUUUGGGGUUCUAUCAAGCGACAGCCGUAUGCAUGGAUGGAUAUAGCCGCUGCGUUGAUUUCUAAUGCGUUGUAUGAUGUUAUAGCAACUAUCCAUCUGGUCAAUGUUUCAAAAGAAUAAAACACAGGGAAAAAGAGAAAGCAAGUGGCCAAUCAAGUAUUCAUGUCCCAAAGAAAAGAAUGAUUCGACAAUAGCAUUAAGGGUUAAUUGGACACAAGAGAAGUGUUUUAACCACUUCAAGGAAUGUAAAUGUAAUUUUCUAUUCUGAAGAAAAAGUAAAUAUAUGCACUGUCAAUUAAUCUUUGGUCAACCAGCAACAUUCAUAAUUUCGUGUAAGUUUCAUUUCUGUUUGUUGGAAAUAGCAGUGUAUUUCUUAGAGUUUGUAAAAAAUGGAAAGAUUUUAAAAUAUAAAUUUCACAUCUGUUUAUUACUGUUGUUUGAUCUAUUUUCUUAUGUAGAAUUUUCGGAAUCUGUAGGACAUUAAUUUAUAAUUUUGAGAUUUUGUAGCCAUAAAUGUUUUUGUUCUUUUUUUCUUUUUUUUGUUGGCAUUUUAUUUUGCUCCUUUAUCUAUAUGCAUGUUGACUAAAGCUAAUCUAGAAUCAAUAGAGAGGGAUAUUUAUCUAUUUUGUUUAACAUAAGAGUGCUGUAUAAUUUUUCACUAAAUACACCUACAACAAACUAUUAAUAAUAAAGUGAUAGAAGAAUGCCUAAUUUUUCGUACUUUUUAAUUUCUUUCAGCCCUAAAAUAUAGGUAUUAAUGUCAUAAUAAGCCCAUGUGGAUCUCAGUGCCGCAAGUUCGAUAAAUGGCUAUCAAGGAUUACUUAUUAAGUCAAAAGUAUUCAAAGGACAAAAUGGUAAAACUAUAAGGGUGGAGUAAGAUGGCUACCUUGGGUUACAUAGUAAGUCGACUACAUUCAAAGGAUAAAAUAUUAGAACCUGAACGGCGGAGUAGUCGUCGUUAGAACCUGAACGGCGGAGUAAUCGUCGUUAGAAUCUGAAUGAUAUGUCUAAGACGUUGCAUGCAUCAAGAAAAUUGCAGAUGAUUAAACCUUGCCAUCCAUGCGUUGUAUGAGGUUAUAGCAACUAUCUAUCUGGUCACCGUUUUAAAAGAAUAAGACAAAGGGAAAAAGAGAAAGAAAAGAAUGAUUCGACAAUGGCAUUAAAGUUCAACGUACCCCAAGAUCUUGUAAUAAUGCCAUUAAUCAUUCUCUAGCUAGGCUAGCCUUAGAGAAAAGUGAAACUGUUGCACAGGUAGAAUCACACCCCUCAGAGAUAAUGUAUUUAUUCAGCUCUUCGAAUGAAUGAAGUUUAUUUUCUCGUCAAAAAAAAAAACUGCUCGCUCCGCUGGUUUCAUACAAUGUCAACUAGAAACAUCAUACUUUCGUGUAAGUUCAUUUCAGAAUAUUUCUUAGAGUUUGUAUAAAAUGAAAAGAUUUUAAAAUAUAAAUUUAAUAUUUGUUUAUUACCGUUGUUUGGUCUAAUUUCCUCGGGAGAAUUUUCAGAAUUUAUAGGACAUUAGUUUAUAAUUUUGAAAUUUUGUAACCUAAAUGAUUUUUUUUUCGGUUACCAUUUUGUUUUCCUGCUUUAUCUACGUGUAUGUUGACUAAAACUAAUCUAUUUUGUUAAACCUUUACCACUCUAGACAUUGCACUAAAUAUGAGUUCGUGAUGCUUGCAUUUUAUUGAUGCUGAUGAUUCGUUGAAUGUUUUAUGUUUUUGAUUUUUAAGUAUUCCGGAUCGAAGUUUGUGUCUACGCGGAAAUUGUAAAGGCAGCAUAUAAAGUACUCGUCGUUCUUUAGAUUUUAUUGAGUACACUUUUGUCACAUUUAGCGUAUGCUAUACACUACUGAUUUGCGCAUUGACAUAUAUCUUUUUUUUUUAUGAGAGGGGGCUCGUCAAAACGAGCUAAACAGGAACAAACCGGGGGUUAGAAAUCCCAAACAAGUCUUGCGAAAUGAUAGAAUAAACACCCAUAGGAGGGUUAGAGAACACAUGGAGGCCAAGAGGAGCUGAAUGAGCCAUAUUAGCCAUGAAAUCCGCAGCUGAGUUUGCUUCGCGAUAAAUAUGGGUGAUAGCAGUCUGCCAAUUUCUACUUAGUAAUUCCCGGACAGCUGAUAAUAAAGCAGUGAACGCAUUAGGAACAACCACCUGCUUAGAAAUCAUUUGUGUAAUACAAAUACUAUCCACUUCCACCAACAACCGUUUUAUGCCUACAUCCCAAGCAAGAAUUAGGCCCUGAUACAGCCCCCAAAGCUCAGCCAUAAGCACUGACCUGUCCCCAAUUUUCAUACAAAAGCCGGAUACCCAAUGACCAACUGAGUCUCGAAUAACACCUCCCGCUCCUGCUUCCCAAGUAUUUUUACAGGAGCCAUCUGUAUUUAAUUUACACCAUGGCCAAGGCGACGGCAGCCAAUGAAUAUAAAUCUCCUGUCUCCUCGGCUGCUGGCUUAGGCAAGAAUUAUUUACUCUGCAAAUUUCUUUAGCUCUCGCCAUAACAUCCAUAUAGAUUGUUAGACUAUCCACCAGCUUUCCCUCAAAGAAAAAAUGGUUCCUCCAGAACCAUAGCCUCCAAACUACCACACCAAAGAUACAAUCCCAGGGGAGGGGAGACCCAAUCUUCCAUUUAUUUUGCAGGUUCCCAGCAAUCCAUUCUCGUAAGUUCGAAUUGAAGAAAGUGUUAUGACUGGCCAUCGGAACAAGCUUCCGCCAAACCUGCUUGAUACAGCUGCAGUCUCUCAAUGCAUGGAGGAUAUCUUCAACCGCACCCCCACACCUAUCACAAUCCUCAGGAACAUUAAUAUGGCGCCUAACAAGUUCAUCACGAGUCUUGAGUUUCCCAUGCAUAAGCUGCCAAAGAAAAAGGCGGAUGGAUUGAGGCCCCUUCCAACUCCAUGGAAGCUUCCAAUUUCUGUCAUGAACAGCAGCUUGAUGAUAGCAAAGUGAUUCAUAAGCUGACCGAACCGAAAACAUGCCGCUUGGAUCAAAGCCCCAGUAAAUAAUAUCAGCCCCAAGAUGAGGAGCCGGAGGCAAGACUGAAGCAAUCUGCAUGAGAAUACCAUGCGGCAGAAGAUGCUCAAAGCUCGACCAAUUCCAUCCCCCAUGCCCAUUCGUAAAGUCACUCACAGUGGCAUUGAUAAGCUCGUGAGGAAUCGGCAAGAUGGCAAGGCUGAUCAGAGGAUAUUUCGUAGCCCAACAAUCAACCCAGAAUCGAGUUCUAACACCAUCACGAACUGACCAGCGAGCUCCCUGCACUGUUGCCAACCACGUGCUACGAAUAGCCCUCCAAAUCUGAGAACCCGGUUUGUCUGAAAGAGACAUUGGUAGGUUGCGAGACUCCAAACCAUAUUUGGAGCAGAAGACUUGCACCCACAGUUUAUCCGAAUUGGAAACAACCUCCCAGCUCAAUUUCAUCAACAUCGCCUGAUUCAUUUCGUCCAUUUUUUUGAAUCCCAGGCCUCCAUGUUUUUUCGGCUUGCAAAUUUUGUCCCACCCCACCAUACUCAUCUUGUGACUCUUUGAAUUCCCAUCCCAAAUAAAUCUUCGACAAGCUUUGUCUAUUUUAUGUCUCACUGGAGAAGGAAGUAAGGUCGUUUGCAUGGCAUAAACAGGCAUUGCUUGCAGGACUGAUUGAGCCAGAGUGACGCGUCCAGCAAAAGAUAGAUGAGCCGCGUUCCAACCAGUUAACCGCUUAUCCACUUUAUCAAGGAUGGAUUGAUACGUGUAUUUAUUAACCCGCGAAUGGAUUAAGGGCAUUCCAAGAUAAUCACCCAAAUUAUUUGUGGCCGAAACUCCCAAAGUCGAGCCUAUGAUAUUGGCAUCCCGAGAAGCGACAUUUUUUGAGAAGAAAACUUUAGUUUUCAUUUUGUUGACUUUUGCUUCCGAACUCCUACAAUAAUUAUCCAGAACAGCAUCUACGACAUAAGCUUGAUCAAUUGAAGCUUCCGCAAAUAAAAGCAAAUCAUCUGCAAAAAAGAGAUGCGUUAAAGGAGUUCCAUAUUUGGCCAACCGGAUAAGCCUCCAUCUCCUCUCCAUCACCGCUUGGGUUAUACCAUGGCUUAACCGUUCAAUGCACAGAACAAAAAGAUAAGGCGAGAGGGGAUCGCCCUGACGGAUACCCCUUCCCGGAGUGAAAGCUUAUGUCGCCUCGCCAUUCCACAAAAUACGCAUACUAGCUGAAGUUACGCAUUCCAUGAUUAGUCUAGAUAAGUGAAUUGGAAUACCAGUCUGGUUAAGCGUAUCAAAAAUGAAAUCCCAACUGAGCCGGUCAUAAGCCUUCUCAAGGUCGACCUUAAUGGCCAUAAAUCCUUUCCUGCCAGUUUUUCUGCGCAUAGAGUGAACUACUUCCUGAGCCACUACAAUAUUAUCUACUAUAUGCCUCCCAGGAACAAAGCUCGUCUGAUUGGGGCUUAUUAGAUUGGGCAGCAGUGUUUGCAAUCGAGUGGCUAUAAUUUUAGUCACCGUCUUGUAGGCCACUGUGUAUAGGCUUAUGGGCCUAAACAUCUUUAAGCUAGUGGGGUGCUCCUCUUUAGGAAUCAAAACCAAGAGGGUAGUAUUUAUCUCUUGCGGCACCUUCCCCGUUGUAAAAAUAUCAUGAAUAAACCUGCAAAACGACGGACCAACCACAUGCCAUUGGGAUUGAUAAAAUAUAGCGUGCAAACCAUCCGUACCUGGGGCUUUCAGCGGCUUCAUGCUAAACACAACGUUCCGAAUUUCCUCCCUCAAAAUUGGGGCUGCAGCCCCAUCUACGUCAUGAGAAUCCAAGGCUGGGAAAAAGUUUGGAGCAUGGUAAUUCCGAUAAGUUGCAUUAUCACUUGUAAAUAGGUCAGAAAAAUACCCCACUACAUGCCUCCUUAUAUCCUCCUCAUCAUAUAGCCAAUUCCCCGAACAGUCUCGGAUGGCCUCAAUUCUAUUCCGCCGCCUUCGAGCAAUGGUUUUUUGGUGGAAAAAAUUCGUAUUUCUGUCCCCAUGCAGAAGCCAAUCCUUUCGAGAUUUCUGAAGCCAAAGAAUUUCCUCCGAUUCAUCACCAUUUCGAGCUCAUUUUGCAUGCGGGCUUAUAAGCGCAACAAACUGUUAGAGCUAUAAUUCUCUAGAGUAGCUUGAAUUCCAUUAAUCCGAGCCAUAAGCCGGCGUUUUCUCUGAAAGAUAUUCCCAAACACAUCUCGAUUCCAAGCUUGAACCUCCUGGACAAAAUGAGAGGCUGCUGCACUAUAAUGGAUUUGCGGAUUCCACACCCGCUUAAUAAAGUUAUGAAAAUGCUCGUGAGUUAACCAAGCAGCCAAAAAGCGGAAAGGCCUGUUCCUCCUGUGACCGGCCACAGCUCUCUCAAACCGAACCAGCACCGGCCUGUGAUCCGAGGCAACCUUCGGGAGGUGGAGGACAGAAUUAUUCGGAUACUUAUGUAGCCAAUCACUAUUGCACAGAGCUCUAUCAAGCCGUUUAAAGAGCAAUCCACGUGACCAAGUAAACCUUGGACCUUUAAACUUUAAAUCAAAAAUUUGGUGCCCAUCAAACCAUUUCCGAAACAGAUUACACACUCCUGGGUUCCUGGCCUCACCCCCCUGCUUUUCAGAGGCAUAUAAGAUAGAAUUGAAAUCCCCACCUAUCAGCCAAGGGCCUCGAAUUGAAGGCGCAAGGUUCUCCAUAUGGCUCCACAACUGUCUCCUUAGCAUUGGAUUUGGGCUGGCAUACACAGCCGUUACCCAAGACACAAAGGUCUUAUUCAUACAAAAUUUAAAGUGAAUGAACUGCCUAUGAUUAAUUAAGACUUCCACCUCUAUGGAAUUUCGCCAAAGAAGCCAAAUUCCUCCAGAAAAACCCACAGCUUCCACCCGGUGCGAAUACUCAAAUCCACUUUUCUUUAUAAAGUCAUCGGCUUUAGCACCACUAGUGCGAGGUUCCAUUAACACCACCAUCGAUGGAUUGUAGUUUUUAAUAAUUGUUUUAAACGAGCGCCUAAAUACCCCCGAGGCUGCCCCUUGUACAUUCCAGAACAUGAUACUAGCUGACAUAAUAAAAAUAACAGGAGAGAAACAAACGUCUACUGCUGCUGUCCAAGGACUUCCUCCAUCCACGCCAAUGGCGUUUCUUGAACCAUCUCAACUUCAUUCUCAACCAUCCCAUCGCCAUCAACACCAUUUAUAGGUACAACUGGAUGGUUAUGAGCACUGUCACCUUCAUUCACCCGAUGGAUGGUUUGAUCAUCUGGAGGGUCUGCUACUUGUUGUGGAUCCGGACCUUGCCUCUCUAUGUGUUCCGCGGUCACGUCCCUUUCAUCACCAUUAGGAAGGGUUUGGGAGGAGCAAACAAACACUGUGUGUUUAGAGGGGUCCAGGGUGGUUGCGAAUGGUGCCACGAGUUGAUUGCUAGAAGCUUUCUGAGGGAAAAUAUGGGGUUCAAAGCUUCGGUUUGCAUGAGGUAGGAUGGAUAUUUCCUUCUCUCUGGUGCUGAAGACACUAGGCUGGAGAGGGUUACAGGUAGGAGUUACUGGGACGUUUGGUUUCCUGCUCUGAUUCCUUGCUGCCACGGCCUUAUUUUGCGGCUUACGACGAGCCAUAGUCUUUGCUGAGGUAUCUGCUCUGGCUGUGAAAGUAUGGUUUGAUGCGGGCAUGAAAGGUUGCCGUGAGGUGGAAGGGAAGUCUGGGCAAGCCUCAUGCACAUGGUUUCCACCUUCAUCCGAGACUUUGGAUAAUAUGUGAAACCGUGAGGUACCAGCUCCAGUAAACUCCCUAUUACGGUUUGAGUCUCCAGUGUUCUCCUUACCAAUAUUCGGCUUCCUUCCUCUCCUAGUGGCAAUCAUCCAGGGUCCGAAUAGUUCCACAUUAUUAUCACCAUUACUACCUACAGCCUGCUGGCCAGGAGCCUCAUUUUCCGGCACUGCCUGUUGGGGUUGACCAGCAUCUUCAGGGCUUGUCGAACUCUUAGCAUCCUUACAGUUGCUGCUACUAUGCCCGUAAGAUUCCACACUUAUAACAAAUUACUGGCAAUCCCUCGUAUUCCACCUUCUGGAUCUUCCCAUCCAAUUCAAACUGAGAUACCAGCGGCCUUGUUAACGAGAUACUUACUGCAAGACGUGCAAAUCUUCCACGAGAUGAGGAGGCUGUAUUCGAAUCGAUUUUAAUCACGUUACCCACUAACUGACCCAGCUUCUGUAGAACUUUUCGAUUAUAAAGAUGAACCGCAAGGCCUGGUAAACAGAUCCAUACCGUGACUUGAUCAAGAUCCGCAUUUGUGAAAUCAAAAGAGGGUGUCCAUGGCUGCACAGUUAAAUAUUGACCCAUUAUAAGCCACGGUCCCUUAGUUAAAACAUCCAUAGCAUCCCCUACCGAUCUGAAACGAACCAGAUAAUAAUUGUUUUCCAAGUCAAUCACGGAAAAACCCAUGGCUGAUUUCCACAUGACAUUUAAUCUUGCACACAUAGCUCUAUAGCCAAUUGUGCGGCCAAGCAACUUCACAACCACCGAGUUCUUCCAAGGCUCACUUAACUUAGCAUGAACCCUAGCCGAAAAAGUGAUGGAUGGCAUGGGUCCCUCGUUAGUUUCAAUAAUGUCUCCUUCCUCAAAAUCCCAGUCCUCUAGUCCACCUCCAAUUCCUUGCUCCAUCGCUUGUGUUGCAUUCACUAGGGUUUCUUUGUACGAAAACUGUACAGUGGUAUCCCCAGCAUGUUCUUCAUCACGAAAUCUUGCUUUUUUAAUCGUUCUAGCCUCCCUAAACGGCGGGGGAAAAAUCCCUCCGGAGUUAGGGUUUCCUUCACGUCCGAGGUUUUCGGAGCCUUCCAUAUGGUGUUGAUCUUUUUAAGUCACUCGUUUCAAUAUUUCAUUUAUUUCCUUUUCAAGCUAACAAUUAAUGUAUAUGAAUGUGCGGAUGCAUUGACAUAUAUCUUAUUUUAUCAUUUUGAAUGAAUUGCACGGCGAGGCUUAUCAACUUUGGAUGAAUCCUCCAAUUGUCGCAGUCCAAGACUGGCUGCAGUGAGUGAAAAUUUACCCAUAUAUAUGCUGGCUAUUUUUAUUGGCGACGAAUUCGUUGUAGUUGGUCCAUCUUGCUAUUCUCGGACAAUAUUAGAGAAAAUAAUCAUAUUAUUUCGCGUGAUGUGACCUUCCAUAACGUAUCAAUUGAAUUACUGUAAAAUUAUUGUGUAAGUUUAGGCCCAAUGGCACUUUAGUUCAUCACAUGAUAGCCUGGAUUUAAAAGGAAAACUAUAUUGCAUUGCUUCAAAAAAAAAAUUUAAUGUUUUUAAUAUGAAUAUUUUUAACUAUAUUCAGUUAAAAUAAUAUAUUCUUAAUAUUAAUAUUCAUAGAUGAAAUUCUUUUGCGGAUUUAAGAAUAAAAUAUCAAAUAGUUUUAUUUUUCUUUUGUUGUGUAACUUGGACCGAAAAAGAAAAUGAGCUUAACAUGACCCUCCUUCCGGCACUAUGCAUGUUUUUCUUUUAUUUUUCUUGUAUUGAUGACAGUGCUCUUGGUGCUUCUCAUCUGCUUCUUGCUUUGGUUUCAAACAAGUCUUUCUCCGUCGAGACAUUUAUUGUAAUUUGAUUUGGAGACAUCUGUCGUUCAAAUAUAUUUCAUAUGCAAGCUGUUGAUAAUUCUGCUUGAGAAAGCCUUCAAAGCAGCUGUGUGAUGUAAUAGAAGACUAUAUAUGCAAGCGGGUACCGAGCUCGAAUUCUUUCUUGAGUUUCUUUGAAUUAUUUGUGAAUGAGUUCUUAAUCGGCUGCUGCUCUUCAGGAAAAGGAAAGUGUUGCAAACUGGUGAAGCUGAUCGAUAAAAGCAAUGUACCAUCUUUGCUGCCAUGGAUCGAUGCCAGUGAGUUUUUUAAUUUGUCAACCUUUUUAAUAAUGCAUAUGUGUUUCUUCAACUUGAAGCGGCAUUUAAGACGAAAGAAGUGAUCUUUAAAGCAUUCUAUAGCAUUAUCCUUUCCUAUUAUAUAUAUCCAAUUGCUCCAAAUUAUUUGUAAAUUACUGAACACGAAUGCUGAUGAAUAAACUGAUGGCUCUAUGUAUGUAUGCACAUGCAUGGAGAAAUUUUAAGUCAGACAUUCCCAUAUAUAACUCGUGCUACCAAAUCAUUAAAUAAUCUUGAAAUCAAAGUAAUAAUUAAAUACAAAUAAAUUGCUCGAAUUGUACAUAUAUCUGAAUCAUGUAGUGAAGAAAAUACAACAACAACAACCAAUGGCUCAAAUUCCCCAUCAACUUCUAAUCUCAACACUUUUGAGUGUCAGAAGCAUUACUCUGCUACCAGUUAACAAACAUAUAAUUAGUAAUUUGCCAUUCACUUCCCUUUUAGGCCUAACACAUUUUCUAUAAAGGAGCCACAGAGUGAACUCAGCAGGAAACACUCAAUUUCAACCUACGUAGGACCAGGAAUUUCAACCAAAAAAAAAGUGUGCAAUUGCUUAUCCUAUCCUAUUGCUACUAGAAAGAAAGUGAACAAUUAAUUUCAGUGAAUAAAUUAAAAAAAAUUACUUCUGCAGAUACUCAAGCUAAGAACACAUUAACCCAUUAAAGACUCCAAAUUGCAUCAAACAAAUUGUUGUUAAACAAGUAAAACAAAGAAAGAGAGUUAAGGAAGCUGACCUAGUAGUAGGGGAGCUGAAGAAAGACUGCCAGUGAAUGUAAGAGAAAAUAAAAUGCAAUAAAUGGUGAAGUGCAGCUUUUCAUGUCAACUUGAAAUUGUUUCUUCUGUUUUUUUUUUUUUUAAUCUUUUGGAUUUUUAAAACAAAGAAAAUGAGGAGCAACCAGGGAGAUAAAAAGGGCGCCAAGGCAACUGUGUGUUGGGUUUAGAGCCCAAAAAAAAAGGAGGAUAAGACAUCGUGUUCUUGUGGAGACCAGACCUAUUACGUAACGUCCCCUUCAAUACCACUUGUUCCGUAUCUGGUUUUUUCUUCGUCUUUUACAUAUUUAUCCUGUGAUUUUACAAUAACUAAAUAAUCCCCGCAUAGUUUGCAAUUUUAUUCAUUUGAGCCCUACAGAUUUCAGUAAUAGGUAGAGUUGGCAAAACGGGUCAUCGGGUCGUGUUCGUGUCAUGUCAAAUUUAAGUCGACCCAAACCCGACCCAUUUAAUAAUCGUGUCAAAAUAUUGAGACCUAAAUCCGACACGGAAAAAUAAUCGGGUUACCCAAUAACUCGUUUAAUAUCAAUAUAUUGAACAAAAGUUACAUCAAAUAUUUACACACUAUCAUACAUACAUACAUAAUUUAUCGAUAUUAUAAAAUAUAUAUAUCUACUAAUAUAUUACACAUUUACACUAUUGAGGUUUUAAUUAUAUAUAUAUAUAUAUAUAUACCUACGAUGAUUGUUUAAGCCGCGGUAAACGCUUCUAGAACGCCCUCUGGCAGGAAGGAAGGUACUCAAAGAAAGUGGAGAUGAGGGAAACUCCGCUGGAGUGAGGGGAUUUAUCGGAAUCUCGUUCAGAGUGAGGAGUCAAUGAGGGUUUGCUUGUACUUGUGGUUCUAUUGAUAGGUGUUUGCAAUGGGCUUUCGUCUCAGGUAGUUCAGUCUCCGGGGUUACGCUUAGUUUCAUAUAAAAUAAAUGAAGAAGACAGCUGGACUUCAGAGUGGGAUCCUCCUAUGUUGUCGGCUGUUUGUUUGUCCGCAGCUAUUACAGCUUGUGCUCGAAUAUAUAUGUAUCCAUAUAUUUCCAGAUAUUAUAUAUCAAUAUAUAUAUAUAUUAUUUAUCAAUAUUAUAAAAUCUACAUAUCUAUCAAUUUUUUCACAUUUACACUAUUGAAGCUCUAAAUGUAUUUAAAAUUUUAUAAAUAAAAUAUUAUGUUUAUAUUCACCCUUUUAAAGAAUAAAAAAGAAAAUCAUUACUAAUAUUUGAGUUUUAAUGAUAAGAAUAUGUAAAUUAUUUUAAAAUAGAAAAUAUAAUCGGGUCAUUGAUCGGGUAAAUGGGUCAAGAAUUUUAACUCUAACCCGACACGGAAAAAAAUCGUGUUGACCCGGACCCGACCCAUUUAAUAAUCGUGUUAAAUUUGACGACCCAUAUUCAUUUAUUUAUGUCGUGUUCGUGUCGAGUAAUCGGGUCGUGUCAAAUUUUGCCAGCUCUAGUAAUAGGAAUUAUUAAGGGACAAGAGCGCAAAACAAAAACUCUGUCCACUACUGAUGAUAUAACAACGAACCUUUGUUUUUUUCUUCUUUUUUUUUUACAAAAUAUCAUUAGAGAAAUGAAAAUAUUAACUAACAUCACCCUACUGAUGAUAUAACAACGAACCUUUGUAGUUUCUGCCUGUUAAUAUGAAUUGAUCAGGAGUGUUUCCUCACUUAAAAAUUACGAAUUUACAAAUAUGUAUGUAAGUAUGUAUGUAUGUACGUACGUACGUGAGUAUGUAUGUACAUAUAUGCAUACACCUAUGUAACAUUUACUUAUCCAUCCUUUUGAGUUUAAAACUUAAUACACAUUUUCAUGAAAUUUUUAUUUUAUUAAGUAUACAACUACAGUAAUGUAUAUAUUUUUUAUAUAAGACAUGCCGUCAUAUUAUUCAUAAGUAAAACAAUGUGUUGUAAAUAGUUUAAUUAUUAAAUAUCAUACAAUAUCUUUCAACAACCGGCAAUAGACCUUUACCCAUUUUUCUUUUUCGACCAUUAGAUUCAUUCAGUUUACAUCCAACGGCAGUUUAGGAUGGAGACAAAAAGUGUGGUACGUUACCACAGUGGUAACAUUGGAUUGGGAUUGUAUGUCGUGUUUAAUUUGAAUUGGUUGAUUCCUCUAAUGAAUUAUUUUGAUAAAUUUAGUAGCAGUAUUUGGCGGCAAAAGUAUCAUUAAUUUUUGGAAAUAUGAUUAUGUUAUUAAUUAUUUUAGCAUUCUAAAAAGUCAAUGGUUAUGUUGGAAAUACUCUAAGGUAGAAUAGAGUACAAAUCACAGUCACACAUACAAAAUGAUAAAUAAUAAAAAAUAUAUUAUAUUUUUGAUCAUAUGAUUAUGAAGACGUAUUUUACCUUAAAGAAGUUCUAAUAAGCGAAUUCUUCUAAAACAAUAUAAAAUUUCUUUUUUAUCAUACUCAACCGCUUCAAACUUCUAAGAAGUAGAUAUACAAUGAGUGGAAUACUGAAUUGAGUGCGAGCUGCGGAUAAUAUAUAAAAUUGGGAUACAAGCUUCAAGGAAAGUGUAUUGCUAUUCAAAUGUAGAUUUCAAAUUAAGAAGAUAUGCCAGCAAAUUGUAUAAAAAUGUAUAAAUUGAUCAGUAACAUUAAUUCCAAAUGAUGAAAUGAGUUAUCUUGAUCAAAAGGUCAAGAACCUACCUUACUUCUCUUAGAGAUAACUUGCAUCAACCGUUGUGGUAUUGAUACUUGUCUUCAGCUAGUAAAAGACUAAAAGUGAAAGUUUCACAAUUGAAAUAAAGCUAAGGGAAGAUGCUAUGCUCCAUUUAUUAUUAUUAUUAUUGAUGUGGUCGAGAAGUAAAGCCAUGCAUAUGAUGAAGUAUAAAUAAGAAUGCAAUAGCCCGGAAUUCAUUUACACAAACACUUCAAUAUCCUUUUGAUCACUUUUGCAAACAUCAGUUUGUCUCUUGUAUUCACCAUGGUUGAUGCCAUCGUUUCCUCUCUUGUGGAGCAGCUGACUUCCUUCGCUGCUAAAGAGAUAAUACAACAGGUGAUCGAAGUUACACCCCCCAUAUUAUAAAUACUUCUAAUGAUUUUAAUUGGUUUUGUUUUUAUCGGAAACAUUAACUUUGCUUUAUUUUAUUUAUUUAGGCAUUUUAAAUUUUAAAAUUUGAAUUGAAUUCAAUUAAAAUGUGAUGUAGCUAGUAACCACUUUUUUUAUUUCAUUUAUAUUCUCAAUAACUACCCAUAUUUUGGUAACUUACUGUAACCCCCGUAUCUAAGAAAUGAUUAAAACCCACAAUUUUAACUCCACAUAAAUAUUCCAUGUUGAGCUAAGUUUUUGCAUAACAUUCAAGUUUGUUAAAUAGUCAUUAAUUUAAUGUUUAGUAAAAACUUAUCUCUGAAAAUUUUCAUAAUUUUCUUACAUUCUUUGAGUUUGGUGAGUGACUUCAUAUAAUUUCUUUUCAAUUUAAAUUUUAAUUUGGUUUCUGAUAUAGUCUCUUUACUGAAUUUAUAUCUUUUAUGAUUCUUGGAUUUUGGGCUCCAACUUUUUAGGAUUUGAUAGUCACAUUUUAUGGCAUGCUUAGAUUGAUUUUCAUGAUUUGAGUACUCGUUAAGUGACUGAGAAUUUGACAAAAGUUUGAAAGGAAAUCCGUUUCACGAUUCUUAUGUGGAAGGUUCGUAAAAUCAUGAAAUUUGGAUAGGAUUCGCUAGCAAUAUGUACAAGACUCUUCAUGAAGUUUCAUAAUUUUUCGUUCGGUCUGGGGUGGUACAGGUGAAACUUGUGGUUGGUGUUAAAGAAGAAGUGAAAAGCCUUAUCAGCCACCUUCAAGCCAUUCAAGCUGUGCUCGAUGAUGCAGAGGAAAAGCAAGUGAAGGACAAAGCUGUUAGACAUUGGCUGGGCAGGCUCAAGUAUGCAUCCUACGACAUUGAAGAUGUGUUGGAUGAGUGGAUCACAGCUAGACACAAAUUGCAAAUUGAGGGUGGCGUUGAUGACAAUGCUCUUGCUGCUCCUCAAAAGAAAAAGAAGGUAUGUUUCUGCUUUCCUGCCUCUUGUUUUGGAUUCAAACAAGAAGAAUUUGGUUUCAGACAAGUCUUUCUACGUUAUGACAUUGCCAACAAGAUCAAAGAAAUGAAUAAAGAGCUACAUGAUAUUGCCACUCAAAAAGACAUGUUUAAUCUUGUUAAGAGUGGCAAUAAAAGUGGUGAAAGACCAAGGCGUGUACAGAGUACCUCCUUGAUUGAUGAGGAAGAGAUUUGUGGUAGAGUUGGUGAGAAGAAUGAACUCAUAAGCAAGCUGUUGCGUGAGAGUAGCGAGCAACAAAAAGGCCUCCAUAUGAUCUCAAUUGUUGGUAUGGGAGGCAUAGGGAAAACUACUCUUGCACAACUAGCUUGUAAUGAUGACGUGGUGAAGAGAAAGUUCGACAAAAUUCUGUGGGUGUGUGUAUCAGAAACUUUUGAGGAGUUUAGGGUUGCCAAAGCAAUCGUUGAAGCUUUGGAUGGUCGUGAAUCUCAUUUAGGUGAAUUCCAAUCUCUUCUUAAACAUAUUGAUGAAUCCAUUGCAGGGAAGAGCUUUCUUCUUGUCUUAGAUGACGUGUGGGAUGGAAAUUACUUGAAAUGGGAACCAUUCUAUCGUUGUCUAAAGAAUGGUCUCCAUGGAAGUAAAAUUUUAGUUACCACACGUAGUGGGUCCGUUGCAUCCACGAUGGGAUCCAUAGAUAUUAUUCCCAUUGAGAAAUUAGCUGAAGAGGAAUGUUGGUUGUUGUUUAACAAGAUAGCAUUUUUUGGUAGGCCUAUCGAGGAACGUGAAAAAUUCGAACGAAUUGGGCGAAGAAUUGCUGGCAAGUGCAAAGGUUUACCUCUUGCAACAAAGACAAUAGGUAGUCUCAUGCGUUCUAAACAAACUGAAGAAGAGUGGAAAAGAAUUUUAAAUAGUGAUUUAUGGAAAGUAGAAGAGAUUGAGAAAGAUGUUUUGUCCUCUUUAUUGUUGAGUUACAAUGAUUUGCCAUCUAGAGUAAAAAGAUGUUUUUCAUAUUGUGCUCUCUUUCCAAAAGACUACGAUAUAGAAAAAGACAAACUAAUCACAUUGUGGAUGGCUCAAGGUUAUCUUAGUGCAGAAGAAGAUGAGGAGAUGGAGACUAUAGGUGAAGAGUAUUUUAGCAUCUUAGCUUCUCGCUCUUUCUUUCAAGAGUUUAAGAAAAGUUAUGAUAAUCGGAUUAUAGAGUGUAAGAUGCAUGAUAUGGUACAUGAUUUUGCCCGAUUUGUAAGUCAAAAUGAAUGUUUUUCGAUGGCAAUUAAUGGUAGUGAAGAACCAAACGCCACAAACUCUGUUGAUGAGAAGGUCCGUCAUUUAAUGUUAAUCUUUAGUAUAGAGGCUUCAUUACCUGUUUCCACUCCUAGAGUUAAAAGAAUGCGUACCCUCUUAAUUAACGAUAGUAGAUCUGAUCAAUCAUUAUUAAAUGGUGAGAUCCUAGAAGAAUUGUUUAGGGAAUUGACAAGUUUAAGGGCAUUAGAUUUUGACAAAUUGUACCACUCAAUUUGGUCUUCGACUCUGGAGAUUCCGAGAAACAUAGAAAAGCUGGUACAUUUAAGAUACCUUAAUUUGUCUUCUCAGAAAAUAGUGGAGCUACCGGAGACAUUGUGCGAGUUAUAUAAUCUAGAAAAGUUAGAUAUUAGUUUUUGUUUUGAUCUUAGAGAAUUACCUGAAGGGAUUGGGAAGUUAAUAAACAUGAAGCAUUUACUAAAUUAUGAUACUGAUUCUUUAAGGUACAUGCCAGUAGGGAUUGGGAGAUUAACGGGUCUUAGGACCUUGGAUGAGUUCCACGUGAGUGCAGGAGGAGCUGUUGAUGGUAGGAAAGCAUGUAGGCUUGAAUCUCUUAAAAACUUGGAACACCUUCAAGUAUGUGGUAUACGUAGACUGGGUGAUGUAUCAGAUGUGGGCGAGGCUAAGCGAUUAGAACUUGACAAAAAGAAAUACCUCUUCAGUUUGACCCUUGAGUUUGAUAAGAAGGAGGAAGAAGAAGGAGAAAGAAGGAAGAACGAGGACGAUCAACUUCUUCUUGAAGCCCUGCGACCACCUCUGGAUUUAAAGGAAUUAGAGAUACGGUUCUACCGAGGCAACACUGUUUUCCCCAGCUGGAUGACGUCAUUAACCAACUUAAAGAGUUUAAAACUCUCUUUCUGCGAAAAUUGCGAGCAGCUGCCUCCUUUGGGAAAAUUGCCGUCCCUUGAACAGCUCUUCAUAUCGUACAUGUCGAGUGUGAAAAGAGUGGGUGAUGAAUUUUUGGGGAUAGAAAGUGAUCAUCAUGGCUCAUCUUCAUCUUCAUCGGUUAUUAUUGCCUUCCCCAAAUUGAAAUCACUUUCAAUUGAGUUUCUGUGCGAAUUGGAGGAGUGGGAUUAUGGGAUUACAAGAACGGGAAACACCGUCAUCAACAUCAUGCCACGUCUUUCUUCCUUGACAAUUGCUCUUUGCCCCAAAUUAAAGGCACUGCCCGACCACAUUCAUCAAACGACAACAUUGAAGGAAUUGCACAUUUGGGAUUGCAGGCUUCUGGAAGAACGUUAUUGCAAGGGGGAAGGAGAAGACUGGCCUAAGAUAUCACACAUUCCCAACCUCCAUAUUGGGCAUUGACAAGUAAUUUCUUCUCUUACUCUGAUUUGCUUUGUUGUUGUUUUUAAUCUAAUUAAGAAGCGUAAAUAGCAUUUUGAAUCAAACUCUAUAUCAGAAAUCUGCAAUACUUACUUUCUAAUAUUCUGAUUUUCAUAUCCUAUGAAUAUACGAUUUUUAAUUUGUGAGAUGGGUAACGUUACUGUAAAAGAUUAUUAAUGCAAUAUGAGUAAUUCUUUUGCAGGACAAGUGACCUACAUUUAGUUUGGCUUUGGAGUUGAAUAAUAACCUUUCGGGAACUGGUGUGGACUGGCAAAGGAUGAUGAGAUAGUUUUUUGAGUGAGUAAAUUUUGGGAGCUUGAGUGUAUUGGGAUUUGCAAUUACAAUCAUCGUCUGCCUCAGGUGAUUUCUUCUCCUGCUCUGUCAUUGUUUGUUCUCUAAUUCAAAAGCAUAAAAUAUUUCAAUCAAUUUUUAUGCCAGGAAUAUGCAAAAGUUUCUAAUAUUUUAUUUCCAUCUGUCACAAGAUCAAACUGAAGCAGAACUCAAACAAAAGUAUGCUACUUCUUGCGGAAAUCUUGCCUUCGUUCAAAUUAUGAAACCAUUUCCAUGCAGCAAAUUCAUCCAAAAGUUUGAAUAAGUUUCAUGGUUGGACACUGUUGGCUUCUUUUUCUUCUGGGGUGCAUUUAGGUGCUAUCAAGUGACAGCUGUAAGUAUGAUUGCACUAAGCUGCUGCUGGGAAAUUUGAGGUUUUGAUGGCUGCCCAUGUUAUUUUCAAGAAACUAUUGAUGUAAGAAGCCGUGGUUCUUUUCAUCAGCUUGAACCUGAAACUGUCGCUAUGGAUAACUCAGGUUUUUGUUAUCAACUAUAUCAUCUUUUUCACUAUUUUGAAACUCUUAAGAUUAAACGUUAGUAAAGUUGUUUCAGCUAUUCAAAUGAAAAACUCAUUGAUUUGAGACUUCCUUCAUUAUUGUUUCUAAUUACAAUGCUAACGAUCCAGAUAAAAUAAUAUUUAAUCGGCGAAGGUGUCCCUUGGAAGUACAUCCUUCUUUUUCUUUUAUUAUAUAAAUUCUUGCAAUGAGCUUAGUCAAGAUGUUGUGCUAAUCAUGCCACUGCAUAUAAAUUCUCCAGAAGUUAAAAUCAAUAAAUUUUCUAUUAGCUCUAGUGCUUUGACCUAAAUGCUAUUCUAUAUUCUGAUUACAAUGUUUUAACCUUUAAAUUAACUACCCCUAGGUGUUGGAUUUUCUAGAACUUCAAAAUGAUUAAUGGAGAAAGAUCCCAUUAUCGUUAUUGCUAUAAGAAAUUGAUUUAUGCAUCCAAAGAUACAUUAUAUAUUUCUGUGUCUCUAUUUAUAGAUGACAUUUAAGCAUCCAUAAACCGUCAGACAGAGGAAGGGGGUUCAGUGCAAAGAUUCUGUUGACCUAGGGUUGACUGCAUAAUGUCACUUGUUCGCAAUCUAUUAUUUAUUUUAUAUUUUGAAGAAUUUAAUGGGUAAUCCUAAUUGUUUGUUUUGGCAGGUAUGUGUUGUUUUCUCCUUCUAUCUAACAGUCGUACCUAAAUAGCAUAGUUUCAUCUGUGUUACCAUGUGAUGUACAUAAUUUCACAUUUGCCUCAGAUUAAGCUUAAUUUCCCACAGAAUAGAGCUGUCGCGACUGGACUUAGGUUGAUGUCCAAAGAGGUAAAUUAUUGGCAUGCCUAGAUAAUUUGGCCAUUUCCUAAUUCAUAAGUCUACAUUAAUUUUGAUUUUGAGUUGACUGAUUUCUUUUCAAGGUCUGCUUCCUUAACGGAGUGACCAAUGUUUUUCAACUAAAUUUAUCAUAUGAUGCAGGAAGCAGGGCAGGAUAUGAAAUGAGAAGCUCAUUGGUGGAAGUAUUGCCAGUAACAGAACCCAAAGAAAAUGAAACUAUUUCAAGGCAGCAGUUGGCAGUUGCAAGUGAAUGGAGGCCCUGACAAAAUUCUCAAGCGGUUGCAAUGCAAUUACGAUCAUCCUCAGCCUCAGGUAAUUUCUUCUCCUGCUCUGUUUUUAUUUGUUAUCUAAUUAAAAAGCAUAAAGUAUCUUGAAUCACUUUCUCUAUCUGGAAUAUAUGCAGCAGUUUCUAAAAUCUUCAUAUGAGUGUAAUGAUGGUAAUUUCUGUUUUUUGUCUGUCAUUGAAUGUUAGACAACUUUCAGUGAGACUCUUGAACCGAGACAUUUUUGACAACUGAAGGACAAUUGCUGAAGAGUCGGAAUGGUGCUAGAUUGGGGAAUAAAGACAAAGGAGGUAAAUUAUUUGCAGUUUAUUCAGCAUUAUUUGCUUUGGACCAGCGCCUGAUUCACAAGUCUCCAUAAUUUGGCUUUUGACCAGUUAAUAAAUUUUUAAUUCCAUUGGUGCUAAAUGUACACGUGAAGCAGGCAGAGCAGGACUGUGGAAAUGAGAAGGUUUUUAGUGAAAGCUUAAACUCAGGUAAUUCUAAAAAGUACAUGUUUUUGCUGAUUUAUCUAAAUCAGGAAAUUUUAUUUCCAUCUGUUACAAGAUAAAACAGAAACAGAACACAAAGAAAAAUAUUCUACUUCUUGUGGCAAUCUUGCCUUCAUUCAGACAAUGAAACCAUUUCCUUUCACCAAUUUCUUCCAAAAGUUUGAAUAAGUUUCAUGGGUGGACCUAGUUAGCUUCUUUUUCUUUUGGUGCAUUUAGGUCCUAUCAAGUGACAGCCAUAAGUAUGAUUGCAUUAUUGGGAAAUUUUAGGUUUGGAUGGCUCCCCAUGUUAUUGCCAAGAAAGUCCUCAUGUCAGAAGCUGCGGUUCUUUUCAUCAGCCUGAACCCGAACCUGUCGUUAUGGAUAACUCAGGUUUUUGUCAUCAACUAUAUCAUCUUUUUUACUGUUUUGAAACUCUUAAGAUUAAACUUCAGUAAAGUUGUUUCAGUUAUCCAUGUAAUCAGGCUAAGGAUAUUUAGCAGCUUAUUUAGGCAACUGCCAGAAUUCAGUUUGUUAGCUCGAAACUUGUAUGGUGACAAGGAUACUGGCAAGGAUAGUGAGAUAGUUUUUUGUGUGAGUGAAAUUUGAAAGCUUGGGUGUUCUGGGAUUUGCAAUUGCAAUCAUCCUCUGAGUCAGGUGAUUUCUUCACCUGCUCUGUCUUGAUUUUCUCUCUAAUUGAAAGCAUAAAGUAUUUCAAUCAAAUUCUGUACCAGGAAUACGUAAAAGUUACUAAUAUUUUAUUUCCAUCUGUUUGCAUUGAUAACUCGGCGGCAUAUGUUCUAGUUAAAGAACAAACAGAAACAGAGUUCAGGAAAAAGUUUCUUCGGCCACCAUAUUUGAAAAUGAAACCAUUUCCAGGAAGCAGUUGGCAGCAAAUUCAUAUGGAGUGUAGACAAUGAUGAGCAAAAAGGUGAUUCGCAAUUUCUUUUUUUUUUUAAGUGAAAUUAUUUGUUAGAUUGAAGCUGAUAUUGUAAGAAGGCCAUUGAGCUAACCUAUGUCGCCACUUGCCUAGAUUGCAGGGGGUCAAGACUCAAAAGAAGCACUGAAAUUUAAAAAGCAUGCAAUAGUUCUUUUGCCAUGUGUCAAUUAAUGCAAGUUUGAAUAAGUUUAUUGGCUGAACGAUGUUAGCUUCUUUUCCUUUCGUGCACUUUGGUAUGCUAUCAAGUGACAGCCGUAUGUAUGGCUUGCAUAUAGCUGCUGCUGGGAAAAUUGACGAUUUCAUGGCUGGCCGUGUUAUUGUCUUAAAUUAGUUGUGAUAAGCUGUUGCUUGGAGAUUCUGUUGCCAAGAAUUUGCUCACAUCAGAAGCUGUGGAAUCUGAACCCUUCGAUUCUGUUGCCAAGAAUUUGCUCACAUCAGAAGCUGUGGAAUCUGAACCCUUCGUUAUGUAUCAUCUUUUUCAUUGUUUUAAAACAGUAAACUCUCAGGACACUGAGCAGGCAAAUGUUAUAACUCGGUUUGUUAGCCAAAAACUUGUUGAAGAUUCUUGACAAAGCUGCGUCGAGUGAAUUGUCGGAGCUCUGAGGGUGAGAGAAAUUAGAGGGUGUAUAGGGAUUUGGAUUUGUUAGGAAGUUAUCAUUUUUAUUUGUCCGAUUCAAAACUUGAUAUUCCAAUUAUAUUCAUAAGCUUCUACAGUUAUCUUCAAAAAGACAUUCCAAUUAUAUUCAUAAGCUUCUACAGUUAUCUUCAAAAAGACAAAUGGAAGGCUUUGAACGGCUUGGGUCUGAGUAUUGUAGUUUGAUUUAUUUUGAUGAAAGAACCUUUUGACAUUAAGAUUCUUUCAUGAGUUAAACAUUCUUUUUAAAACCAACUUAUUAAAAAAAAAGUAACGAACAUAUAUUAUUUUGUUAGUGCUUUUUAAAUCAAAUAUAAAAAAGAGAACUGUAAUUCUUAGCAACCAAUUUUUCAUUGAGUACACCUACAACAAAUUAUUAAAAAAUAAAGCGAUAGAAAAUGCCUGAUUUUUCGUACUUUCUAAUUACUUUUGGUCCUAAAAUAUGGCGAUUUGUGUAAUAAUAAGCCCAUGUAUAUCUUUAUGCCAUUAGUUUGAUAAAUAACUAUCAAGGAUAACUUAUUAAGCUAAAAAUAUUUGAAGGAUAAAAUGGGAAAACUAAAAGGGUGGAGUAAUAAAGUUAUUUAAGAUUACAUAGUAAGUUAACUAUAUUCGAGGGAUAAAAUAUUAAAACUUGAAUAGUUAUAUUAAAAAUAUCUCGGCUAUUAUACUAUUAAACCAUAUGCCGUAAUAAUGUUUUUUUUCAAACUUUAAAAAAUUCAGGAUUUUAAAUUAAAACAUGGAUUUCUUUAAGAUGCUAUAUGUGUUUUUACAGUAUUGAUAGUGGGAUUAGUGUGUACCCUUAUAUGAAAGAGUUUUAAUCUGAAUCAUUCAUUUAAUAUAAUAGAUAAUUAAAUAAUUAAUUAAAAUAUAGCAGGUAACUUAUAGGUUGCAGGUAAAAAAUUAAUUUUUUAAUUUUAAAUUAAAAUUAAUUUGGAACAAAACCAUCCACACCCCUAAGGUUUACUUAAAUGAUCAUAUAAAUCCCUUUAGUUUCUACAUAGUUAUACAGACCCUCUUAAUUUCAUAAAUUAUUAUUAUACUUUUAAUUAAAACAACCUAAAUGAAUAUAAAUAUAGUAAUAGGAUAGAAAUAAUAAAUAAAUAUCAGAUGAAACAAAUAAAAUAUUACAAUAAAUACAAUUAAUUAAAUAACAUGUAUGAUGAAAAUUUUAUUCAUAUUAAGUUAUUAUUAGUCUAUCCCGAUGGAUUUACUCAAAUCAAUUAAUCCAAAAUUUAAUUUUAAGAUUGAUAUUAAUAUGGACAUAAUUAAAUAAGAUGUUGUAAUAUAUACUACUUUGAAUGUUAAGUAUAAUUAUCUAAUAUUAUUAGUAUGUGAAAUAGAUUUUAAUAUUAUUAAAGAAUAUGACAAUAUAUAAUUUUGAAUUAAAUUUUUUAGUAUUCAUGAUAUUUUAUAAAUUUUAUGUGAUUUUAUAUAUUAUAUUUUUUAAUUUUAAUGUAUUAUAUAUGAUCAUUUAAGCAAAUUUUGGAGGUGCGGUGGUCUUUUCCCUAUUAAUUUUGUAGCAUAUUUAAAGUGUUAUAUCAUACAUGAUACAUCACACUUUUGUUAAAGUGUUAUGUUAUUAAAAAUUAAACUUUGCAUUUAUAAUAUACUACCAUUUUAAUGUAAAGGUAAUAGAAAAUAUGAAGAUAUUUUUAAGUAGUCAAUUGUAGCUUUCUUUUACAAAAUAGCAGUAUAGAAAUACAAUUGGUAAAAUGUAAUAAAAAUGGUAUGGAAAAAAGUUAGUAGAGGCAAUUAUUCUUGUAGUUGCUAAAACAUAUGAAGUGACACACACACACACACACAUAUCAAGUACUUGUAUGUUCCCCUAACUUUUAUUAAUGGGAAGGAAAUUAAAUUCGUAAUUUUCCCGGUGAAUUAUGAAUUGAUAAAUGAAAUAUAAAUAUUAGUAAAAAUUAAUUUGUCGACUAAAGAAGUAAACCAUAUUUUAUGGGCAUUUAAUACAUUAAUUUAAGGUCAAAUGAGAUAAUAUCACAUGAUAUUUGAUACAAGAGUCCAAUUUUCAACAUUUGCAUAUAGUUUCUAAGCUAGUAAUCUAAUAAAAUAUACCAAAUGAGAAAUUGAAGGCUAUUAUUUAUAUUUCACCAUUGGACAAACACCAUACAUUAGAAUAAAAAAAUCUCACAGUAGAGACGGCAUCUGUUUGCAUGUUUUGAAAAUAGAUUUUGAAAUUAGUUUAAUUACAUGAUAAUUAAAUUAUAUUAUAAAAUUAAGAAUAUGAUUUAAGUACUAUUUUAGCAAUUUUGAGUCUCACAUUGAGUAUUCAAGUUAAUUAAAUGUUGAAACUCUUUUCUAUUUGGCUUGAAAUCACUACUAAAUAAAAUUACAAAAAGUCAAUAAUGAAUGAUGUAGGACACAUAUGUAAAAUAAAUUUUAAAGUGUAAUUAAACAUUCCUAUCAAUAUUAGUUUUGCAUACAUAUUCAUAUAUUUUACCGAAACCAUAUAUAAUUAAAUUUUGUGUAAUUAAGUAAAAUAUAUUAUUCAAGUGAAUUUAUGAGAAUAUUUAAAAUUGUAGGGGUCGUCACUGAAAUUUGCCAAACUUGAGCCAACCGUGCAUGAUCCAAACAGUUUAUUUUAAUAAUUCUCAAUAUGUUAGUCUGUUUGACUGUUGGCAAAAUAAAUUCCUAUCAGCAAUGCAACACAAUUCAAAAUCAUAUCUGCAUACAACGAACAAUAUCUCAUGAAAGAUCAAAUUAUACAUUUUUUACACCAAACCAUAAAUAUCUAAAUUGUCCCUCUUCAACUCACCAAGCUCAUACCUAACAACAGCAAGAUUAAAUGUCAUUUGAUCCAUCUUUUUUAUUAAGCUUUAUCAAUUCUUCUCAUGGUUGCAAUUUUGAAAGCUCGCUUCGCUAUUUCCAUUUGCUUUUAUGCUUUGUUUGAGCUCCAUCUUUUCUCUCCAUCUACAUUUUACACUGUAAAAAAAAUUUUAAAAAAAUUACAAAGCUUCUUAUGCUAGAAUAUGAGCAACAAUAUAAAUAAUAAACAAUAAAGUUAUGAUAGCACAGCAUGCUCAUUAAAGUGCUUCUUUUUUUUUUUUUUCAACAAGAAAUUACUACUGAAUUAAAGAUUUGGCUUUGCAUUAAGGUUUGCCUUCAAUAACUCAACUCCCCACUUGGGUUUUGUCGUUUUCUUAAAAUCUCUGCUCAAUCAAUUUAAAGAUCCUUUUUUUUUUCUUUCCAAAGAUCUAAAAGCAAUGUCUUUUAUUGGUACCCAACAAAAAUGCAAGGUCUGUGAGAAGACAGUUUGUCCAGUUGAGCAGUUAUCUACUGAUGGGGUUGUUUAUCACAAGUCUUGCUUCAAGUGCUCUCACUGCACUGCAAAGGCACACUCAAGCUAAGCAAUUACUCAUCCCUGGAAGGUGUUCUUUACUGUAAGCCUCACUUUGAGCAGCUUUUGAAGGAGUCGAGUAACUUCAACAAGAAUUUCCAAUUACCUGCAAAGUCAGCUGAGAAGUUAACUCCUGAGCUGAAAAGGUCGCCUAGCAAAGUUGACAGCAUGUUCUCUGGGCCCAAUAAAAAUGUGCUUCUUGCAGUAAAACAGUGUGUCCGUGGGAGAAGGUAGCAGCGGAAAACCAAGCCUCUCACAAGACAUGUUUCAAGUGCUCACAUGGUGGUAAUUCCAUUAGCCCGUCAAAUUACGCAGCCCUAGAAGGCAUCUUGUAUUGCAAACAUAAUUUCUCCCAAUUGUUCAAGGAAAAAGGCAGCUACAACCACCUUCUAUCAAAUCUGCUUCCAUGAAGCGUGCUGCAGUCUCUGUUCAAGAAGCUUGAACAUGUUAUGUUAUCUUCCAUAAAUCUUAUUUGGCGUGGGUUUUCUCUGGCUUGAGGGUGUGCUUUCUAUUUUGAUCCCUCUUGUUGUUUUUGCGGGGAACUACCAAACCUUCGGUUCCCUCUGCUUCUUUGGAUCAUCUUUGUUGGGACAAAUUUCAUGUAAUUAGAGAUACUGAUUUAUGGGAGGCAUAAUCCCAUGGUUGUAAAUUGACCAUUUUCUGGCAAUGUUCUUUUUAAAAAGAGAUGAGCAGUUGUUUAACAAAAAAAAUAGCUGGCCUUCAUCAUGGUAUGUUACCAAACUGCUAUGUAUAGCUGCUAACUAUGAGCAUCCGAAAAUAUGGUGCAUCGUGAUUCAUGUCGUGCAAUAUGGCUACCAACGCAUCCUAAAUGGAGUAUUACUCAGUUAGUCAGCAAAAUAAGACAACAGUAAGAUAUUAAAAAAAUAAAAACUACAUUAAUAAGUGGGCAAGAUCAUGCCAGUUUAACUUUUCGCGCGUCGCUGCUGGAGAUAAUCAAAUCGGGGCAGAGAAAAGGAGAAUGGAAUCAGAGGCUAAGAUUAAUAAGUGGGCUUCUGCUUGCUUUGCCCCUCUUUCUUAAACGAUUGGUAGACUGCUGCUUCCACCGAUUAACCGGGUCUUCAACCACUGCUUUUAUUGCCUGCCAUCUUGUUGUUUGUCGAAGGGAUGAAUUCGAGUCGAAAAGAGAAAGCGCGCUGAAAAAGACAAAUCACUAGUGGUUAACUACUGACUCAGCCAAGUGUUGGCUUCACUUGAUUCACCGAUUGAGGUUAUUUUGUCUUCUAUCUAAUGCAGCGAAGAAGCUUUACUGCUUAACAUGCUGCAAUGCAACUUUAUCUUUUGAAGUUCACACUUCAGGGCUGCGCACUUUAUGUAAUCCUAUGAGUAAAAAGAAUUUAUUUUCAAAUGUGAAAAAAGAAAAUGUAAGGUAGUAACUAAAUAUAUUAUAGCAUCAAAGUAAGAUUUGAUAUGAAUUUAGUACAACAAAGAACAUUAAAUCUGUGAUUCCUUGUCUAAUGUCACCAUCGAGCAACAAAUUUAAAAGCCUACCUAUCAAAUACACGAGGCAAUAAACGGAGAAAAAGUUGAAUUACAAGAACAAGUUUACAAUUCUUGUCAAUGGUUAAUGAUUCGUGAAUUGAGAUAGCAUUCAAGAAUCCAAUUUCAAUACAACAACGUAAAAGAUAAACAGAUGAUGAAUUUUAUGAGAUAAAGAAGGAGAUUGUGUUUUAUCGUAUCUCUAUUUUCUUUCCAUUUAAAUUUAAAAUAAGCUUUUCAACCGGUUAUAAUAUUUUUUGAAAUAAUUAAAUAUUUUUAUUAUUAAAAAUAAUGUGUACCGUUGAUUACAUCUAACGCUACAUAUUUCUUACACUAUUAAUACCGUAAAAAAAAUCAUAGAGGGACCCUUAAAACAUUUUCAUUUGAAAUUAUUUGGUGAAGUGAAAAAGUUAAGAAAGAAAUAGUUGUCCCUUUGGUCAUUUCACAAAAAUGAAAGCCCCAUAUAACAUGGACUUGAAUGGAAGCCCAAUUGUUGUGUUUGAUUUCAAGCUUUAUCGGACCUUUGGACCUGGAUACUUUACUGCGGCCUCUAAGCGCUACAAAUUUUUUUUUUGGGAUAAAAGGCGCUUCAAUGAAAAAGCACUUUAAAACUUUGGAUUUUGCCAAAACUUCAAAGCGGUUGGUCCAGUUACGGUGUUAUGCUAACGGGUUUAAAGGUUCCGAUCCAAUGAGUUAGGGUGGAAUAUGAAUAUAUAAAUCCUAGUCAUGUAAGGACUAGGAUUUGUUUGUUCAUAUCAAGAAAAAAAAUCUGAAAAUUUGAUGAUCAGAAGAUAAAAACACUUAAACACGUUUAUUACAGAGAAACAAACGACAACAUGAUGCUAGUAGUAAUUUUAUUUUUCUUUUAUUGUGUAACGUGGACCAAAAAAAAGGAAAUGAAUUUAAUAAAACCGUCAUUCCGCAAUAAUAAUGUACCAGCCUGGUUUUUAUAAUCCAUACCAUCCUGAUAUAAUUAAACACCAUUAAUAAUGUACCAGCCUUUAAAUAGUAAUUAAUUUAUUUAUCUAAUUCACCAAAUGUCAUUUCCGGUACAUAUCUCCUGGUAUCAAGAAGAGGCAGAACCCAAAGAAACGUUUCUUGUAUCUUCAUAUUUGUGCGAAUUCAUCCUUUCAUUGAGAAUAACCAUUUCCAGGCGGCAGUUGGCAAUCAAUUCAUGCGCAAGUCGAUGCUAUUCAUAGAUAUUAAAGACAAUGAUGAACCAAAGGUGAUAAAUCAUAAAUGCAUAAUUACCAAACCUCCAUCCUUCUCUCAUUAUGAUUUGAUUUUAAAUGAAUUAUUGCUUGGUAACAUUAUUUCCAACCAUUGCAAGAUUAUUAUUAUUUUUUUUUGGGGAGAAAUUUCAAUUGAAAGUGAAACCUUUAGACAUUUACCUAAUGAAGUUAGUUAAUGGGGAGGGUUGGAAAAAUUCCCAAGCCGUUGCACAGCAAUUACGAUCAUCCUCGGCCUCAGGUAAUUUCUUCUCCUGCAUUUUUGUUAUUUGCUAUCAAGUGACAUUCGUAAGUAUGAUUGUAUUAAGCUGCUGCUGGGAAAUAUAAGGUUUUGAUGGCUGCCCAUGCUAUUGUCAGAAGCUGCGGUUCUUUUCAUCAGCCUGAACCUGGACCUGUCGCCAUGGAUAACUGAGGUUUUUUUUUUUUUAAAUCAACUACGUCAUCUUUUCCACUGUUUUGAAACUCUUAAGAUUAAACUUUAGUAAAGUUGUUUUAGUUAUCCAUGUAAUCAGGCUGAGGAUACUUAGCUGCCUAUUUAGGCAAAUGUCAGACUUUAGUUUGUUCGCUGGGAACUGGUGUGGUGACAGCGUCCUGGCAAAGGAUGAUGAGAUAGUUUUUUGAUUGAGUAAAUUUUGGGGGCUUGAGUAUAUUGGGAUUUGCAAUUACAAUUAUCCUCUGCCUCAGGUGAUUUCUUCUCCUGCCCUGUCGUUGUUUGUUCUCUAAUUCAAAAUUAUAAAAUAUUUCAUCAAAUUUUAUGCCGGGAAUAUGCAAAAGUUUCUAAUAUUUUAUUUCCAUCUGUUUGUCUUGAUAACUUUGCAGCAUAUGUACUAGUUAAAGAACAAAUCGAAACAGAGUUCAGUUAAAAGUUUCUUCUGCCGUCAUAUUUGAAAAAUGAACCCAUUUCCAGGAAGCAAUGGGCAGCAAAUUCAUAUAAAGCGUAGACAAUGAUGAGCAAACAGGUGAUUCACAUUAAUGAAAUUAAUUGUUUGGUUGGAGCGGACAUUGUUAGAAGGCUAUUGAGCUAACCUAUGUCACUACUUGCCUAGAUUACAGGGGGUCAAAACUCAAAAGCGGCAUUGAAUUUUAAAAGGCAUCCAAUAAUUCUUGUGGCCAUAUAUCAAUUCAUGUAUGUUUGAAUGUAAUUAUUGGUGAAGGGGUUUCACUUCCCGUCUCUAAAUAAAAAUACUGAUUCUUUAAGGUACCUGCCACUAGGGAUUGCGAGAUUAAUGAGUCUUUGGACAUUGGAAGAGCUCCUUGUGAGUGGAGGAGGAGGUGUUGAUGGUAGCAAAGCAUGUGGGCAGUGGGCUUGAAUCUCUAAAAAACUUGGAACUCCUCCAAGCGUAAGUAUACGUAUACUGGGAAAUUUGUUAGAUGUGGAUGAGGCUAAGAGAUUAGAGCUUGACAAAAUGAAAUACCUCUUUCAUUGAGACUUAAAUUUGAUGGGGAAGAAGAAAAAGAAGAGGGAAGGAGGAAGAAUGAGGAUAAUCAACUUGUUCUUGAAGCCUUGCAACCACCUCUGAAUUUGAAGGAAUUAGAGAUUUGGUCAUACAGAGGCAACAUUGUUUCCCCCCGGAUGAUGCAAAAAUUGAAGGAAUUUACCAAUCUAAGGAGUUUGACACUCUUUAAAACUGCAAAAAUUGAGAGCAGUUGCCUCCUUUGGGAAAAUUGUGAUCCUUUGAAAAUCUCAGCAUAUUGUACAUGGAGAGUGUGAAAACAGUGGGUAAUGAAUUUCUGGGAAUAGAAAGUCAUCUUCAUGACUCAUCUCCAUCUUUAUCAGUUAUUAUUGCCUUCCCCAAAUUGAAAUCACUUUCAGUUGAGGGAUUGAUGGAAUUGGAGGAGUGGGAUUAUGGGAUUAAAAGAACAGGAAACACCUUCACCAACAUUAUGCCACGUCUUUCUUCCUUGGAAAUUAGUGUGGGGUUAUGGGAUCGCACAACCACGUUGAAGGUAUUGCAGAUUGUGGCAUGUGGUACUCUAAGAAGACGUUGCAGACAGGGGAGAGCAGAAGACUGGCCUAAGUUCUCUCACAUUCUAGACAUCAUGAUUGUGUGAAAAGAGGCCCUUGACAAAAUUCUCUAGGCGGCUACAUGGAGUACAAUCAUAAAAUGCUAAUGUGGCCACCCUGGUUCUUAAUUAAGGUUGUGAAAUAUUAUUGUAAAAGAUGAUUAAUUCAAUUUGAGUCAUUCGUUUGCUUUGAUAAUGAUAGUAAUUUUAUAUUUUGACAAUUUGCAAGGUGAGAAUGGUGCUGAUUGGUGAUACAGGAUACGGUUCAAACACCAUUGAAUAAAGCUACGGACAUGGUGGCUCAACUUAGCUAUUGCUGUCAAAAUUGGUAAGUUGGCUUGUCAAUGUAUUGAUGCUUUUGUUUUCUCUCAACCCUAAUUACCUUACCUUCAUUUAGUUUGGCUUUGGAGUUGAGUAAUAACUUUCAAGGUUCUCAAACAGAGCAGGACAACCGAAAAAAAAAGCUUAAUUUGCUACUGAUCACGUGUUACCAAUUAUUAAGGUAAUUCUCGUUUACUUGCUUCUACACUAUAGAGUACGUGUUCUGGCUGGUUUAUCUAAUUCAUCAAAUGUUAUUUCCUUAUUGUUCCAUUGAUAUAUUUGUUAGAAAGUGAAACCAUUUCCAGGCAGCAGUUGGCAGUGAAUUCAUGCAAAUGUUGAUGCCAUUCAUAGAUAUUGAAGACAAUGAUGAGCCAAAGGUGAUAAAUCAUUAAUGCAUAGUUACCAAAACCUCCAUCCUUCUCUCAUUGUAAUUUGAUUUGAAAUGAAUAAUUUCUAGGUAAUUGAAGCCAAUAUUGUUAGAAACGGUGUUGAGCUACCCAAGCUAAGAAGUUGGCUGCCAAAAAAUGCAGGGGAUCAAAAGAAGCAUUGCAUUUGAAAAGGAAUGAGAUUCUGGUUGCUACAUGUCAAUUCGUAGAAGUUUCAAUAAAUUUAAUGGUUCAAGAUUUUAGUUUCUGUUUAAAUUUGUGCUACUGCAGUGCUGCAGUGCUGCUACUGGGAAAUUUAAAUCCCAUAUUAGACUUUCCUCACAUAAGAAGCUGUGGAUCUUCGGACAUCAGGUUUUUUCACAGUUCUGAAACUCUCAGGAUUAAACUCUAUUAAAGUUGUUGUAGUUGUCUACGUUCUCAGGUCAAGGAUUCUAAGCUGCCGAUUAAGGCAAAAUGUCAGAAUUCCCCUAUUAUUUUUUUUUUCAUGUAAAAUUAUGUUGUUGUCUUCGCCCAUGAAUCUUAGCUAAAUUCUGAACCAAUUGUUUGCUAUUAUAAAUUUCAUUGUUAAAUAUUAAUUGUGAUGUUGGUGUUGAGUUUCUUUUAAAGUCAGAGAAGCCUGACGAUUGAGUUCCAUGGGAUUCUGAGAAGCAGUAAUAUUUUGAACAAGUGAAGGUUCUUCGUUUUUACAGUAUGUGCAGAUGUCUAAGAGGCAGGAUUUUUAUUUCUGUAAUGCUAAAUUUCGCAAAACAAUAAAAAUAAAUAAAUGCAUGACAGUGACUUCAAGAAUUUAGAUUAUUGAAUUUGGUCAUUUUAAAAUUGUUGGAAUGUUGAACUUAAGUAAUUUUUAUAAACCAGAGCUCAGAAAUGUAGAAUAUAAAUAUUGGAGAUUUGGACUUCAAUCAUUAGACUUGAAGCUAAAGAGGUAAGCCAUUAAUUAUAUCAAAGGAUUUGGAAAAUGGAGGGAUUGGAAAAAGGAAACAUUUUCAUAAACUUCAAGAGGAACGUCACAGAAAGGGGUAAAGAGAAGAGUAGCCUAAGAUAUUAAAGACAAUGUUGAGCCAAAGGAAACAUAAAUCCCAACCAUUGCAUGUGAACAUGAUCACAAUAAGGUCAAAAACCAUUUUUUUGAGAAUUUUCAAUUGAAAGUGAAACCUUUUGACAUUUACCUAGUAAAGUUAGUUAAACGAGAGAAAUAAAGGGGAAAAGAAAAGUUGACUCAAGUCAAUACAGAAUAAUUAGUUCAAUCUGGAGUAACUAAAACAGAGCCACUAUAUUUUCAAAAAUAUCUGCAUUCAUCACCUUCUCCUCCAGCUAGUGAGCUACACACGAAUCCUUUCCUUUUAGCAUUUUUGCAGCAUCAAUUUCUCCCCUCGUUUGUCAUCAAUUUCUCCCUUCGUUUCACCAAUACCAUGGCUGAUGCAAUCGUUUCCCCUCUCUUGGAGCAGCUGAUUAUCUUUGCUGCUGAAGAGUUGAAACAACAGGGGAAGCUGGUGAGUGUUGGAUGAGUGGAUCACAGCAUGCGCCAAAUCGCAAAAUAGAUCAAUGCUCUUGGUGCUCCUUAUCUGAAGAAGAAGGUGCAAAUUGGGAGCUGCAUUUCACUGUCAUAACAUUUAUUGUAAUUUCAUUUGGAGAUAUGUAAUAUCUGUUGUCCAGAUACAUAUCAUACACCAGUUGCUAUGUAAUUUCGUUUAGGUUCAUUUUUGUUUCUUAAGAGUUUGUAAAAAGAAUGGAAAGAUUUUAAAAUAUAAAUUUCAUAUCUGUUUAUUACUGUUGUUUGGUCUAAUUUCUUAUGUAGAAUUUUCAGAAUCUGUAGGACAUUAGUUUAUAAUUUUGAGAUUUUGCAGCCAUAAAAAAAAUUUUUUUUUUUUGCCAUUUUAUUUUGCUCCUUUAUCUAUGUGCAUGUUGACUGGCUGCAGUGAGUGAAAAUUUACCUAUAUAUGCUGGCUAUUCUUGGACAAUAUUAGAGAAAAUAAUCAUAUUAUUUCGCGUGAUGUGAACUUCCAUAACUUAUCAAUUGAAUUGCUGUAAAAUAUUAAAUAGUUUUAUUUUUCUUUUAUCGUGUAACUUGGACCAAAAAAGGAAAUGAGUUUAACACGACCCUCAAUAUAACCUCCAUUUCAGCACAAUACAUGUUAAUUGUUCCCCAAGGACUUCUCCUGUUUCCCAUUCCCACCUCCAUGCUCUCGAGAGGAAUUUAGCACCCAUCAAUUUUUAUUUUUGAAAACUCGUAAUGGUCUGAUAAAAUUAAACAACAUCAAUAAUGUUACCAGUCUUUAAAUAGUAAUUAAUUUAUUUAAUUUGCCACCUAAAAGAAUCCUGCUGGAAAUAGAGGUUAAAAAUUUUAUUAGAUCUGCUUACCUUUGUUCAUUCAGCAAAAACACUUACAAUUCACAGCUAGAGAAUCUAUCCAUUGACAAUUGUGGAUUAAAAUUAUAACACCUGAAUUCAAACAUAUCCUUAUGAAGUUAUGAAUUUGUUCAUACUUCAAAUGAUUUUUUUUUCCAAGCUAAUAAAGCAACCACUUUGAUCAAACGACGACGUUGAAGGAAUUACGUAUUUUCAAUGUCCUUUUCCAGACAGAUGUUGGAGAGAGGGAAAGGAGAAGACUGGCCUAAUUAAGAUAUCUCACAAAGAUUAUUGAGUUAAAAUGUUAUUGUAAAAGAUGUUUAAUACAAUAAUAGUAAUUCUUUUGCAUUGUUAUAAUGAGGCUGGUGGGUUUCCUCAGAGGAUGGAUAUGGCUCGCUAGCAUGCAUUUGGGAAGAUGCUAAUUAUCGGCCAUAAAAAGUCAGGGGGUUGUGGCUCUUCCGUCGCCCAGAAAUUCCUAAACUCAUAUAUCAAACUUCAGAUGAACUUGGGCAUUAUGUAAAUAUGUAUUUUUGAGAAUUAAACUAGUGCGUUCGAAAAAUUUUGAGCCAUUGUAAUCAUUUUAUUUUGCUAAGAGAAAAUUUUACUUUGUUUCGCUUUGCCUUUUGUUUUUUCUGUGAUAAUAUGAUUCAUACGAAUGUGAUUACACACUAUCAUGCAUCUAUUUUCAUUUGCUUGUCAUGAAUGGUCAACAUGCUCGAAAUAUUUACUUAGGUUGGAAAUAUUUGAAUCCACUAAAAUACUAUACAAACCCAUUUUAAAAUUAAAAAAAUGAUUAUCAUAAUACUCGUGAAGAUAACACGAUAUCAUACAUAAAAUAAAAUAUUUCGCAAAAAAGAUAAGAUACAAAUCUUGAGUAAAUAGGUACAAAAAAUAUUUUAGUGGGUUAAGUAGCACUAAUGCCCCCUUAUCAAAAAAUAAAUAAAAAUAACUAGUCUGAUUGGGUAUACCGUUUAUAUAUAUGUACAUAUUCUUGAUAAUGUGUAAUGUACAUUAUAGACAAAGAUUUUGAAAGCAAUAUUUUUUAAAAAGUCGAGAGAAUAGGAAAAGUCUAAAUCAAUUUUCUAAUCUCUACCUCCUUUAUGAUUUAAACUUUAGUGUUUAGUGUCGCGAGCCACUCAAAUUUUCUAAUCAAAGAGACUAAAUUGCACGAAAUUGUGCUAGCUUAUUUGAUUCUAGAAAUUUCUACUACACUGUAACACACUCUCACGUAGGGAUGGCAAUGGGGAGGGGAGGGGAGGGGACCAAUCUCCCCAUAUCCAUCCCCGAUAUUUUACAUAUGUCCCCGUCCCCGUCAGAAUUGCUUGAGAGAAUCCCCAUCCCCUCCUCGAAUAAUAACAGGGGAUCCCCGAGGGUCCCCGGUCCCCGAAUAACUAAUAAUCUAAUACAUUUUUUUAUUUUCGAUUUUAAAUUAAUCAUAUUAAAAUAAACUCAUACCGCUAUUGUAAGCUCGUAACCAAUUUUGACAGCACAUUAAGGCCUCCAAUGUGCUUGGAUGAAGUCUGUUAUGGUAUGGGCUCACAACUCUACCACUAGUGUUAAAAGCUGAUUCAGAAGCAACUGUUGUAAUUGGAAUUGCCAAAAUAUCUCUAGCAAUUCGAGCUAAUGUAGGAUACCUAUUAGCAUUUGUCUUCCACCAACUCAAAAUAUUAAAAUCUUCCAUCCGAGGUAUAACUUUCUCAUCCAAAUAUGAAUCUAAUUCAUCUGCAACAACUGCACAAUCUCCAUUGUUUACAUAAUCAUCAAAACCUAUCAUCCAUUUGGUUGCUUUCUUAUAAGAAUCCCCUGUAGAUCUAGUAGAAGAACUACUACCAGUAUAAUCAAAGCAAUAAACAGUUGGUGAAAACUUCAAUUAAUACUCUUCAACUAAUUCCCGGCAAAGGAUGACCACUUUCCCAACAUACAACUAUUUUGAUAUUUAUUAUUUUUAACAAUAUUUAUAAUUUUGUUAUUUAUUUAUUAGUAAUUUUAAAAAUAAAAAUAAAAUUAAAAAUUAAAAUGGGGAAAUGGGUAGGGGAUGGGGAUUCCACCUCAUCCCCGUCCCCUCCCCGAAUAAAAAAUUGGGUAAAAAAUUUUCCCCGUCCCCUCCCCGAAAAAAAAAUUGGGUAUAAAAUUAUCCCCGUACCCUCCCCGAAUGGGGAAAAUCCCCGAGGGUAUCCGUCCCCGUGGGGAUUUUUGCCAUCCCUACUCUCACGCUUGUACAUACCUCGAAAUUCUCUAGAAUUUACUAGAGUAGUGUUGCAUGUAGCUUGUACAUAGGUUUUUCUGGAACACUCCAGGCAUUACUAAGCAUGAGAGCCUUGAGAACUCUCUAGCCAUAAAACAUUCUAGGGUAAGCCUACCCUAAAAAUAGGGCAUGAUGCUUGCCACUUGAGCAUACAACAAGUAAGAACAAAUCAAGCAUACUUGUGAGCUCUCAAACUCUCUUAUACACACUUUUAUGAAUAAUAUAUUCUCUCUUUGGCUAUAUUGCUCUCUCUUCUCUCUAGUUUUUUUCGCAAGCAUCAAACCUUAGUUAGUCGAAAAAUUCAAGGCUUACUUUAUAGCUAUCUCGUAAAAGUUGUUUAAGUACCAUAGAGAUUUGCUGUGCAAAAUACUCAUCACAUGACAUUAGCUAAAUAAAAUUGUUUGAAAGCCACUUACCCAAACUAUUAAACGAAUAUUGACUUUUGUCUUAAUUUUCUAUCUCCUACGAUAAAUUUUAUAGUUAAAAAUUGAAAAAAAUUAAUAACUAUUAGAUAGAGCAUUCUUUAUUGUUAAAAGAAAUCUAUAUAGAUAGAUAGAUGGUAAUAUAAAAACUUACUUAUUGUAGUAUAAUGUUUUUAGUUUUUUGAAACACAGAUUCUCACUUUUUAAAGAUAAAAUUCAAAGAAAACAAGUUAAAUGUUGUAGAAAAUCUUCCAGCCAUACAAGAAAUUGUGAUGGCUAAAUGCAAACCUAACUAAAGUAUUAGUUGUUUUAUUACAAUCUCCAAAAAGAUGAGCAAUUCCAAAAUCUUUUUUUGUGACAAUAAACACUACACGUCAGUAAUUAUCCAGGUCAAAAGCAAGCUACUCUAUUAAAAAAAAAAAAAACUUGCAGUGAAUUCGAAGAUAAACCAAUUUUACUAGCAAGUUGGAUACAAAAGAGUAGGGCUUCGGCCUCAAUUACUCAGUGUACCAACAACUCAAUCUCGGUGAGUUAAAAUCAACUUCCAUCAGUCUUUUAUUUGUUGAUAGAUCGAUUAAGGUACCAAAAAGAAUAAUUAAAGAUGUAUUAGUUCAAGUUAAUAAAUUCAUAUAUCUUGUGGAUUUUAUUAUUUUGGAAACUGAACCAAUUGCUAAUGAAUGCAAACAAAUUCCUGUUACAUUGGGUCGUCCAUUUUUAACUACUGCUAAUACAUUGAUUAAUUGCUGGAAUGGAGUAAUGAAUUUAUCUUUCGGCAACAUGACAUUGGAACUUGAUGUGUUCAACAUAUGUAAACAACCUCACCACCAGGAAGAUGAUGAUAAUGAGAAUUAGGAGAUUGAUUUCAUCGAGCCAAUCAUUGAGGAACACAUUCAGAAUAAGAAUUUUACAAAUUCUGUGGAAAUUUAUUCUUCUUGUUCUUUUGAAUCGAGUAAAGAAUUAAAUUAUGAUACUGCUAACAUAUAACCUACAAUUGAUUCUAUGCAGGUACAUGCUGACAAUGGCCAAUCAAACUUUAAAGAUACAGAACAACCUGAAGAACCAAACGAAGAGCAAGUACCAGAGCUCAAAUUAAAGCCCUUACUGGAAGAAUUGAAGUAUGUCUAUCUUGGAGAACAACAGAUUUAUCCUGUGGUAAUUUUUUUCCCAACUCACGCUUGAUCAAGAAGGUAAGUUGUUGUCUGUACUAAAAAGGCAUAAAACUGCAUUUGGCUGGACUUUAAAAGACAUAAAAAACAAUAAUUCUUUAAUCUGCACACACCGAAUACACUUAGAGGAAAAUACCAAAACAACCCAUCAACAUCGACAUUAUAUGUGUAAACAUUAAAUACCAAAAUCAACCCCAAAAACUAUAAAUAAAAUAUCAUGAUUAAAAUGAAGUUUUUUUUUAGAUAUUCGUUGUAGUAUCUCUUUAGAUCGCAAACAAGAGAUAAAAUAAAUAAAUAUUUGCUAUGUAAAUAAAAAUAAAUAAUUUUUUUUAACUGAAAAAUAUUCUCAAAAACUAAAUAGUUCAAACUUUUUUUAACAUCAUGUGUUUCUAGGGUUGGGCAUUCAGUUCGGUUUUUACCGAACCGAACAACUAAAUUAAAUCGAAAUUACCUGUUCGGUUCAAUUGAAUAGACAAAAACCGAAGAGUUUAUAUUUUCAUGAACUGAAUGAUUUGUGUUUCAGUUGAGUUCGGUUCGAUUCUGGACCUGAACCGAACCGAACCGAUCCGUGAAUCGUAAACUGCCCACCCUUACGUAGUAGUUUCCGUUAACCGACGUUGUAUUGCUCGUAUAAAAUUGUUCAAAUGUUCAAAUCACAGUCUCCCGCUCUCAGCUCAGUCAGAGUUUCCAGGUCCAGAGACUUCCCGCUGACUGAGAACUUUUUCGUAGCAGGUCUACAAAUAAUGGAGUAGAGCUGAUUUUAUGAUUAAUUUAUUUCCUUUUUCAAUUUCUCUUGAUUGCGAUUUAAUCUGGAAAGUUAAACGUGAAUUGUUUAGUGCGGAUUAAAUGUUCGACGAAUUUCCCACAAGAGUAUUAAGUUCAAGAGAAAAAAAGAAAACAAUUGAGCGUGAGCGUGAGCGAGAAUGGUGUUUGGGCAAGUGGUGAUUGGUCCGCCCGGCUCGGGAAAGACCACUUACUGCAAUGGCAUGUCUCAGUUUCUCAGCCUUGUUGGCAGGUAACUUCGUUUCUUGAUUUCAAGCAGCUUUAUCUUCGAUGACCAAAAAUAUUGAUUUGGGCUUUGCCAUUAAAUGAAUGUAAGAGCAGUAGGGAAUAACUGAGUUAUAGGAUUAGCUUUAAGUGAACAUUGAUGGUAAUGUGAAGGUUGUAUGUGUUCAGUGGCAAGCUGUAUGCCAAUUUGGUCUAUAUGGUUGCUUAGGUAGUAACUUAUUAAUUUUUAGGCAGGAAGGUUGCAGUCAUCAAUUUAGUUCCUGCUAAUGAUAGUUUGCCGCAUCCUUUGUCAUUGAACUUUCUUACAAAUGCUGUGGUUUGUUGUAGUAUAAUUAGUUCAAUUGGAAAUUUCCUUGAUGUUAAUAUAGAAAUGAGUGUGCUGUGAAUAUUGAGGACCUCAUUAGACUAAGUGAUGUGAUGAUGGAGUAUUCACUUGGUCCCAAUGGAGGUUAGUCAGCCUAUUGUUGUUUACUCUUUCUUGCUUUAUCACGCAAUGAUAUUCCUUUGCUUUACAACAAAUUUCAUGAAAUUAACUUCAAUCAAGUGGCAAUGUUCAUACGCUGUUGAGAUUUUAUGGACAAUGAUUUGGUAGAAUUUAUAUGCCGUCUUCUUUCUUUUUGCAGUGAUAUGCUUGUAUUCAAUGAGCUUGUACUUAUUCUAUGGUUUCUAAAGUAGGUGUUUUUAUGAUAAACUAGGUCUUGUGUAUUGUAUGGACUAUCUAGAGAAGAAUAUUGACUGGCUGCAGUCGAAAUUGGAACUACUUUUGAAAGGUAAGUAGAGGCCAUUUUCCUUCAUUCUAAUGCCAAUAAUGCUGUCAUGAGACUCAUAAAAAUUGUUAAAACGUUAAUGUUUUUGGUAUUUUGCAGAUCGUUAUCUUCUGUUUGAUUUUCCUGGCCAAGUUGAAUUAUUUUUUCUUCAUUCCAAUGCCAAGACUGUUAUAAUGAGACUCAUAAAUAAGUUAAAUCUCAGGGUAUUGUUACAUCUUACAUCUAUGAAGGGACUCAAAGAGUUGAGAUGAAUUCAUCUUUGUUAUUUUGAUGCCAGAAUUGUGCAAUUCUCAGUUUGUUCCUUUCACAUGCAGUUGACUGCAGUGCAUCUAGUUGAUGUGCAUCUUUGCAGUGACCCCAGGAAGUAUGUUAGUGCUUUGCUUCUCUCAUUGUCUACGAUGCUACAUCUGGAACUUCCCCAUGUCAAUGUCUUGUCUAAUCGAUCUGAUUGAGAAUCAUGGAAAGCUAGGUGUGGUUUUAAGUGUAGCUCUCCUGCUUGUUUGUUUAGUUUGAAAUAUCAGAUAUUGUCACAAGAUCCUAUUUGCUACAUUUCCUCACCAAUCAAUUAUUUUGGGUCUGUUGCAGCUUUUAAUCUCGAGUACUAUACAGAUGUGCAAGAUUUGUCAUAUUUACAGCAUGCUCUCGGUCAGGACCCUCGUUCUGCUAAGUACAGGUUUGAAUUCUAGCUGAAUCAAUGAUGCAAAUUAUGUCCAUUGUUAUUUCUGCUGUUGUUUCUAUCAUUUUCAAUUGUUACUUCCCCUUUCCAUCUACUACCACACUACAAUACCCACACAAAUGUUGUGAAAUUUGUCAAUGGAAAAAAAACAGUUCCUCUUUUAUUUUGAUCAGACUCAAUGAAUAAGUGGUUAAAAUGUGCCUGUCCUAGAAAUAUAGAUGUGUGGUUUCGUAAAAUUUUCUUGAUCUUAAGAAAGAGUUAUCUCGAAAAGAAGAUAACAUGGAGAAUUCAACAACUAUACAGUCAUAUUGAUGUCUGUCAACUUGGGUCAUAUGGUGUCGUUUGGAUGGAGAUGUUAGGUCCCAGAUGGUAAACUUGUUAUCGAAUUCCAGUCUACUUCAUUCAUGCUUUGAUGACAUAUACGGUGCAGCUUCUUAUCUAAGACCUGCAUAUGUUCAAUCAUCAUUCUGUUCUGUAUUUGGCUGCCAUUCUUUUCAAUGAAUUCAAACCACUUCUGAAUACUUGCAAAUUCAUCCAGUGUUGUCAUUGAGAUGCCAAUAUGAAAGGAAGCCAUAAUUGCCCUUGAUAGUAUGCUUAUUGAUUGCCUCUUGCCUCACUCAGCCUCAUGAAUCUGCUUGUAUGGUGUUCUUGUAAUUUCAUUUGGAGAUUAGUAAUAUCUGUUGUUCAAAUGUAUUUUAUAUACCAGCAGUUAAUAAUUCUGCUUGCAGAAAGCUUACAAAGGAGCUGUGUGAUGUAAUUUUUCAACCUUAGAUAUCCAGGUCAUCAGUUUCUCUUGAAUUCUUUCUUGAAUUUCUUUGAAUUAUUUGUGAAUAAGAUCUUAGUUGGCUGCUUCUCUUCAGGAUAAGGAAAGUGUGGCAAAACUCGUGAAGCUGAUAUAUAAAAGCAAUGGGUACAUCUUUGCUGGCAUGGAUGCCAGUGCAGUUGAAUUCAGCAAGAUUGCCGUUCGCGAUGUUGAUUGGGAUUAUUUCGGAUAUCCUUCUUUUCACCUAUUUUCAAUGUUGUUAUUCUCAUAUUCAUAAAAUUUUUUGGUUAUUUAAUUAUGGUUCAUCAUAUGCAUCUGCAUCUUCUAACUUGUUCGUUUGAGAAACUAAUUUUGCCGUUAGGUAGGCUUCGAGCUUGAUGAGUUGAUUCAUGCUUUUUUCAUAAAUGUACCAAAAUCAUGGAAACUUCUUUUUCCCAGAUAUUGUAUCCACACUUUUUCCAUGUAAUUGGGUCAGACAAGUUUUGCUUAACAAAGAUAUCUACAGUAGCCGAAGUGCAGGAGAAGUACAUUAAGGAUGAUGAUGAUGUUAACUAAAAUGAGACGUGAAGAUAUGUGGUGUGCGAACCGUAAGCCUGCCUCUUAAUUUUGUGCAUGUUUACUUGCUUGUGAUUCACGUUUGUUAAUCUAUUUUGCUCUCUUGCAGGAGUUAUAAAGUUUUCAAUCAAUCAAACAUUUAACUUAAGUCCUUACCUCUUGCUGCAAAGACAAUGGGAAGUCUCAUGAGCUCUAAAAAAACUGAAGAAGAGUGGAAAAUAAUUUUAAAUAGUGAUUUAUGGAAGGUAAAAGAGAUCGAGAAAGGUGUUCUAACCCCUUUGUGGUUGAGUUAUAAUGAUUUGCCGUCCAGAGGAAAAAGAUGUUUCUCGUAUUGUGCUGUCUUUCCAAAAGACUACAAUAUAAAAAAAGACAAAUUAAUUACUUUGUGGAUGGCUCAAGGUUAUCUUAGUGCAGAAGCAGCAGAACAAGAUGAGGAGUUGGAGACUAUAGGUGAAGAGUAUUUUGGCAUCUUAGCUUCUCGCUCUUUCUUUCAAGAGUUUCAGAAACGUUAUGAUAAUCGUAUUAUAGCGUGCAAGAUGCAUGAUAUGGUACAUGAUUUUGCCCAAUUUGUUAGUCAAAAUGAAUGUUUUUCGUUGGAAGUUAAUGGUAGUGAGGAACUAACCGUCACAAACUCUACAAACUCUCUUGAUGAGAAGGUCCGUCAUUUAAUGUUAAUCUUUAGUAAAGGGACUUCAUUACCUGUUUCCACUCGUAGAGUUAAAAGAAUGCGUACCCUCUUAAUUAACGAUAGUAGAUCUGAUCAUUCAUUAUUAAAUGGUGAGAUCCUAGAAGAAUUAUUUAGGGAAUUGACAAGUUUAAGGGCAUUAGAUUUUGGCAAAUCGUAUAACUCAAGUUGGUCUUCGACUGUGGAGAUUCCGAGAACCAUAGAAAAGCUGGUACAUUUAAGAUACCUUAAUUUGUUUUAUCAGGGAAUAAAGAAACUACCGGAGACAUUAUGCGAGUUGUAUAAUCUAGAAAAGUUAGAUAUUAGUUUAUGUUUUAAUCUUAAAGAAUUACCUGAAGGGAUUGGGAAGUUAAUAAACAUGAAGCAUUUACGAAAUAGAGGUACUAGUUCUUUAAGGUACAUGCCAGUAGGGAUUGGGAGAUUAACGGGUCUCAGGACCUUGGAUGAGUUCCACGUGAGUGGAGGAAAGCGUGUAGGCUUGAAUCUCUUAAAAAAUUGGAACACCUUCAAGUAUGUGGUAUACGUAGACUGGGUGAUGUAUCAGAUGUGGGCGAGGCUAAGCGAUUAGAACUUGACAAAAAGAAAUACCUCUUCAGUUUGACCCUUGAGUUUGAUAAGAAGGAGGAAGAAGAAGGAGAAAGGAGGAAGAACGAGGACGAUCAAGUUCUUCUUGAAGCCCUACAACCACCUCUCAAUUUAAAGGAAUUAGAGAUAGAGUACUACCGAGGCAACACUGUUUUCCCCAGCUGGAUGACGUCAUUAACCAACUUAAAGAGUUUAGAUCUCUCUUCCUGCGAAAAUUGGGAGCAGCUGCCUCCUUUGGGAAAAUUGCCAUCCCUUGAAGCACUCAGCCUAUGGGACAUGAAGUGUGUGGAAAGAGUGGGUGAUGAAUUUUUGGGGAUAGAAAGUGAUCAUCAUGGCUCAUCUUCAUCGGUUAUUAUUGCCUUCCCCAAAUUGAAAUCACUUUCAAUUGAGGUUCUGCGCGAAUUGGAGGAGUGGGAUUAUGGGAUUACAAGAACGGGAAACACCGUCAUCAACAUCAUGCCACGUCUUUCUUCCUUGACAAUUGCACUUUGCCCCAAAUUAAAGGCACUGCCCGACCACUUUCAUCAAACGACAACAUUGAAGGAAUUGCACAUUUGGGAUUGCAGGCUUCUGGAAGAACGUUAUUGCAAGGGGGAAGGAGAAGACUGGCCUAAGAUAUCACACAUUCCCAACCUCCAUAUUGGGCUUUGACAAGUAAUUUCUUCUCUUACUCUGAUUUGCUUUGUUGUUGUUUUUAAUCUAAUUAAGAAGCGUAAAUAGCAUUUUGAAUCAAACUCUAUAUCAGAAAUCUGCAAUACUUACUUUCUAAUAUUCUGAUUUUCAUAUCCUAUGAAUAUACGAUUUUUAAUUUGUGAGAUGGGUAACGUUACUGUAAAAGAUUAUUAAUGCAAUAUGAGUAAUUCUUUUGCAGGACAAGUGACCUACAUUUAGUUUGGCUUUGGAGUUGAAUAAUAACCUUUCGAGGUCCCGACAACCAAAAAACGAAGCUUAAUUUGCCACAGAUUGCACGUAUUGCCAUUAUUGACAAUUUUCUGCACAAGCUUAGGUUGAUGUCAAAAGAGGUAAAUUAUUGGCAUGCCUGACUAUUUUGACCAUUACACGAUUCAUAAGUUUACAUUAAUUUUGAUUUUGAGUUGAGUGAUUAGUUUUCUAGGUUUGCUUACUUUAACUGGGUGACCAAUUUCUUGUAACUAAAUGUAUGAUGUGAAGCAGAACUCAAACAAAAGUAUGCUACUUCUUGCGGAAAUCUUGCCUUUGUUCAGAUUAUGAAACCAUUUCCAUGCAGCAAAUUCAUCCAAAAGUUUGAAUAAGUUUCACGGUUGGACACUGUUGGUUUCUUUUUCUUCUGGGGUGCAUUUAGGUGCUAUCAAGUGACAGCUGUAAGUAUGAUUGCACUAAGCUGCCGCUGGGAAAUUUGAGGUUUUGAUGGCUGCCCAUGUUAUUUUCAAGAAACUAUUGAUGUAAGAAGCUGUGGUUCUUUUCAUCAGCUUGAACCUGAAACUGUCGCUAUGGAUAACUCAGGUUUUUGUUAUCAACUAUAUCAUCUUUUUCACUAUUUUGAAACUCUUAAGAUUAAACUUUAGUAAAGUUGUUUCAGCUUUUCAAAUGAAAAACUCAUUGAUUUGAGACUUCCUUCAUUAUUGUUUCUAAUUACAAUGCUAACGAUCCAGAUAAGAUAAUAUUUAAUCGGCGAAGGUGUCCCUUGGAAGUACAUCCUUCUUUUUCUUUUAUUAUACAAAUUCUUGCAAUGAGCUUAGUGAAGCUGUUGUGCUAAUCAUGCCACUGCAUAAUUUGGCCCCUAAUGUGGGUACUCUGUUACAUUGUUCUGCAAAUUCUCCAGAAGUUAAAAUCAAUAAAUUUUCUAUUAGCUCUAGUGCUUUGACCUAAAUGCUAUUCUAUAUUCUGAUUACAAUGUUUUACCUUUAAAUUAACUACCCCUAGAUGUUGGAUUUUCUAGAACUUCAAAAUGAUUAAUGGAGAAAGAUCCCAUUAUCGUUAUUGCUAUAAAAAAUUGAUUUAUGCAUCCAAAGAUACAUUAUAUAUUUCUGUGUCUCUAUUUAUAGAUGACAUUUAAGCAUCCAUAAACCGUCAGACAGAGGAAGGGGGUUCAGUGCAAAGAUUCUGUUGACCUAGGGUUGACUGCAUAAUGUCACUUGUUCGCAAUCUAUUAUUCUUUUCAAGGUCUGCUUCCUUAACGGAGCGACCAAUGUUUUUCAACUAAAUUUAUCAUAUGAUGCAGGAAGCAGGGCAGGAUAUGAAAUGUGAAGCUCAUUGGUGGAAGUAUUGCCAGUAACAGAACCCAAAGAAAAUGAAACUAUUUCAAGGCAGCAGUUGGCAGUUGCAAGUGAAUGGAGGCCCUUGACAAAAUUCUCAAGCGGUUGCAAUGCAAUUACGAUCAUCCUCAGCCUCAGGUAAUUUCUUCUCCUGCUUUGUAUUUAUUUGUUAUCUAAUUAGGAACCGUAAAGUAUCUUGAAUCAUUUUCUGUAUCUGGAAUAUAUGCAAGAGUUUCUAAAAUUUUGAUAUGAGUGUAAUGAUGGUAAUUUCUGUUUUCUGUCUGUCAUCAAAUGUUAGAAAACUUUCAUUGAGACCCUUGAACCGAGUCAUUUUUGACAAGUGAAGUGCUGAAGAGUGAAGAGUAAGAAUGGUGCUAGAUUGGGGAAUAAAGCAAAAGGAGGUAAAUUAUUGGCAGCUUCUUCAACCUUAUUUUCUUUGGACCAGUGCCUAAUUCACAAGUCUCCAUAAUUCGGCUUUUGACCAGUUGAUAGAUAAAAUUUUAAUUUCAUUGGUGCUAAUGUACCCGUGAGGCAGGCAGAGAAGGACUGUGGAAAAGAGAAGGUUUUUAGUGAAAGCUUAAACUCAGGUAAUUCUAAAAAUUAUAUGUUUUGGCUGAUUUAUCUAAAUCAGGAAAUUUUAUUUCCAUCUGUUACAAUAAAACAGAAACAGAACACAAAGAAAAAUAUUCUACUUCUUGUGGCAAUCUUGCCUUCAUUCAGACUAUGAAACCAUUUCCUUUCACCAAUUUCUUCCAAAAGUUUGAACACAUUUCAUGGUUGGACAUAGUUAGCUUCUUUUUCUUUUGGUGCAUUUAGGUGCUAUCAAGUGACAGCCGUAAGUAUGAUUGCAUUAUUGGGAAAUUUUAGGUUUUGAUGGCUCCCCAUGUUAUUGCCAAGAAAUUUUAAGUCCUCGUGUCAGAAGCUGCGUUUCUUUUCAUCAGCCUGAACCCGAACCUGUCACUAUGGAUAACUGAGGUUUUUGUCAUCAACUAUAUCAUCUUUUUCACUGUUUUGAAACUCUUAAGAUUAAACUUCAGUAAAGUUGUUUCAGUUAUCCAUGUAAUCAGGCUAAGGAUAUUUAGCAGCUUAUUUAGGCAACUGCCAGAAUUCAGUUUGUUCGCUCGAAACUUGUAUGGUGACAAGGAUACUGGCAAGGAUAGUGAGAUAGUUUUUUGUGUGAGUGAAUUUUGAAAGCUUGGGUGUUCUGGGAUUUGCAAUUGCAAUCAUCCUCUGCUUUAGGUGAUUUCUUCUCCUGUUCUGUCUUUAUUUUCUCUCUAAUUGAAAGCAUUUCAAUCAAAUUCUGUACCAGGAAUACGAAAAAUUUACCAAUAUUUUAUUUCCAUCUGUUUGCAUUGAUAACUUGGCCGCAUAUGUACUAGUUAAAGAACAAACAGAAGCAGAGUUCAGGAAAAAGUUUCUUCGGCCACCAUAUUUGAAAAUGAAACCAUUUCCAGGAAGCAGUUGGCAGCAAAUUCAUACAAAGUAUAGACAAUGAUGAACAAAAAGGUGAUUCGCAAUUUCAUUUUUUUAAAAUGAAAUUAUUUGUUAAGUUGGAGCUGAUAUUGUUAGAAGGCCAUUGAGCUAACCUCUGACACUGCUUGCCUAGAUUGCAGGAGGUCAAGACUCAAAAGAUGCACUGAAUUUUAAAAGGCAUGCAAUAAUUCUUAUGGCCAUUUGUCAAUGGUGGAAUGCUUUUAGCUUCUUUUCCUUUUGUGCAUUUUGGGGUUCUAUCAAGCGACAGCCGUAUGUAUGGAUGGAUAUAGCUGCUGCGUUGAUUUCUAAUGCAUUGUAUGAUGUUAUAGCAACUAUCCAUCUGGUCAAUGUUUCAAAAGAAUAAGACAGGGAAAAAGAGAAAGCAAGUGGCCAAUCAAGUUGCAUCAACCAAAUUGUUGUUAAACAAGUAAAACAAAGAAAGAGAGUUAAGGAAGCUGACCUUGUAGUAGGGGAGCUGAAGAAAGGCUGCCAGUGAAUGUAAGAGAAAAUAAAAUGCAAGAAAUGGUGAAGUGCAGCUUUUCAUGUCAACUUGAAAUUGAUUUUUCUGUUUGUUUUUUUUUUUUUGUAAUCUUUUGGAUUUUUCAAACAAAGAAAAUGAGGAGCAACCAGGGAGAUAAAAAGGGCGCCAAGGCAACUGUGUGUUGGGUUUAGAGCCAAAAAUAAAUAAAUAAAUAAAUAAGACAUCGUGUUCUUGUGGAGACCAGACCUAUUACGUAACGUCCCCUUCAAUACCACUUGUUCCGUAUCUGGUUUUCUCUUCGUCGUUUACAUAUUUAUCCUGUGAUUUUACAAUAACUAAAUAAUCCCCGCAUAGUUUGCAAUUUUAUUCAUUUGGGCCCUACAGAUUUCAGUAAUAGGAAUUAUUAAGGGACAAGAGCGCAAAACAGAAACUCUGUCCACUACUGAUGAUAUAAUAACGAACCUUUGUUUUUUUUUUUUAAAAAAAAAAAGAGUAACAAAAUAUCAUUAGACAAAUGAAAAUAUUAUCUAACAUCACCUAUUCACCUUACUGAUGAUAUGAAAAUAUGUAUGUAUGUAUGUAUGUAUGUACAUAUAUACAUACACCUAUGUAACAUUUACUUAUACAUUCUUUUGAGUUUAAAUCUUAAUACAACUACAUACAACCACAUCAAUGUAUAUAUUUUUUACAUAAGACAUGCCGUCCUAUUAUUCAUAAGUAAACAAUGUGCCGUAAAUAGUAUUCUGUGUUUUCUCAAAGUUGACUUUUCGUCUUUUAUUUUCAGACGCAGACGCUAUGUCAUUUUGUAAUCGUCCGAACAUAUACAGAGCAGAAUUGGUGUUAUCUGAUUUUGUGAUGCAAUAAGAUUUGCACUUCCUGUGCAUUCAAUGGAAUCAUGCCACGCUAGUAGACAAUAUGCUAGUUUGAACAAACUUGUUUGAAUGGCAAAAACGACAUGACCUGCUGUAGUAUUAAUUCUUUCCCGAACCAACGGGUGAUUUGCUACGUUGGAUCAUGAAAAUUAACCAAAAUAAAAAUUCUUAAGGAAUUAGUUAGUUAAUUGAUUGAUCGAAUUUAAUCUAAAUUUGAAAAUGAUAAGAUAAAUUUAAAUUUAUUAUUAUUAUUAUUAUUAUUAUUUUAAAGUGGGUGGGUUUAUACAAUUUGAGCGGUGGAAAUAUCACUGCUGAAUUAUUAAAUAUACAGUGUAAAAUUUUGACCUUUAAAAUAUUCCCUUUUUUUUUUUAUUUAGCACUAUAAGUUUAAAAAUUUAACAUUUUACCUCAAUAAUUAAAUACUUUUAACUUUAAUCUUCAAAUAUUUACCCUACAACAUUUGGACCUAAAUUUUUAAUCCGACUCGGCCCCUGACCCAAGUGGGAAGAAGAUCAGGCUUAUAAGUUAUAACUAUCACCAACAUAACAUCUUCUGGAAAAUAAUAAGAUUACUCACCUGCAAUUAUGUGAUCAAACUAAUGGUAAGCAAAAUAGAACAGCGUUAUUUCAGUCCCCUUUCAGUUUCUUUAUCAUUUUUCUUUUCCUAUUUAUAAGCUUAAUUCGGUUCAAAAUCGGCUAAUUCACUUUGAUUUCACUUUUCUUUCUUUCGGUUCAAAAAAAUUGAACCCAUUGGCUGUCAAUUCAAUUUUGUUGAAAACCAACUUUGCCUGAAUUUAAGUAAUAAUAGAGGAAAAAAAAAGAGUACUUAGCAGAAGAGAUUUCUCAUUUUUUUCUCAUUCAAACUUCUAAAAUAAAAGAAAAAAAAACAAGAGUAAUUGUUAAUUAUCAAAAUUUUGUUUAUACUAUUCCACCAAGAAAAUUAUACAAAAAAAAAAAUUUUAAAAAUUGGAGAAGAAAUAUGAGGUGAAAUACGUGGAUGGCUUAGACUAAUAAUGUGAACAAAUUCCUCUUGGAAGCAUGUCAUUGUUCAUCCGGACAACACGCGGCGAUGAGAUUCGAGAAUAAAAGGAUAGGAAUCAACUGUAACCUCAUAAACAAAUGGCCUUGGAGUUGUAACCAAAGCUUUUAAUUAUUGAUCAUUAAGAUCGAUAUAAAGUAUCACGAAAUGAUGUGUACGACGACAAUAUCAAUAGCGUAGUGUGAAGACCUGGCUGUAAACACAAGGCUCGGCAGAUUAAUUAAACAAGAGUAUCCGAAUUUUCUAUGAUAAUCUCUAGGAAACGAUCAGCUAUAAUGUACGAAAUUAAAAUAUUGCAUAUAUUUUUGAAUUUUUGAACUCAUGCAUUAAUUUAAAAAAUUAUAUCGUAUUAUAAUUUAUUCACAAAAGAAAGAAAAAUUCACUAAUCAAGUGAAAUCGUAUUCUUAUUGAAAUGAAUUCCAGUAAUUGGAUAAAUAUAAGUAUUUCUUCCGUUGUAAUUUUUGUUUAACAGAAAAUCUAUUUGAGAUUUUGUGAGAAGAAACUCAACAAUAAAGUUUGAUAGACUUUGUGGAUAUUAAGAGUUUGACAAGUAAUUGAAAUCUGAAGUUUACUGAAAUUUACGAGCAAACAAACUGAAAUCCGAAGUUUACUGAAGUUUACUAUCAAGAGUUUCAAAACAGUGAAAAAGAUGAUAUAGUUGAUGACAAAAACCUGAGUUAUCCAUAGCGACAAGUAACAUACUGAAGUAAGCCGUUGGGAGCUGGCCUGUUCAUGGGCUAUUUUUCUCUGAUGAUCUGCAUUUUUCUUCCUUUUAAAGUGAACCUUGACUCGUAUCAAACCUGUCAAAAGAACAGUUCAUCAACUGAGCUGAGAUUUGCUUUCCUUUUUCAAAACCCACCUGAGAUAUUGUAAUUCCCAAAUUUCUCUCUCUCAGCUACACGAGCAAGCAGCCGCUUUUUCACUUCAUCGAAGAAGGUAAGCGAUUUAUCUAUUUCGUCCGAUUGAUUUCUUGUUUCGUUUUCAGUGUUCGGGUAAAUUAUUGGCAUGCCUGACUUUUUGACCAUUACAUGAUUCAUAAAUUUCUAUUAAUUUUGAUUUUGAGUUGACUGGUUACUUUUAUAGGUUUGUUUACUUUGACUAGGUGACCAAUUUCUUGUAACUAAAUUUAUGACGUGAUGCAGGAAGCUCGGCAGGAUAUGAAAUGAGAAUCUUAUUAGUGGAAGGAUUGCCAGUAACAGAACCCAAAGAAAAUGAAACCAUUUCAAGGCAGCAGUUGGCAGUUGGGAGUGGAUGGAGGCCCCUGACAAAACUUCAGUAAACUUCAGAUUUCAGUUUGUUUGCUCGAAACUUGCAUGGUGACAAGGAUACUGGCAAGGAUAAUGAGAUAGUUUUUGUGUGAAUGAAAUUACGAUCAUCCUCAGCCUUAGUUGUUAUUUGUUACCUAAUUAAGAAGCAUAAAGUAUCCUGAAUCAUUUUCGUUGUCUGGAACAUAUGAGUGUAAUGAUUGUAAUUUCUGUUUUCUGUCUGUCAUCGAAUGUAAGACAACUUUAUUAAGAUUCUUGAACCGAGUCAUUUUUGACAAUUGAAGGACAAGUGCUGAAGAGUGGGAAUGCAAAAAGUUUUGUUGUUUCUAGCCUUGUUUUCUUUGAACCAGCGCCUGAUGAUAUAACAGAAACAAGGCUAGAAACAACAAAAACUCUGUCCACUACUGAUGAUAUAACAACGAACCUUUGUUUUUUUCUUUUUUCUUUUUUUUUUUAAAAAAAGUAACAAAAUAUCAUUAGAGAAAUGAAAAUAUUAUCUAACAUCACCCUACUGAUGAUAUGAAAAUAUGUAUGUAUGUAUGUAUGUAUAUACGUAUGUAUGUACAUAUAUACAUACACCUAUGUAACAUUUAAUUAUACAUUCUUUUGAGUUUAAAUCUUAAUACACAUUUUCAUGAAAUUUUUAUUUUAUUAAGUAUACAACUACAUACAACUACAUUAAUGUAUAUAUUUUUUACAUAAGACAUGCCGUCCUAUUAUUCAUAAGUCAACAAUGUGUUGUAAAUAGUGUUCGUGUCUCAAAGUUGACUUUUCGUCUUUUAUUUUCAGACGCAGACGAUAUGUCAUUUUAUACACAGCAGAAUUGGUGUUAUCUGAUUUUGUGAUGCAAUAAGAUUUGCACUUCCUGUGCACUCAAUGGAAUCAUUUCUUUGUAACUAAUUGGGUGCUGGAAUGGUGGUCAAAUCUCGAACGAAGACAGAUCUAUCAAACUCCAGAAUUGGUGUUAUCUGAUUAAUUGAUUGAUCGAAUUUUAUCUAAAUUUGAAAAUGAUAAGAUAAUUUUGAAUUUAUUAUUAUAAUUAUUAUUUUAAAGUGGGGUGGGUUUAUACAAUUUGAGCGGUGGAAAUAUCACUACUGAAUUAUUAAAUAUACAGUGUAAAAUUUUGACCUUUAAAAUAUUCCCUUUUUUUUUUAUUUAGCAUCUAUAAAUUUAAAAAUUUAACAUUGUACCUCAAUAAUUAAAUACAUUUAACUUUAAUCUUCAAAUAGUUACCCUACAACAUUUGGACCUAAAUUUUUAAUCCGAUUCGGCCCCUGAUCCAAGUGGGAAGAAGAUCAGGCUUAUAACUAUCACCAACGUAACAUCUUCUGGAAAAUAAUAAGAUUAUUCACCUGCAAUUAUGUGAUCAAACUAACGGUAACCAAAAUAGAACAGCGUUAUUUGAGUCCCCUUUCAGUUUCUUUAUCAUUUUUCUUUUCCUAUUUAUAAGCUUAAUUCGGUUCAAAAUUGGCUAAUUCACUUUAAUAAGUUUAUUGGUUUGAACGCUGUUAGCUUCUUUUCCUUUCGUGCAUUUUGGUAUGCAACAGUUCUUGCCUAUGACACUGCUUGCCUAGAUUGCAGAAGGUCAAGGCUCAAAAGAAGCACUGAAUUUUAAAAGGCAUGCAACAGUUCUUGUGCCAUAUGUCAAUUCAUGCAAGUUUGAAUAAGUUUUUUGGUAUGCUAUCAAGUGACAGCCGUAUGUAUGGUUUGCAUAUAGCUGCUGCUGGGAAAUGUGAGGAUUUCAUGGCUGGCCGUGUUAUUGUCUUAAAUUAGAUGUGAUAAGCUGUUGCUUGGUGAUUCUGUUGCCAAGAAUUUGCUCACAUCAGAAGCUGUGGAACCUGAACCCUUCUCUAGAUAUCAUCUUUUUCAUUGUUUUAAAACUCUCAGGAUUAAACUUGAGUAAUUUUGUUCGGUUGUCUAUAUAAUCAUGUAUUGAGUAAACUCUCAGGAUACUGAGCAGGCAAAUGCCAUAACUCGGUUUGUUCUUCAAAAACUUGUUUAAGAUUCUUGACAAAGCUGCAUGAAGUGAAUCUUGGGAGCUUUGAGGGUGAGAGAAAUUAGAGGGUGUAUAGGGAUUUGGGCUUAUUAGGAAGUUAUAUAUGUAUUUCGUCACUUAUCAUUAUCAUUUUUUUUUUCACAGAAAACCUUCUGAUGGUGCUAAAUUUUCAAACACCGGUCCGAUUCAAAACUUCAUAUUCCAAUUAUAUUCAUAAGACAAAUGGAACACUUUGAACGGCUUGUGUCCGAGCAUUGUAGUUUGAUUUAUUUUGAUGACAGUACCUUUUGACAUUGAGAUUCUUUCAUGAUUUAAACAUUCUUUUAAAAACUAAAUUAUUAAAAAAAAAGUAACUAACAUAUAUUAUUUUAUUAGUGCUUUUUAAAUCAAAUAUACAUAGGAGAACUGUAAUUCUUAGCAAUCAAUUUUCCACUAAAUACACCUGCAACAAACUAUUAAUAGCAAAGUGAUAGAAAAUACCUGAUUUUUCAUACUUUCUAAUUUCUUUUGGUCCUAAAAUAUGGGCAUUUGUGUAAUAAUUAGCCCAUGUGGAUCUCUAUGCCAUGAGUUUGAUAAGUAGCUAUCAAGGAUCACUUAUUAAGCUAAAAAUAUUUGGAGGACAAAAUUGUAAAACUAAAAGGGUGGAGCAAAUAUGGCUAUCUAGGAUUAAAUAGUAAGUCAACUAUAUUUAAAGGAUAAAAUAUUAAAACUUGAAAUGUGAUAUUAAAAAUAUCUCAACUAUUAUGUUAUUAAACCAUAUGUUGUAAUAGUUUAUUUUUUAAGCUUCAAAAUGUUCAGGAUUUUAGAUUGAAACAUUUUCAUUUGAAAUUAUUUGGUGCAGUCACAAGUUAAGAAAGAAAAAGUUGUCCCAUUGGUCAUUUCACAAAAAUGAAAGCCCUGUAUAACAUGGGCUUGAAUGGAAGCCCAAUUGUUUGUGUUUGAUUAAUUGAUUUCAAGCUUUAUCGAACCUUUGUACCUGGAUACUUUACUGCGGCCUCUAAGCGCUAUAAAUUUUUUUGGGGAUAAACGGCGCUUCAAUGAGGUCAUCUCCGAUGCUUAACACCAUUUUGGUGUAAUACCAACAUUAAAAAUAUACAUUUUUCACACUAAAUUACUAUUUCAUCUCCAACCCAUUUACACCAAAAAAAAUAUUUUUCUUUUUAUUCUUUUAAUUCUCAAGAAUUAAUUCAAUUAACACAAUAAAUACUACUAUUAACAUAGAUAAUUAAGUAAUAAGUAAUUUUAUCGAUUAACAAAAAAAUAUAGAAAAUUAUUAAAUUUGCAUUUAAUUAACUAAAUUAGUACAUUAUGAAAAUUAAACAUUACAUUAAUAUAGAAAAAUACAAUAACAAUAAUAAUAAUUUUAUAUCUAAUAUUUUGAUGAUAUUGGAGGAUCUAAUAAUGAUCUUCCAGAUUAUUAAAUAAUUGUUCUAAUUUAUACUAGUAGUAGUAGCUUUUUUAAUUUGUGUUAAUUUAAUUUUGUAAUAUGUAAUAUAGUAAUUAAUGUUACUAGCAUUUUAUUAUUAUUAUUAAUUUUUGUGUUGAAUAUUUUUUAUUUAAAAUAUUAGUAUAAUAUUCAAAAAUUAAAAAAUGAAAUAAAAAUAAUAACAAAAAUAAUAAUAAUAAUAACUUAAAAUAUUAUAUAAAAUAGGACAUAUAUGUAAAUAAGAAAAAGUAAUAAAGAUAUUUAAGAGCUUUUUUUCCUAGCACCAAAUGAAUAGUGUUACACCAUAUUUGGUGCAAUACUAUUCACAACACCAUUUUGUUGUUGGUUUUGGUGUUACAUUGGAGAAGCAUUUUACACCAAAAAUAGUGUAAAAGGUGGUUUGGUGUUAGUUUUGGUGUCACAUUGGAGAUGGCCUGGAAAAGCACUUGAAAACUUUGGAUUUUUGGUUCGUCCAGUUACGGUGUUAUGCUAACGGGGUUAAAGGUUCCGAUCCAAUGAGUUAGGAUCCGAAGGUUACUGAAGUUUACUAUCAAGAGUUUCAAAACAGUGAAAAAGAUGAUAUAGUUGAUGACAAAAACCUGAGUUAUCCAUAGCGACAAGUAACAUACUGUUUAUUACAGAGAAACAAACGACAACAUGAUACUAGUAGUAGUUAUUCUUUUCAUCCGAUAUAUUACAUGGUAAUAUCACUACUCGUUCCACUAGUUUCAUGUACACUGUCGACCAGCAACAUGAUAAUUUCGUGCCAGUUCAUUUUGGUUUGUUGGAAAAAGCAGUGUAUUUCUUAGAACUUGAAAAUAAUAAAAAUAUUUUAAAAUAUAAAUUGCAUAUUUGUUUAUUACCAUUCUUUGGUCUAUUUCUUCUGUAGACUUUUCAGAAUCUGUAGGACGUUAGUUUAUAACUUUGGGAUUUUGUAGCCCUAAUUUUUUUUUUUGGCAUUUUAUUUUGCUGCUUUAUCUAUGUGCAUGUUAACUAAAUUAAGCUAAUCUAGAAUUAAUAGAGAGGGAUAUUUAUCUAUUUUGUUUAACCUUUACCACUCUAGGCAUUGUACUACAUGUGAGCUUGUGAUGCUUGCAUUUUAUUGAUGUUGAUGAUUCGUUGAAUGUUUUAUUUUUUGAUUUUUUAAGUUUUCCAGAGUCAUGUUUGUGUCUACGAAGAAAUUGUAAAGGCUGUGCACGAAGCACUUGUCAUUCUUUAGACUUUAUUGAUUAUAUUUUUGUCAGAUUUGCGUGUAUAUUCACAUAUGUUUUAUUUUUUCAUUUUGUAGGACAUUUUUACAUGCCAUAUUAUCACGACUCUUCUGUGUCUGAAUAAGAAGAAAGCAUAAUGCGACCCUCCAACAGCUUAAUCUAUGGAAUUAUCGUGUUUUGUAAGUUCUGGUCCAAUGGCGUUUUGGCACAUCAUAUGAUAGACCACUAUAUUGCGUUGCUUUACAAAAGAUUAAUAUUUUUAAAAUUAUUAACUCAUGAUAUGAUAGUCCAGGUUUUCGAGGACCACUAUAUUGUAUGGAUUUAAAAAAAAUUAAUAUUUUUUAAUAUUAAUAUUCUAAAUUAUAUUCAGUUAAAAUAUUAAAUAUUAAAUACAUUCUUAACAUUAAUAUUCUUAGAUGAAAUUCUUUUGCUGACUUAAGAAUAAAGUAUUAAAUAAUUUUAUUUUUCUUUUAUUUUGUAACGUGGACCCAAAAAAAAAAGGAAAUGAAUUUAAUAAAACCUUCAUUCCGCCAACAUGCAUGUUAAUUGUUUCCAAAUUCCAACCUCCGUACUCUCUUGAGGAGUUUCCCAUUCAUCAAUUAUUAUUUUUUAUAAUCCAUACCAUCCUGAUAUAAUUAAACACCAUUAAUAAUGUACCAGCCUUUAAAUAGUAAUUAAUUUAUUUAUCUAAUUCACCAAAUGUUUUUUUCCGGUACAUAUCUCCAUUGGUAUCAAGAAGAAGCAGAACCCAAAGAAAUGUUUCUUGCAUCUUCAUAUUUGUGCGAAUUCAUCCUUUCAUUGAGAAUAACCAUUUCCAGGCAGCAGUUGGCAAUCAAUUCAUGCGCAUGUCGAUGCUACUCAUAGAUAUUAAAGACAAUGAUGAACCAAAGGUAAUAAAUCAUAAAUGCAUAAUUACCAAACCUCCAUCCUUCUCUCAUUAUGACUUGAUUUUAAAUGAAUUAUUGCUUGGUAACAUUAUUUCCAACCAUUGCAAGAUUUUUUUUUGGAGAAAUUUCAAUUGAAAGUAAAACCUUUAGACAUUUACCUAAUGAAGUUAGUUAAUCGGGAGGGUGGAAAAAAAAAAGUUGACGCAAGUCAAUACACAAUAAUUAAUUAAAUCCGGAGUCACUAAAACAGAGCCACGACUUUUUCAAAAAUAUCUGCAUUCAUCACUUUCUCCAGCAACUAGUCAGCUACACACGAAUCAAUUUCUCUCCUCGUUUGUCAUCCAAAAUUAUUCACCAAUACCAUGGCUGAUGCAAUCGUUUCCCCGCUCUUGGAGCAGCUGAUUUCCUUCGCUGCUGAAGAGAUAAAACAACAGGUGAUCGAAGUUACACCCCUCAUAUUACAAAUACUUCCAAUGAUUUUAAUUGGUUUUGUUUUUAUCAAAAACAUUAUAUAUUUUUGCUUUUUUUUAUUUAUCUGAUAAUUUUAUAUUUUGAAAUUUGAAUUGAAUUUAAUUAAAAGGUGAUGUAGUAACCACUUAUUUUUAUUUUAUUUCAUUUAUAUUCUCAAUAACUACUCAUAUUUUGGUAACUUACUAUAACUUCCAUAUCUAAGAAAUGAUCCAAACCCACAAUUUUAACUAUGUAUAAAUAUUCAACGUUGAGCUAAGGUUUUGCAGAACAUUCAAGUUUAUCAAAUAGUCAUUAAUUUAAUGUUUUAGUAAAACCUCAACUCAUCACUGAAUCCCAUAGCUAUUACUUAGACACUAUGAAAAAUUUCAUAGUUUUCUUACAUUCUUUCAGUUUGGUAAGUGAUUUCAUAUAAUUUCUUUUCAAGUUAAAUUUUAAUUUGGUUUCUGAUAUAGUCUCUUUGCCGAAUUGUAUCUUUUAUGAUUCUUGGAUUUUGGGCUCCAACUUUUUAGGAUUUGAUAGUCACAUUUUAUGCCAUGCUCAGAUUGAUUUUCAUGAUUUUUAGUACCCGUUAAGUGACGUACAAUUUGACAAAAGUUUGAAAGGAAAUAUGUUUCAGAAUUCUGUUUUAAUUGACCUUUUAGUGGAAUUAGGAUGCUUAUAACUUAAUGUGGAUGGUUCGUAAAAUCAUGAAAUUUGGAUAGGAUUCACUAGCAAUAUGUACAAGACUCCCCAUAAAGUUUCAUAAUUUUUCAUUCGGUCUGGGGUGGUACAGGUGAAACUUGUGGUUGGUGUUGAAAAAGAAGUGAAAAGCCUUACCAGCCAUCUUCAAGCCAUUCAAGUUGUGCUCGAUGAUGCAGAGGAAAAGCAAGUGAAGGAAAAAGCUGUUAGUCUUUGGCUGGGUAGGCUCAAGUAUGCAUCCUACGACAUUGAAGAUGUGUUGGAUGAGUGGAUAACAACAAGACGCAAAUUGCAAAUUGAGGGUGGCGUUGAUGAAAAUGCUCUUGUUGUUCCUCAUAAGAAAAAGAAGGUAUGUCUCUGCUUUCCCGGCUCUUGUUUUGGAUUCAAACAAGAAGAAUUUGGUUUCAAACAGGUCUUUCUCCGUCAUGACAUUGCCGACAAGAUCAAAGAAAUCAAUGAAGAGCUACAUGAUAUUGCCGCUCAAAAAGACAUGUUUGAUCUUGUUAAGAGUGGCAAUAAAAGUAGUGAAAGACCAAGGCGUGUACAGAGUACCUCCUUGAUUGAUGAGGAAGAGAUUUGUGGCAGAGUUGGUGAGAGGAAUGAACUCUUAAGCAAGCUGUUGUGUGAGAGUAGCGAGCAACAAAAAGGCCUUCAUAUCAUCUCAAUCGUUGGUAUGGGAGGCAUAGGGAAAACAACUCUUGCACAACUAGCUUGUAAUCAUGACGAGGUGAAGAGAAAGUUCGACAAAAUUCUGUGGGUGUGUGUAUCAGAAACUUUUGAGGAGUUUAGGGUUGCCAAAGCGAUCGUUGAAGUUUUGGAUGGUCGUGAAUCUCAUUUAGCUGAAUUCCAUUCUCUUCUUCAACAUAUUUAUGAAUCCAUUGCAGGGAAGAGCUUUCUUCUUGUCUUAGAUGACGUGUGGGAUGGAAAUUACUUGAAAUGGGAACCAUUCUACCAUUGUCUAAAGAAUGGUCUCCAUGGAAGUAAAAUUUUAGUUACCACACGUAAAGGGUCAGUCGCAUCCAUGAUGGGAUCCAUAGAUAUUAUCUCCGUUAAGGAGUUAGCUGAAGAGGAAUGUUGGUUGUUGUUUAACAAGAUAGCAUUUUUUGAUCGGUCCAUCGAGGAACGUGAAAAAUUAGAACAAAUUGGGCAAAGAAUUGCAGGCAAGUGCAAAGGUUUACCUCUUGCAGCAAAGACAAUAGGGAGUCUCAUGCGUUCUAAACAAACUGAAGAAGAGUGGAAAAGAAUUUUAAAUAGUGAUUUAUGGAAAGUAGAAGAGAUUGAGAAAGAUGUUUUGUCCUCUUUAUUGUUGAGUUAUAAUGAUUUGCCAUCUAGAGUAAAAAGAUGUUUUUCAUAUUGUGCUGUCUUUCCAAAAGACUACAAUAUAGAAAAAGACAAACUAAUCACGUUAUGGAUGGCUCAAGGUUAUCUUAGUGCAGAAGAAGAUGAAGAGAUGGAGACAGUAGGUGAAGAGUAUUUUGGCAUCUUAGCUUCUCGCUCAUUUUUUCAAGAGUUUAAGAAAAGUUAUGAUAAUCGGAUUAUAGAGUGUAAGAUGCAUGAUAUGGUACAUGAUUUUGCCCGAUUUGUAAGUCAAAAUGAAUGUUUUUCGAUGGCAAUUAAUGGUAGUGAAGAACCAAACGCCACAAACUCUCUUGAUGAGAAGGUCCGUCAUUUAAUGUUAAUCUUUAGUAUAGAGGCUUCAUUACCUGUUUCCACUUGUAGAGUUAAAAGAAUUCGUAGCCUCUUAAUUAACGAUAGUAGAUCUGAUCAUUCAUUAUUAAAUGGUGAGAUCCUAGAAGAAUUAUUUAGGGAAUUGACAAGUUUAAGGGCAUUAGAUUUUUGCAAAUCGUAUAACGCAAGCUGGUCUUCGACUCUGGAGAUUCCGAGAAACAUAGAAAAGCUGGUACAUUUAAGAUACCUUAAUUUGUCUUAUCAGGGAAUAAAGAAACUACCGGAGACAUUAUGCGAGUUGUAUAAUCUAGAAAAGUUAGAUAUUAGUUAUUGUUAUAAGCUAGAAGAAGUACCUGAAGGGAUUGGGAAGUUAAUAAACAUGAAGCAUUUACGAAAUAGAGGUACUAGUUCUUUAAGGUACAUGCCGGUAGGGAUUGGGAGAUUAACGGGUCUUAGGACCUUGGGUGAGUUCCACGUGAGUGCAGGAGGAGGUGUUGAUGGUAGGAAAGCAUGUAGGCUUGAAUCUCUUUAAAACUUGGAACACCUUCAAGUAUGUGGUAUAUGUAGACUGGGUGAUGUAUCAGAUGUGGGCGAGGCUAAGCGAUUAGAACUUGACAAAAAGAAAUACCUCUUCAGUUUGACCCUUGAGUUUGAUAAGACGGAAAGAGGAGGAGAAAGGAGGAAGAACGAGGACGAUCAACUUCUUCUUGAAGCCUUGCGACCACCCCUGGAUUUAAAGGAAUUAGAGAUACGGUACUACCGAGGCAACACUGUUUUCCCCAGCUGGAUGGCGUCAUUAACCAACUUAAAGAGUUUACAUCUCCAUAGGUGCGAAAAUUGCGAGCAGCUGCCUCCUUUGGGAAAAUUGCCGUCCCUUGAAAAUCUCUACAUAUGGCGCAUGGAGAGUGUGAAGAGAGUGGGUGAUGAAUUUUUGGGGAUAGAAAGUGAUCAUCAUGACUCAUCGUCAUCUUCAUCAGUUACUAUUGCCUUCCCCAAAUUGAAAUCACUCACAAUUUAUUCGAUGCUGGAAUUGGAGGAGUGGGAUUAUGAGAUUACAAGAACAGGAAACACCGUCAUCAACAUCAUGCCACGUCUUUCUUCCUUGACAAUUGUUGAUUGCACCAAAUUAAAGGCACUGCCCGACCACAUUCAUCAAACGACAACGUUGAAGGAAUUGAGCAUUUUUAUGUGUUGGCUUCUGAACAAACGUUACCGCAAGGGGAAAGGAGAAGACUGGCCUAAAAUAUCACACAUUCCCAACCUCCAUAUUGGGCUUUGACAAGUAAUUUCUUCUCUCACUCUGAUUUGCUUUGUUGUUGUUUUUGUUGAAAAGUUAAAAAGUUUGGUUGGAAAAGAAAAGUGAGCCACAUGCAUUGCUUUUGUUUUUCAAAGUCGGCACCAAAUUGCAAACUGUAUUUGGCAUUUGACAAUCCUGCACCAAAUGAAGAAAAAUGCAAAAGUUAGCAAAAUUUGUCAAAUUGACAGAGAUGGAGAUUGAUAAAUUGCAGAGGGAUUAGGUGGAAUAGUGCAUGCUUGAAGCCUAUAAAUUGAAGCCAUUUCUUCAUUCUAAAUAAUCCCAAAAUUGUUAAACUUAUAAGUUUCUAAGCUUUUGAGAGAAGUGAGAGAAGUGUGUCUGUGGAAUUUAUUUUUCCUGCAGAGUGUGAGAGUACUUGGUAUAUUUGGGUUUCUGGGAAGUGAGAUUCGUUACUCAAAUAUUGUAUUCUAUUAAUUGUUAAAUAAACAAUUAUUCUUUCUUACCUCCGUGGAUGUAGGUUUAAUUACCGAACCACGUAAAAUCUUGUGUCCUUUAUUUUUCAGUAAUUAUUUGGUGCGCUUGAUUCCGCAUUCCGCGCACAACAGUUUUUAAUCUAAUUAAGAAGCGAAAAUAGCAUUUUGAAUCAAACUCUAUAUCAGAAAUCUGCAAUACUUACUUUCUAAUAUUCUGAUUUUCAUAUCCUAUGAAUAUACGAUUUUUAAUUUGUGAGAUGGGUAACGUUACUGUAAAAGAUUAUUAAUGCAAUAUGAGUAAUUCUUUUGCAGGACAAGUGACCUACAUUUAGUUUGGCUUUGGAGUUGAAUAAUAACCUUUCGAGGUCCCGACAACCAAAAAACAAAGCUUAAUUUGCCACAGAUUGAACGUAUUGCCAUUAUUGACAAUUUUCUGCACAAGUGUGACUGAACUUAGGUUGAUGUCAAAAGAGGUAAAUUAUUGGCAUGCCUCACUAUUUUGACCAUUACAUGAUUCAUAAGUUUACAUUAAUUUUGAUUUUGAGUUGAGUGAUUAGUUUUCUAGGUUUGCUUACUUUAACUGGGUGACCAAUUUCUUGUAACUAAAUGUAUGAUGUGAUGCAGGAAGCAGGGCAGGAUAUGAAAAGAGAAGCUUAUUAGAGGAAGGAUUGCCAGUAACAGAAUCCAAAGAAAAAGAAACCAUUUCGAGGCAGCUGUUGGCAGUUGGCAGUGAAUGGAGCCCCUUGAAAAAAUUCCCAAGCCGUUGCACUGCAAUUACGAUCAUCCUCGGCCUCAGGUAAUUUCUUCUCCUGCAUUUUUGUUAUUUGCUAUCAAGUGACUAUUUUAAGUAUGAUUGCAUUAAGCUGCUGCUGGGAAAUUUGAGGUUUUGAUGACUGCCCAUGCUAUUGUCAGAAGCUGCGGUUCUUUUCAUCAGCCUGAACCUGGACCUGCCGCUAUGGAUAACUCAGGUUUUUUUUUUUUUUUAAUCAACUGCCAUCUUUUCCACUGUUUAGAAACUCUUAAGAUUAAACUUUAGUAAAGUUGUUUUAGUUAUCCAUGUAAUCAGGCUGAGGAUACUUAGCUGCCUAUUUAAGCAAAUGUCAGAAUUUAGUUUGUUCGCUGGGAACUGGUGUGGACUGGCAAAGGAUGAUGAGAUAGUUUUUUGAGUGAGUAAAUUUUGGGAGCUUGAGUGUAUUGGGAUUUGCAAUUACAAUCAUCGUCUGCCUCAGGUGAUUUCUUCUCCUGCUCUAUCAUUGUUUGUUCUCUAAUUCAAAAGCAUAAAAUAUUUCAAUCAAUUUUUAUGCCAGGAAUAUGCAAAAGUUUCUAAUAUUUUAUUUCCAUCUGUUACAAGAUCAAACUGAAGUAGAACUCAAACAAAAGUAUGCUACUUCUUGCGGAAAUCUUGCCUUUGUUCAGAUUAUGAAACCAUUUCCAUGCAGCAAAUUCAUCCAAAAGUUUGAAUAAGUUUCAUGGUUGGACACUGUUGGCUUCUUUUUCUUCUGGGGUGCAUUUAGGUGCUAUCAAGUGACAGCUGUAAGUAUGAUUGCACUAAGCUGCCGCUGGGAAAUUUGAGGUUUUGAUGGCUGCCCAUGUUAUUUUCAAGAAACUAUUGAUGUAAGAAGCUGUGGUUCUUUUCAUCAGCUUGAACCUGAAACUGUCGCUAUGGAUAACUCAGGUUUUUGUUAUCAACUAUAUCAUCUUUUUCACUAUUUUGAAACUCUUAAGAUUAAACUUUAGUAAAGUUGUUUCAGCUAUUCAAAUGAAAAACUCAUUGAUUUGAGACUUCCUUCAUUAUUGUUUCUAAUUACAAUGCUAACGAUCUAGAUAAAAUAAUAUUUAAUCGGCGCAGGUGUCCCUUGGAAGUACAUCCAACUUUUUCUUUUAUUAUAUAAAUUCUUGCAAUGAGCUUAGUGAAGCUGUUGUGCUAAUCAUGCCACUGCAUAAUUUGGCCCCUAAUGUGGGUACUCUGUUACAUUGUUCUGCAAAUUCUCCAGAAGUUAAAAUCAAUAAAUUUUCUAUUAGCUCUAGUGCUUUGACCUAAAUGCUAUUCUAUAUUUUGAUUACAAUGUUUUAACCUUUAAAUUAACUACCCCUAGAUGUUGGAUUUUCUAGAACUUCAAAAUGAUUAAUGGAGAAAGAUCCCAUUAUCGUUAUUGCUAUAAGAAAUUGAUUUAUGCAUCCAAAGAUACAUUAUAUAUUUCUGUGUCUCUAUUUGUAGAUGACAUUUAAGCAUCCAUAAACCGUCAGACAGAGGAAGGGUGAUGGGUGUCGAAGCCAACAAAAAUAAAUUCCUACUCUAAAUAAAUUGUGUAUAGUGAUUGAGCAGGGUCGUGUCCACAGAGAUCGGUAAUUAAUUAAAUCCUUUUGAAACGUAAAACAUAAAAUGGGGGAAUUGUUGACAAUAAUAAAAAUCAAAUUAAAAUAACAAGAAUGCAAAUUAAAGUUGUAAUUCAAAUUAGAGAAAGCUCUGGUUGAAGGAAUUAACUCAGCUUGAUUCGACUACUGAUCAUUGAUUCAAAUAUAGAUUAUUAUUACUCAUGAAUAGACCGGUUAUAGCUACUGAGACCCUCUAAUAGCCAAUCUCUCCUUAACUAGUCGAUAACCAAGGUACGACCAUUGGUUAUUUCCCUAAUCAAUAGACAACCCUAGAUACGAUCAUAGAAUUUAAUCAAUUGACAGCCUGAAAAACCAGAGAGACCCAAAUCCUAAUCAACACAUAUGAUGAUUCAUUUAAAUUAGAUUGUUUAUUCUCACAACACAACUCUCUGCUAUGUUAUUUGUCACAAACAUUAAAUUCUUCAUACGAUGAAUCCUUUAAUUGACAAUAGAUUAAGUUGAUAAUUAAAUAGUGGCCAAUUACCUAAUUAACAAACAUAAUCAUGAAAAUAAUUCAGAGAAUAAACAAAUACCCAAAAAGUAAUAAAACAAUUAAAGCACAAGAAAGAUCUCACAGUAGUGAUGAAUCAAAGCUUCAUUAACCUUCAACCAGAAAAAUAGGUUUAGCUCUUCAUAGAGAGAAGAGAAAAAUUAGAUCUAGGGUUUCUUUCUUUUUCUCCAAUCCAAAAAUCCCCCUUUUUCACAAUAGAUUCCUCCCUUAAAUACUUUCUCUCUCUUCUCUUUUAGAAUUCUAUUUAAAAUAAAAUCCUAAUAUCUGAAAUAUUAAAUUCGUAAUUACAAAAAUAACCAAAAAUACAAAACACGUUAAACUAAAAACUGCAGGUCCGCAGUUGACAGCACGCGCCCACGCCUUAUCAACAAAGUUCUUCUGACGCUCAUAAUUUCUCCAAGAGAACAAUCAUCCUUAAACAUCAUCUUAUAGCUCAAUUUUAUCAUCAAUCAAUAGAAUUGCACCUACAAAAGUAAAACACAAGUAAAUCACUAUUAUUAAGUGCAAAACAUUGAUAUUAAGGGAAGUAAAUAAUGCAAAACUAGUGCAUAAAUUGCACUCUAACAAAGGGGGUUCAGUGCAAAGAUUCUGUUGACCUAGGGUUGACUGCAUAAUGUCACUUGUUCGCAAUCUAUUAUUUAUUUUAUAUUUUGAAGAAUUUAAUGGGUAAUCCUAAUUGUUUGUUUUGGCAGGUAUGUGUUGUUAUCUCCUUCUAUCUAACAGUCGUACCUAAAUAGCAUAGUUUCAUCUGUGUUACCAUGUGAUGUACAUAAUUUCACAUUUGCCUCAGAUUAAGCUUAAUUUCCCACAAAAUAGAGCUGUCGCGACUGGACUUAGGUUGAUGUCCAAAGAGGUAAAUUAUUGGCAUGCCUAGAUAAUUUGGCCAUUUCCUAAUUCAUAAGUCUACAUUAUUUUUGAUUUUGAGUUGACUGAUUUCUUUUCAAGGUCUGCUUCCUUAACGGAGUGACCAAUGUUUUUCAACUAAAUUUAUCAUAUGAUGCAGGAAGCAGGGCAGGAUAUGAAAUGAGAUCUCAUUGGUGGAAGUAUUGCCAGUAGCAGAACCCAAUGAAAAUGAAACUAUUUCAAGGCAGCAGUUGGCAGUUGCAAGUAAAUGGAGGCCCUUGACAAAAUUCUCAAGCGGUUGCAAUGCAAUUACGAUCAUCCUCAGCCUCAGGUAAUUUCUUCUCCUGCUUUGUAUUUAUUUGUUAUCUAAUUAGGAAGCGUAAAGUAUCUUGAAUCAUUUUCUGUAUCUGGAAUAUAUGCAAGAGUUUCUAAAAUUUUGAUAUGAGUGUAAUGAUGGUAAUUUCUGUUUUCUGUCUGUCAUCAAAUGUUAGAAAACUUUCAUUGAGACCCUUGAACCGAGUCAUUUUUGACAAGUGAAGGACAAUUGCUGAAGAGUGGGAAUGGUGCUAGAUUGGGGAAUAAAGACAAAGGAGGUAAAUUAUUUGCAGUUUAUUCAGCAUUAUUUGCUUUGGACCACCGCCUGAUUCACAAGUCUCCAUAAUUUGGCUUUUGAGCAGUUGUUAAUAAAUUUUUAAUUCCAUUGGUGCUAAAUGUGCACGUGAAGCAGGCAGAGCAGGACUGUGGAAAUGAGAAGGUUUUUAGUGAAAGCUUAAACUCAGGUAAUUCUAAAAAGUACAUGUUUUUGCUGAUUUAUCUAAAUCAGGAAGUUUUAUUUCCAUCUGUUACAAGAUAAAACAGAAACAGAACACAAAGAAAAAUAUUCUACUUCUUCUGGCAAUCUUGCCUUCAUUCAGACAAUGAAACCAUUUCCUUUCACCAAUUUCUUCCAAAAGUUUGAAUAAGUUUCAUGGUUGGACAUAGUUAGCUUCUUUUUCUUUUGGUGCAUUUAGGUCCUAUCAAGUGACAGCCAUAAGUAUGAUUGCAUUAUUGGGAAAUUUUAGGUUUGGAUGGCUCCCCAUGUUAUUGCCAAGAAAGUCCUCAUGUCAGAAGCUGCGGUUCUUUUCAUCAGCCUGAACCCGAACCUGUCGUUAUGGAUAACUCAGGUUUUUGUCAUCAACUAUAUCAUCUUUUUUACUGUUUUGAAACUCUUAAGAUUAAACUUCAGUAAAGUUGUUUCAGUUAUCCAUGUAAGCAGGCUAAGGAUAUUUAGCAGCUUAUUUAGGCAACUGCCAGAAUUGAGUUUGUUUGCUCGAAACUUGUAUGGUGACAAGGAUACUGGCAAGGAUAGUGAGAUAGUUUUUUGUGUGAGUGAAAUUUGAAAGCUUGGGUGUUCUGGGAUUUGCAAUUGCAAUCAUCCUCUGAGUCAGGUGAUUUCUUCUCCUGCUCUGUCUUGAUUUUCUCUCUAAUUGAAAGCAUAAAGUAUUUCAAUCAAAUUCUGUACCAGGAAUACGUAAAAGUUACUAAUAUUUUAUUUCCAUCUGUUCGCAUUGAUAACUCGGCGGCAUAUGUGUUGUGCGCGGAAUGCGGAAUCAAGCGCGCCAAAUAAUUAUAGAAAAAUAAAGGACACAAGAAUUACGUGGUUCGGUAAUUAAACCUACAUCCACGGAGGCAAGAAAGAAUAAUUGUUUAUUUAACAACUAAUAGAGUACAAUAUUUGAGUAACGAAUCUCACUUCCCAGAAACCCAAAUAUACCAAGUACUCUCACACUCUGCAGGAAAUAUAAAUUCCCCAGACACACUUCUCUCACUUCUCUCAAAAGCUUAGAAACUUAUAAGCUUAACAAUUUUGGGAUUAUUUCAAAUGAACAAUUUCCCUUCUAUAUAUAGGAACCGUAGCUCACCUACCACUUCCAAUUUGGCUACAACUUGCCGAAUUGAUAAAUUGAAUUUAGAAUGGAAAAUCAAUUUGGUGAGCAACAAAAUCAACAAGUUUGAAAAAUCAAUUGGCUUCUAGAAAAACAUCACAUUUUUCCUCCAUACAAUUUCAACAAAAUCGUCCCACCAACCAUGUCUUUUGAAAUUUGCAUGCCAUUCUUUGACUUGUUGUGCGCGGAAUGCGGAAUCAAGCUCACCAAAAAUUACUGCAAAAAUAAAGGACACAAGAAUUUACGUGGUUCGGUAAUUAAACCUACAUCCACGGAGGCAAGAAAGAAUAAUUGUUUAUUUAACAAUUAAUAGAAUACAAUAUUUGAGUAACGAAUCUCACUUCCCAGAAACCCAAAUAUACCCAGUACUCUCACACUCUGCAGGAAAGAUAAAUUCCCCAGACACACUUCUCUCACUUCUCUCAAAAGCUUAGAAACUUAUAAGCUUAACAAUUUUGCGAUUAUUUCAAAUGAACAAUUUCCCUUCUAUAUAUAGGAACCGUAGCUCACCUACCACUUCCAAUUUGGCUACAACUUGCCGAAUUGAUAAAUUGAAUUUAGAAUGGAAAAUCAAUUUGGUGAGCAACAAAAUCAACAAGUUUGAAAAAUCAAUUGGCUUCUAGAAAAACAUCACAUUUUUCCUCCAUACAAUUUCAACAAAAUCGUCCCACCAACCAUGUCUUUUGAAAUUUGCAUGCCAUUCUUUGACUUUUCAACAAUUCUCCACCUCGGCGAAAAUUUUCCAAAUCUGAGCCGACUACCAACUAACCAUCCCCAAAGUGAUCCUUCAAUAAGGAUCCAGAAUGGCUGUGUCGAUUCGACUGCCUACGUACCCAAACUGUCUUGAUUUUCUCUCUAAUUGAAAGCAUAAAGUAUUUCAAUCAAAUUCUGUACCAGGAAUACGUAAAAGUUACUAAUAUUUUAUUUCCAUCUGUUCGCAUUGAUAACUCGGCGGCAUAUGUGUUGUGCGCGGAAUGCGGAAUCAAGCGCGCCAAAUAAUUAUAGAAAAAUAAAGGACACAAGAAUUACGUGGUUCGGGAAGCAGUUGGCAGCAAAUUCAUAUGGAGUGUAGACAAUGAUGAGCAAAAAGGUGAUUCUCAAUUUCUUUUUUUUUUAAAGUGAAAUUAUUUGUUAGAUUGAAGCUGAUAUUGUAAGAAGGCCAUUGAGCUAACCUAUGUCGCCACUUGCCUAGAUUGCAGGGGGUCAAGACUCAAAAGAAGCACUGAAAUUUAAAAAGCAUGCAAUAGUUCUUUUGCCAUGUAUCAAUUAAUGCAAGUUUGAAUAAAAUUAACAUAUAUCAAGACACAACUAGAAACAUCAUACUUUCGUGUAAGUUCAUUUCAGAAUAUUUCUUAGAGUUUGUAUAAAAUGAAAAGAUUUUAAAAUAUAAAUUUAAUAUUUGUUUAUUACCGUUGUUUGGUCUAAUUUCCUCGGGAGAAUUUUCAGAAUUUAUAGGACAUUAGUUUAUAAUUUUGAAAUUUUGUAACCUAAAUGUUUUUUUUUUUCGGUUACCAUUUUGUUUUCCUGCUUUAUCUACGUGUAUGUUGACUAAAACUAAUCUAUUUUGUUAAACCUUUACCACUUUAGACAUUGCACUAAAUAUGAGUUCGUGAUGCUUGCAUUUUAUUGAUGCUGAUGAUUCGUUGAAUGUUUUAUGUUUUUGAUUUUUAAGUAUUCCGGAUCGAAGUUUGUGUCUACGCGGAAAUUGUAAAGGCAGCAUAUAAAGUACUCGUCGUUCUUUAGAUUUUAUUGAGUACACUUUUUUCACAUUUAGCGUAUGCUAUACACUACUGAUUUGCGCAUUGACAUAUAACUUAUUUUAUCAUUUUGAAUGAAUUGCACGGCGAGGCUUAUCAACUUUGGAUGAAUCCUCCAAUUGUCACAGUCCAAGACUGGCUGCAGUGAGUGAAAAUUUACCCAUAUAUAUGCUGGCUAUUUUUAUUGGCGACGAAUUCGUUGUAGUUGGUCCAUCUUGCUAUUCUCGGACAAUAUUAGAGAAAAUAAUCAUAUUAUUUCGCGUGAUGUGACCUUCCAUAACUUAUCAAUUGAAUUACUGUAAAAUUAUUGUGUAAGUUUAGGCCCAAUGGCACUUUAGUUCAUCACAUGAUAGCCUGGAUUUAAAUGGAAAACUAUAUUGCAUUGCUUCAAAAAAAUAAAUUAAUGUUUUUAAUAUGAAUAUUUUUAACUAUAUUCAGUUAAAAUAAUAUAUUCUUAAUAUUAAUAUUCAUAGAUGAAAUUCUUUUGCGGAUUUAAGAAUAAAAUAUCAAAUAGUUUUAUUUUUCUUUUGUUGUGUAACUUGGACCGAAAAAGAAAAUGAGCUUAACAUGACCCUCCUUCCGGCACUAUGCAUGUUUUUCUUGUAUUGAUGACAGUGCUCUUGGUGCUUCUCAUCUGCUUCUUGCUUUGGUUUCAAACAAGUCUUUCUCCGUCAAGACAUUUAUUGUAAUUUCAUUUGGAGACAUCUGUCGUUCAAAUAUAUUUCAUAUUCAAGCUGUUGAUAAUUCUGCUUGAGAAAGCCUACAAAGCAGCUGUGUGAUGUAAUGGAAGACUAUAUAUGCAAGCGGUCAUCAGUUUCUCUUGAAUUCUUUCUUGAGUUUCUUUGAAUUAUUUGUGAAUGAGUUCUUAAUCGGCUGCUGCUCUUCAGGAAAAGGAAAGUUUUGCAAACUGGUGAAGCUGAUCGAUAAAAGCAAUGUACCAUCUUUGCUGGCAUGGAUCGAUGCCAGUGAGUAGCUCAUUGGUGGAAGUAUUGCCAGUAACAGAACCCAAAGCAAAUGAAACUAUUUCAAGGCAGCAGUUGGCGCUUGCAAGUGAAUGGAGGCCAUUGACAAAAUUCUCAAGUGGUUGCGAUGCAAUUACGAUCAUCCUCAGCCUCAUGUAAAUUCUUCUCCUGCUUUGUUUUUAUUUGUUAUCUAAUUAAGAAGCACAAAGUAUCUUCAAUCAUUUUCUGUAUCUGGAAUAUAUGCAACAGUUUCUAAAAUUUUGAAACGAGUGUAAGGAUGGUAAUUUCUGUUUUCUGCCUGUCAUCCAAUGUUAGACAACUUUCAUUGAGACUCUUGAACAGAGUCAUCUUUGCUGGCAUGGAUCGAUGCCAGUGAGUUUUUUUAUUUGUCAACCUUUUUAAUAAUGCAUAUGUGUUUCUUCAACUUGAAGCGGCAUAUAAGACGAAAGAAGUGAUCUUUAUCCAAUUGCUCCAAAUUAUUUGCAAAUUACUGAACACGAAUGCUGAUGAAUAAACUGAUGGCUCUAUGUAUGUAUGCACAUGCAUGGAGAAAUUUUAAGUCAGACAUUGACUCGUGGUACCAAAUCAUUAAAUAAUCUUGAAAUCAAAGUAAUAAUUAAAUACAAAUAAAUUGCUCGAAUUGUACAUAUAUCUGAAUCAUGUAGUGAAGAAAAUACAACAACAACAGCCAAUGGCUCAAAUUCCCUAUCAACUUCUAGUCUCAACACUUUUGAGUGUCAGAAGCAUUACUCUGCUACUAGUUAACAAACAUAUAAUUAGUAAUUUGCCAUUCACUUCCCUUUUAGGCCUAACACAUUUUCUAUAAAAGAGCCACAGAGUGAACUCAGCAGGAAACACUCAAUUUCAACCUACGUAGGACCAGGAAUUUCAACCAAAAAAAAAGUGUGCAAUUGCUUAUCCUAUCCUAUUGCUACUAGAAAGAAAGUGAACAAUUAAUUUCAGUGAAUAAAUUAAAAAAAAAAUUACUUCUGCAGAUACUCAAGCUAAGAACACAUUAACCCAUUAAAGACUCCAAAUUGCAUCAAACAAAUUGUUGUUAAACAAGUAAAACAAAGAAAGAGAGUUAAGGAAGCUGACCAAGUAGUAGGGGAGCUGAAGAAAGACUGCCAGUGAAUGUAAGAGAAAAUAAAAUGCAAGAAAUGGUGAAGUGCAGCUUUUCAUGUCAACUUGAAAUUGAGUUUUCUGUUUUUUUUUUUUUUUUUAAUCUUUUGGAUUUUUCAAACAAAGAAAAUGAGGAGCAACCAGGGAGAUAAAAAGGGCGCCAAGGCAACUGUGUGUUGGGUUUAGAGCCAAAAAAAAAAAGAAUAAGACAUCGUGUUCUUGUGGAGACCAGACCUAUUACGUAACGUCCCCUUCAAUACCACUAGUUCCGUAUCUGGUUUUUUCUUCGUCUUUUACAUAGUUUGCAAUUUUAUUCAUUUGAGCCCUACAGAUGAUAUAAGGGACAAGAGCGCAAAACAGAAACUCUGUCCACUACUGAUGAUAUAACAACGAACCGGGGUUUUUAAUUAAAUACCCUUUAAUAGUUUCAAAAUUAUUUAAAUACCUCCUCCCUUUUUAGUUUUCAUGGAUACCCUAACAAAAUUAUUUAAAAAUGGUUCAAUUUUAUUCUACUCUCAGGAAUUAAGUGUUGGAUAGACUAGAAAAUUCUGAGUACAAAGCAUCGCUUGUUUUCGUUGGUUUUUUUUUUGCAUUCCAGUAGAAAGGUUGUGUACAAUUGAAUCUGAUAACUAUGGCAGGAGGUAAGUUUUCUAACUUGCGCAUGAUGAAUAUAGUCUUUUAUUUCUUCCAUUGUAAUUUUUGUUUAAUAGAAAAUCUAUUUGAGAUUUUGUGAGAAGAAACUCAACAAUAAAGUUUGAUAGACUUUGUGGAUAUUAAGAGUUUGACAAGUAAUUGAAAUCUGAAGUUUACUGAAGUUUACGAGCAAACAAACUGAAAUCCGAAGUUUACUGAAGUUUACUAUCAAGAGUUUCAAAACAGUGAAAAAGAUGAUAUGGUUGAUGACAAAAACCUGAGUUAUCCAUAGCGACAAGUAACAUACUGAAGUAAGCCGUGGGGAGCUGGCCUGUUCAUGGGCUAUUUUUCUCUGAUGAUCUGCAUUUUUCUUCCUUUUAAGUGAACCUUGACUCGUAUCAAACCUGUCAAAAGAACAGUUCAUCAACUGAGCUGAGAUUUGCUUUCCUUUUUCAAAACCCACCUGAGAUAUUGUAAUUCCCAAAUUUCUCUCUCUCAGCUACACGAGCAAGCAGCCGCUUUUUCACUUCAUCGACGAAGGUAAGCGAUAAUAUCUAUUUCGUCCGAUUGAUUUCUUGUUUCCUUUUCAGUGUUCGGGUAAAUUAUUGGCAUGCCUGACUUUUUGACCAUUACAUGAUUCAUAAAUUUAUAUUAAUUUUGAUUUUGAGUUGACCGGUUACUUUUAUUGGUUUGCUUACUUUGACUAGGUGACCGAUUUCUUGUAACUAAAUUUAUGACGUGAUGCAGGAAGCUGGGCAGGAUAUGAAAUGAGAAUCUUAUUAGUGGAAGGAUUGCCAGUAACAGAACCCAAAGAAAAUGAAACCAUUUCAAGGCAGCAGUUGGCAGUUGGGAGUGAAUGGAGGCCCCUGACAAAACUUCAGUAAACUUCAGAUUUCAGUUUGUUUGCUCGAAACUUGCAUGGUGACAAGGAUACUGGCAAGGAUAAUGAGAUAGUUUUUGUGUGAAUGAAAUUACGAUCAUCCUCAGACUCAGGUAAUUUCUUCUCCUGCUUAGUUGUUAUUUGUUACCUAAUUAAGAAGCAUAAAGUAUCUUGAAUCAUUUUCGUUGUCUGGAAUAUAUGCAACAGUUUUUAAAAUUUUGAUAUCAGUGUAAUGAUUGUAAUUUCUGUUUUCUGUCUGUCAUCGAAUGUAAGACAACUUUAUUAAGAUUCUUGAACCGAGUCAUUUUUGACAAUUGAAGAACAAGUGCUGAAGAGUGGGAAUGCAAAAAGUUUUGUUGUUUUUAGCCUUGUUUUCUUUGAACCAGCGCCUGAUUCACAAGAGUUCAUUAAUUUGGCUUUUGAUCAGCUGAUUGAUAAAUGUUCAAUUUCUUUGGUGAUAAAUGUAUAUGUGAAGCAGGCAGCAGGGCAUGACUGUGGAAAAGAGAAGAUUUUAGUGAAAGCUGAGACUCAGAUAAUUCUACGCGUUUUGGCUGAUUUAUAUAAUUCGUGAAAUUUUAUUUCCAUCUGUUACAAGAUCAAACUGCAAUUAGCAAUUUAACAUUCCCUUAAAACCACUAGCUACAUUUCAUCUUUGCACAAUUACACUUAAAAUUCCACUAAAAGAAACUCUUGAGUUGCUCGCAAGCUAUAUGUCAUUAUCCAUUGAAUUCUUACCACAUACAUCUCACCUUUCAAUCAAUCACAUAAUAAUCAAUAUACAUAUUGUAAGAAUUCAACAAAUGGAGAACAUAAUAUACUAUAAAAGCAUCCAAAAUUUUUCCAUCUCAAAUUAUUACUAAACUUCUUGAACAAGUUGAAGAUUGGGGGGAAAAAGUGCAAGAAGGAAAAGCAUUAUUCUACUAGUUUCUAGGUUUCUCAUUUGAACAGAAAGAUUAAAUAAGAUAUUUGUGUAUGGCUGUAGUACUACACGGUAUCUGCUAGAAAGCAAAAUACCUUCUGCUGAUUGCACAUUGGAAUGGGAAUAAGUUGGUAAAUAUAUAAGUUACAUAAAUUAUUUUGGAUAAUUCUGCUGGUGAAUUAAUUAUCUUAAAAUCACCCUUUUAUUUUUUAAAAAAUCUUAAGUUAUUUUUCAUAUAUCUUAGGAAGACAAACAAACUUUCAUCAACUCUCCUUUUUUAGCUUUUCCCUUCAAUAAUGUUAGAAAUUCUAACAUUUGAGUCCUGCUUGAGCUUAAUACUAUUUAUCACUCAUUUAUUAGAUGAUGAAUUUUUUAAAUUAUAAAGUUAUUUGACUACCAUUCAAUGAAUGAAUGUCACAUCAUUUAAAACUCAAAGAAAAGUAUUCUACUUCUUGCGGCAAUCAUGCCUUCAUUCAGACUAUGAACCAUUUCCUUUCACCAAAUUCUUCAUAAACAUUGAAUAAGUUUCAUGGUUGGACAUAGUUAGCUUCUGUUUCUUUUGGUGCAUUUAGGUGCUAUCAAGUGACGGCCGUAAGUAUGAUUGCAUUAUUGGGAAUUUUACGAUUUGAUGGUUCCCCACGUUAUUGCCAAGAAAGUUCUCAUGUCGGAAGCAGCGGUUCUUUUCAUCAGCCUGAACCCGAACCUGUCGCUAUGGAUAACUCAGGUUUUUGUCAUCAACUAUAUCAUCUUUUUCACUGUUUUGAAACUCUUAAUAUUAAACUUACAGUAAACUUCAGAUUUCAGUUUGUUUGCUCGAAACUUGUAUGGUGACAAGGAUACUGGCAAGGAUAAUAAGGUAGUUUUUUGUGUGAGUGGAUUUUGAGAGCUUGUGUGUAUAGGGAUUUGCAAUUACAAUCAUCCUCUGCCUCAGGUGAUUUCUUCUCCUGCUCUGUCUUUAUUUGCUCUCUAAUUGAAAAGCAUAAAGUAUUUCAAUCAAAUUCUGUACCAGGAAUAUGUAAAAGUUCCUAAUAUUUUAUUUUCAUUUGUUUGCAUUGAUAACUUGACGGCAUAUGUACUAGUUAAAGAACAAACAGAAUCAGAGCUCAAGAAAAAGUUUUUUCUGCCAUCAUAUUUGAAAAUGAAGUCAUUUGCAGGAAGCGGUUGGCAGCAAAUUCAUACAAAGUGUAGACAAUGAUGAGCAAAAAAGGUGAUUCACAGUUUGAUUUUUUUUUAAUAAUGAAAAUAAUUUGGUAGGUUGAAGCUGAUAUUGUAAGAGGGCCAUUGAGCUAACCUAUGUCGCUACUUGCCAAGAUUGCAGGGCGUUAAGACUCAAAAGAAGCACUGAAUUUUAAAAGGCAUGCAAUAGUUCUUGUGCCAUAUGUCAAUUCAUGCAAGUUGGAAUAAGUUUAUUGGUUUGAACGCUGUUAGCUCCUUUUCCUUUCGUGCAUUUUGGUAUGCUAUCAAGUGACAGCCGUAUGUAUGGUUUGCAUAUAGCUGCUGCUGGGAAAUGUGAGGAUUUCAUGGCUGGCCGUGUUAUUGUUUUAAAUUAGAUGUGAUAAGCUGUUGCUUGGAGAUUCUGUUGCCAAGACUUUGCUCACAUCAGAAGCUGUGGAACCUCAACCCUUCUCUAGAUAUCAUCUUUUUCAUUGUUUUAAAACUCUCAGGAUUAAACUUGAGUAAAUUUGUUCGGUUGUCUAUAUAAUCAUGUAUUGAGUAAACUCUCAGGAUACCGAGCAGGCAAAUGCCAUAACUCGGUUUGUUCUUCAAAAACUUGUUUAAGAUUCUUGACAAAGCUGCAUGAAGUGAAUCUUGGGAGCUUUGAGGGUGAGAGAAAUUAGAGGGUGUAUAGGGAUUUGGGUUUAUUAGUAAGUUAUAUAUGUAUUUCGUCACUUAUCAUUAUCAUUUUUAUUUUCACAGAAAACCUUCUGAUGGUGCUAAAUUUUCAAACACCGGUCCGAUUCAAAACUUCAUAUUCCAAUUAUAUUCAUAAGACAAAUGGAACACUUUGAACGGCUAGUGUCCGAGCAUUGUAGUUUGAUUUAUUUUGAUGAAAGUACCUUUUGACAUUGAGAUUCUUUCAUGAUUUAAACAUUCUUUUUUAAACCAAAUUAUUAAAAAAAGUAACUAACAUAUAUUAUUUUAUUAGUGCUUUUUAAAUCAAAUAUACAUAGGAGAACUGUAAUUCUUAGCAAUCAAUUUUUCACUAAAUACACCUGCAAUAAACUAUUAAUAACAAAGUGAUAGAAAAUACCUGAUUUUUCAUACUUUCUAAUUUCUUGUGGUCCUAAAAUAUGGGCAUUUGUGUAAUAAUUAGCCCAUGUGGAUCUCUAUGCCAUGAGUUUGAUAAAUAGCUAUCAAGGAUCACUUAUUAAGCUGAAAAUAUUUGGAGGACAAAAUUGUAAAACUAAAAGGGUAGAGCAAAUAUGGCUAUCUAGGAUUAAAUAGUAAGUCAACUAUAUUUAAAGGAUAAAAUGUUAAAACUUGAACUGUGAUAUUAAAAAUAUCUCAACUAUUACAUUAUUAAACCAUAUGUUCUAAUAGUUUUUUUUUAAGCUUCAAAAUGUUCAGGAUUUUAGAUUGAAACAUUUUCAUUUGAAAUUAUUUGGUGCAGUCACAAGUUAAGAAAGAAAAAGUUGUCCCAUUGGUCAUUUCACAAAAAUGAAAGCCCUGUAUAACAUGGACUUGAAUGGAAGCCCAAUUGUUUGUGUUUGAUUAAUUGAUUUCAAGCUUUAUCGGAUCUUUGGACCUGGAUACUUUACCGCGGCCUCUAAGCGCUAUAAUUUUUUUUUUUUUGGGAUAAACGGCGCUUCAAUGAGGGCAUUUCCAAUACUUAACACUAUUUUGGUGUAACACCAACACUAAAAAUGUACAUUUUUCACACUAAAUUACUAUUUAAUCUCCAACCCAUUUGAUCUACCAUGAUUGUGACUCCCACUGGGGCCACGUUCUGUUGAUCACCCUCUCGUCACCGAUAGCGCCUCCGCUUGUGGCGAACUUGCUUGUCUAUUUUCCCUAUUUUUCCGCUUACUCUCCUCAUUUAAUACGGAGGCUGCAACAUCAUCGAAAACUAGACUGUCCACUGAAUUGUAGUUUGUCAGGUUGACGAUGAGUUGUUCAUACGAAUCUUAUAGACUUUGAAGUAGAAGCUCUGCAUGUACAUUAUCCUCUAUAUUAUGACCCAACGUUGUGAGUUGUGAAAAUAGAGUCUUCAAGGUGUUGAUGUGGUCGGUCACCAUUGUAGAUUCCACCAUUCGAAGAGUAUAAAGUCUCCUCUUCAAAAAGAUUUUGUUGUGUAGUGACUUGGCCUCGUACAAUUUUGUAAGAGUAUCUCAUAUUUCCUUUGCUGUAUUUUUCUCUGCCACACUGGAUAAUACUCCAUCCGCAAGUGCCAAGUGUAGAUCAGAAAUAGCGUUGCCAUCUAUCUCAUUCCACUUGUCAUCAGUUAUCUCCAUGGGCCUUUCUCCAAUUGCUGCCAAACAAUUAUUUUUCCUCAAUACAACUUUCAUCUUCAUUUUCCACAAUGAAAAAUUAUUUCCGUUAAACUUCUCAAUUUCAUAUUUUGCUGCCAUUUUUUUGAUAAAUACCGCACACAAGUUAGUGUAUCACCUUGAAUAGUUGUCGGUAUGUGUGAGAAUGCACACCAGGAAAGUUCCCAGGAAAGACUGGAGGGGUCACACUGGUCCACUUAAAACUCAGACUCCUUAAGCACUUAUCGCGUUUGUAACAGAACUUUCCUAGACAUGUACAAAACCACACAGUUGCUUUUACUUACACCACUAUUUCCUACUUUGCAGUGCAAAAGUUCUUGGAUCGCUCCCAUCGUUUCUCGUGAACAGUACCAUAUACGUGAACAGUGCCACAUACAUGAAUAGUACCGUAUACGUGAACAGUACCGUAUACGUGAAUACUACCCUUUACGUGAACAGUACUUGACUCCAAAAAAUUCAACCAAUAGCUUUGAUACCACUGUUAGGAAAUUGGUAGGUGAAGCAGACACGCAGCUAAAAUAAAAUUGGAAGAAAAUAAAGAACAAGUACAAAGUGGACACCAAGAAAUUACGUGGUUCGGCUUUUAGCCUACGUUCACGGGCGAAGAUAGAAGGAAAAUAUUAUACUAGUGAUAUGAAGAUUACAAGUAUUGUAAUAUUUUGGCUCACUAUCCAAAACCCCAAUACACUCAAUCUCUCACUCAAUAAACUCUCAGGAGCUUUAUUAUUUUAAGCUCUUAAAAUCUCUCAAGCUUUCUCCUUAUUAUUCUCUCACAAAUUGUAUGCUAAAAUUAGGGUGGGAAGCCCUCUUUAUAUAUCCAAGAUUUUGGCUCUUUUUUUUUUAUAUAACAAGUCAACACGGCACCAUUAAGAAUGGCGAGCCAUGUUGAAUGGCAUGGCACCGCCCAUCUAGAUGGCCGGUGCCAACCAUGACUUUAACAUUCUAUCACUUGGAGAUUUGAUUGAGAAUCAAUCAAUCUCCACAUCAUCCUUUCUACUUCGCCAUAAUCAUGUUGCCUACGUUUUUACUAGGCCACAAGAGGAUCUACUCCAGUUAAACUUAUCAAUAUUGAUUGGCUUAGUCAAAACAUCUGCUAGGUUCUCCUUCGUAUGGAUUUUUGCAAAUUGACACUUCCAUCUUCCACUACUUCUCGAACGAAGUGAUACUGAACUCCUAUGUGCUUUGUCUUGGAAUGAAAGGCUGGAUUCCUUGCAAUGUGCAAGGCACUCUGACUGUCACAAAACACAGGAAUUUUCUGUUGUUUGUGCCCGAGCUCCUCCAAUAAUCUUUGUAUCCAAAUAGCUUCCUUGCAAGCUUGUAUAGCUGCCAUGUAUUCUGCUUCUGUUGUAGAUAAAGCCAGAACGGUCUGCAGUUUCCAAACCCAACUUACAACUCCUCAUGCAAAUGUAAACACAUAACUAGUAGUGGAUUUCCUUUUAUCAAGGUCUCCUGCAAAAUCUGAAUCCACAUAGCCCCUGACAGUAAACUCUGAUCCUCAAUAACAUAAUACAACAUCUGAGGUUCCUCUUAUGUAUCUCAGAAUCCUCUUCACAGCUAUCCAAUGCUGUCCACCAGGAUUCACCAUGUAUCGACUGAUUGCUCCCACUGCUUGUGCAAUGUCUGAUCUUGUACAUAUCAUAGCGAACAUCAAACUUCCCACUGCUGAUGCAUACGGUACUUGAGACAUCUCCUUCCUCUCUGCUUCAUUGCUAGGACACAUACUUGAGGAUAAUUUGAAAUUAACAGGAAGUGGGGUAGAAAUUGACUUACAAUCUUGCAUGUUGAAGCGCCACAAGAUUUUCUUCAAGUAGUUAUUCUCAGAAAGCCAAAUCUUUCUGUUAUUUCUGUCUCAGUGAAUUUGCAUCCCUAGAAUCUUGUUUGCUGGUCCCAAGUCCUUCAUUUCAAACUCCCUAGCCAACAGUGCCUUCACUUCUUGGAUUCGAUCUUUGUCGGGGCCUGCUACCAACAUGUCAUCCACAUAUAACAACAAAAUAAUGAAAUCAUUAUCUUCAAACCUUUUGUAAUAUGCACAAUGGUCUGAACUGAGUCUGUUAUAUCCAAGACUCAUGAUGAAGGAAUCAAAUCUCUUAUACCAACACCUCGGCGCCUGUUUGACACCGUAUAGAGAUUUGUUCAACCUACAAACCAAGUUUUCCUUUUCUGUUUCUGCAAAACCUUCUGGUUUGAGCAUAUAAAUUUUCUCUUCAAGUUCUCCAUGAAGAAAUACAGUUUUCACAUCUAACUGCUCUAGAUGUAGGUCAAAUAUAGCACACAUUGCCAAGACUACUCUGACUGUUGUGAGUCGAACCACCGGAGAAAAUAUCUCGUUGAAGUCAAUACCUUCUUUCUGAGCAUAUCCUUUCACCACCAAUCUUGCACGAUACCGCUCCACUUGAUCAUUGCCAUCACGUUUGAUCUUGUAGACCCAUUUGUUUCCAAUGACUUUUCUUCCAUGUGGUAGUGGUACAAGUUCCCAUGUCUUAUUUUUAUGUAGAGCUUCAAUUUCUUCCUGCAUUGCUGUCAUCCACAAAGCAACAUUUGAACUUUCUAAAGCUUCAUGGAAAGUUGAUGGCUCUCCAUCCUCUGUUAGAAGACAGUAUGCAACAUGGAUCUCUGUGACAUACUCCGAGUGCCACGCUGGCGAUCGUCUCUCACCAAUUGACCAAAGAACUUCUGGAGUCUCAGACUCGACUGGUUCUUGUUCCUCGUGCUCUGGUGCUGCUUUAGAAGAAUCUGAAUCUUCUAGAUUAUUUCCACAUAUACCGGCACAGUUUCUGACUUUUCUUUUACAGUGUCAUCAUCUCCAUCUUUCCUUUACAGUUGAUCUUCUACAAAAAUAACAUCUCUGUUGAUGACGAUCUUGUGGGCAGUGGGGUCCCACAAACGAUACCCCUUUACUCCAUUAGCAUAUCCCAAGAAGAUACAUCUUCUAGAUUUUGGAUCCAGCUUUGUUCUUUCUUACGGAUUGUACAUCACAUACACAGGACAUCCAAAUGCAUGUAAGUAGGAAUAAUCAGCUGGCUUUCCAGUCCACAUCUCCACGUUGUCUUCAGCCCAAUAGCUGUAGAUGACGACUGAUUUACUAUAUAACAAGCAGUUUUGGCUGCUUCUUCCCAAAAUGAAUUGGGUAGACCAGCAGUCCUCAACAUAGCUCUUAUUCUUUUGUAAGAGUUUUGUUCAUCUACUCCGCCACUCCAUUUUGUUGAGGAGUGUAUGCUACCGUGAACUGUCUAUGAAUACCUUCUUACUUACAGAAAGCAAGAAACUCACCGUCUGUAUACUCUCCACCAUUAUCUGUCCUCAAGCACUUGACCCUUUUACCAGAUUCAAGUUCCACCCGCGCUUUGUAUUCUUUAAAUACUGGAAAUAUAAUUGACUUUUUCAUAAUUGGAUACACCCAACAUCUCCUGGAAUAAUCAUCAAUGAAAGUCACCAUAUACUUUGCACCUCCCAUGGAUAUAUCCAGUGAUUCCCAAACAUCAGAAUGAAUCAAGUCUAAAAUGCAUUUACUUCUAGCAAUAGAUUUACUGAAUUUUAAUCUAUGCUGCUUACUUGUAACACAAUGCUCGCAAAAUGGUAAACUUACCGAUUUAAGCCCCGGAAGUAAUUUUCACUCAGAGAGAAUCUUCAAACAUUCUGACAUGUGACCAAAUUUGAGAUGCCACAUCAUCGUUGACUCUUCUCCAUUUGAUACGAGACACGCAUUAGCCUCCUAUAGUGUUUCUCCUUUAAGCAUGAAUAGAUUAGCACCGAUCUUUUCUGCCUUCAUCAAUACAAGCGCUCUUUUAACAAUUUUCGUAAUUUCAUUCUCCAUAUGAGUUUUAUACCCAUGACUAUCCAUUUGUCCCAAAGACAAUAGAUUUUUAUUCAGGUCAUUGACAUGUCGUACCUCCCCAAUUGUGCGAAUUGUACCAUCAAAAUUUUUAUUUUGAUAGUGUCAAUACCAGCGAUCUCCAAGGUAUGAUCAUUACCCAUAUAUAUAGAUCCUCCUGAGAUAUGUUCAUAUGUGUGGAACCAUUCUCUCCGAGAGGUCAUGUGCCAGGUAGCUCCUGAGUCUAUAAUCCAGACAUCAGAUAGUCGUUUUCUACCUUCUAAAACAGUUGUUGCCUCGCUUUAGAGAAUUUCACCAUUAUCUGAAGUACUUGCUACACACCCUUGAGCAUUUGAUGACUCAGGUUAUUUGCCCUCUCUUCUCUUCUGGUUACUCCAACACUUUUUCUUGACGUGCCCUUUCUUGCCACAGUUGUAGCAUUUAACAUUCUUCUUACUUCUGGAUUUUGAUCUACCAUGAUUAUGACUUCUACUGGGGUCACGUUCUGUUGAUCUCCCUCUCGUCACCAAUAGCGUCUCCGCUUGCUGCGAACUUGCUUGUCUGCUUUCAUUAUUUUUCCGCUUACUCUCCUCAUUUAAUACGGAGGUUGCAACAUCGUCGAAAACUAGACCGUCCGCUGGAUUGUUGUUUGUUAGGUUGAUGAUGAGUUGAUCAUACGAAUCUGGUAGACUUUGAAGUAGAAGCUCUGCAUGUACAUUAUCCUCUAUAUUAUGAUCCAACGUUGUGAGUUGCGAAAAUAGAGUCUUCAAGGUGUUGAUGUGGUCGGUCACCAUUGUAGAUUCCACCAUUCGAAGAGUAUAAAGUCUCUUCUUCAAGAAGAUUUUGUUGUGUAGUGACUUGGCCUCGUACAAUUUUGUAAGAGUAUCUCAUAUUUCCUUCGCUGUAUUUUUUUCUGCCAUACUGGAUAAUACUCCAUCCGCAAGUGCCAAGUGUAGAUAAAAAAUAGCGUUGCCAUCUAUCUCAUUCCAUUUGUCAUCAGUUAUCUCCAUGGGCUUUUCUCCAAUUGCUGCAAAACAAUUAUUUUUCCUCAAUACAGCUUUCAUCUUCAUUUUCCACAACAAAAAAUUAUUUCCGUUAAACUUUUCAAUUCCAUACUUUGCCGUCAUUUUGUUCAUAAAUACCGCACACAAGUUAGUGUACCACCUUGAAUAGUUGUCAGUAUGUGUGAGAAUGCACACUAGGAAAGUUCUCAGGAAAGACUGGAGGGGUCACACUGGUCCCACUUAAAACCCAAACUCCUUAAGCUCUUAUCGCCUUUGUGACAGAACUUUCCUAGACAUGUACAGAAUCACACAGUUGCUUUACUCACACCACUAUUCCCUGCUUUGCACCGCAAAAUUCUUGGAUCGCUUCCACCGUUUCUCGUGAACAGUAUCGUAUACGUGAACAAUGUCGUACAUGUGAAUAGUAUCAUACAUGUGAAUAGUAUCGUAUACGUGAACAGUACCGUAUACAUGAAUACUACCCUUUACGUUAAGAAAUUGGUGGGUGAAGCAGACACGCAGCUAAAAUAAAAUUGGAAGAAAAUAAAGAACAAGCACAAAGUGGACACCAAGAAAUUACGUGGUUCGACUUUUAACCUACGUCCACGGGCGAAGACGGAAGAAAAAUAUGAUACUAGUGAUAUGAAUAUUACAAGUAUUGUAAUAUUUUAAUUUACUACCCAGAACCCCAAUACACUCAAUCUCUCACUCACUAGACUCUCAGGAGCUUUAUUAUUUUAAGCUCUUAAAAUCUCUCAAGCUCUCCUUAUUAUUCUCUCACAAAUUGGAUGCUAAAAUGAGGUGGGAAGCCCUCUUUAUAUAGCCAAAAUUUUGGCUCCUUUUUUUUUUUUAUAACAAGUCAACACGGCACCACCAAGAAUGGUGGGCCGUGUUGAAUGGCAUGGCACCGCCCAUCUAGAUGGCCGGUGCCAACCAUGACUUUAACAUUAUAGUCCAAGUUUUCGAGGACCACUAUAUUGUAUUGAUUUAAAAAAAACUAAUAUUUUUAAUAUUAAUAUUCUAAAUUAUAUUCAGUUAAAAUAUUAAAUAUUAAAAACAUUCUUAAUAUUAAUAUUCUUAGAUGAAAUUAUUUUGCUGACUUAAGAAUAAAAUAUUAAAUAAUUUUAUUUUUCUUUUAUUGUGUAACGUGGACCAAAAAAAAGGAAAUGAAUUUAAUAAAACCUUCAUUCAAAACCUUCAUUCCGCCACCAUGCAUGCAUGUUAAUUGUUUCCAAAUUCCAACCUCCGUACUCUCUUGAGGAGUUUCCCAUUCAUCAAUUAUUAUUUUUUAUAAUCCAUACCAUCCUGAUAUAAUUAAACACCAUUAAUAAUGUACCAGCCUUUAAAUAGUAAUUAAUUUAUUUAGUUGGCCACCUAAAAGAAUCCUGCAGGAAAUAGAGGUUAAAAAUUUUAUUAAAUUUGCUUACCGCUGUAUCAUUAUAUAUAUAAAGAGUGAAAUCUAAAUGAAAUUUUUUAUCAUCCAUUCAGCAAACACUUAUAAUUCACAAAUAGUGAAUCUAUGCAUUGACAAUGUGGAUUAAGAAUUAUAACACAUGAAUUCAAACAUACCCUUGUGAAGUUAAGAAUAAGUUCAUACUUCAAAUGAUUUUUUAGCUAAUAAAGCAAUCAGUUUCAUUAAACGACAGCGUUGAAGGAAUUGUGCAAUUUUUUACGUUCUUUUCUAGACAGACGUUACAGAAAUGGGGUAAGUAGAGGGCUGGCCUCAGAUAUCUCACAAUUGUUAGUGAGAUAAAAUGUUAUUGUAAAAGGCGUUUAAUAGAAUAAUAUUAAUUCUUUUGCAUUGUUAUAAAAAUAUUUUUUUCUUUUGACAGUUCUGCAGGACAAGUGAUCAGAGCUCAAUGAAUAUAGCCGUGGAGGCACAGCAGAGCAGGAUUAUGAAAAAGAGAAGCUUAUUACAGGUCAUUCAAGUUUACUUGCUUUUAUAUAAUAAGUGUUUUGGCCGAUUUAUCUAAUUCACCAAAUGUUUUUUCCGGUACAUAUCUCCAUUGGUAUCAAGAAGAGGCAGAACCCAAAGAAACGUUUCUUGCAUCUUCAUAUUUGUGCGCAUUCAUCCUUUCAUUGAGAAUAACCAUUUCCAGGCAGCAGUUGCCAAUCAAUUCGCACGUCGAUGCUAUUCAUAGAUAUUAAAGACAAUGAUGAACCAAAGGUGAUAAAUCAUAAAUGCAUAAUUACCAAACCUCCAUCCUUCUCUCAUUAUGAUUUGAUUUUAAAUGAAUUAUUGCUUGGUAACAUUAUUUCCAACCAUUGCAAGACCUUUUUUUUUUUUUGGGAGAAAUUUCAAUUGAAAGUGAAACCUUUAGACAUUUACCUAAUGAAGUUAGUUAAUCGGGAGGGUGGAAAAAAAAAAGUUGACGCAAGUCAAUACACAAUAAUGAUUAAUUAAAUCCGGAGUGACUAAAACAGAGCCACUACUUUUUCAAAAAUAUCUGCAUUCAUCACUUUCUCCAGCAGCUAGUCAGCUACACACGAAUCAAUUUCUCUCCUCGUUUGUCAUCCAAAAUUAUUCACCAAUACCAUGGCUGAUGCAAUCGUUUCCACUAUCUUGGAGCAGCUGAUUUCCUUCGCUGCUGAAGAGAUAAAACAACAGGUGAUCGAAGUUACACCCCUCAUAUUACAAAUACUUCCAAUGAUUUUAAUUGGUUUUGUUUUUAUCAAAAACAUUAUAUAUUUUUGCUUUUUUUUAUUUAUCUGAUAAUUUUAUAUUUUGAAAUUUGAAUUGAAUUUAAUUAAAAGGUGAUGUAGUAACCACUCAUUUUUAUUUUAUUUCAUUUAUAUUCUCGAUAACUAACCAUAUUUUGGUAACUUAAUAUAACUCUCGUACAUAAGAAAUGAUCCAAACCCACAAUUUUAACUCUGUAUAAAUAUUCAACGUUGAGUCAUUAAUUCUCAACUCAGCACUGAAUCCCAUAGCUAUUACUUAGACUCUAUGAAAAAUUUCAUAGUUUUCUUACAUUCUUUGAGUUUGGUAAGUGAUUUCGUAUAAUUUCUUUUCAAGUUAAAUUUUAAUUUGGUUUAUGAUAUAGUCUCUGUGCCGAAUUGUAUCUUUUAUGAUUCUUGGAUUUUGGGCUCCAACUUUUUAGGAUUUGAUAGUCACAUUUUAUGCCAUGCUCAGAUUGAUUUUCAUGAUUUUAACUACCCGUUAAGUGGCUUACAAUUUGACAAAAGUUUGAAAGGAAAUAUGUUUCAGGAUUCUGUUUUAAUUGACCUUUAAGUAGAAAUAGGAUGCUUAUAACUUAAUGUGGAUGGUUUGUAAAAUCAUGAAAUUCGGAUAGGAUUCACUAGAAAUAUGUACAAGACUCUCCAUAAAGUUUCAUAAUUUUUCAUUCGGUAUGGGGUGGUACAGGUGAAACUUGUGGUUGGUGUUGAAAAAGAAGUGAAAAGCAAGUUGUGCUCGAUGAUGCAGAGGAAAAGCAAGUGAAGGACAAAGCUGUUAGUCUUUGGCUGGGUAGACUCAAGUACGCAUCCUACGACAUUGAAGAUGUGUUGGAUGAGUGGAUCACAGCAAGACGCAAAUUGCAAAUUGAGGGUGGCGUUGAUGAAAAUGCUCUUGUUGUUCCUCAUAAGAAAAAGAAGGUAUGUCUCUACUUUCCCGGCUCUUGUUUUGGAUUCAAACAAGAAGAAUUUGGUUUCAAACAAGUCUUUCUCCGUCAUGACAUUGCCGACAAGAUCAAAGAAAUCAAUGAAGAGCUACAUGAUAUUGCCGCUCAAAAAGACAUGUUUGAUCUUGUUAAGAGUGGCAAUAAAAGUAGUGAAAGACCAAGGCGUGUACAGAGUACCUCCUUGAUUGAUGAAGAAGAGAUUUGUGGCAGAGUUGGUGAGAGGAAUGAACUCUUAAGCAAGCUGUUGUGUGAGAGUAGCGAGCAACAAAAAGGCCUUCAUAUCAUCUCAAUCGUUGGUAUGGGAGGCAUAGGGAAAACAACUCUUGCACAACUAGCUUGUAAUCAUGACGAGGUGAAGAGAAAGUUCGACAAAAUUCUGUGGGUGUGUGUAUCAGAAACUUUUGAGGAGUUUAGGGUUGCCAAAGCGAUCGUUGAAGUUUUGGAUGGUCGUGAAUCUCAUUUAGCUGAAUUCCAUUCUCUUCUUAUAAGUAUUGAUAAAUCUAUUGCGGGAAAGAGAUUUCUUCUUGUCUUAGAUGACGUAUGGGACGGAGAUUACAUUAAGUGGGAACCGUUCUACCGUUCCCUAAAGAAUGGUCUCCAAGGAAGUAAAAUUUUGGUUACUACACGUAAGGAGUCAAUUGCGUUUAUGAUGGGAUCCAUUGAUAUUAUCUCUAUCAAGGGAUUGGCCGAAGAAGAAUGUUGGUCGUUGUUUAAGCGGUUAGCAUUUUUCGGUCGAUCCAUUGAGGAAUGUGGAAGAUUGGAACAAAUUGGACAAAGAAUUGCAGGAAAGUGUAAAGGCUUACCUCUUGCAGCAAAGGUAAUAGGGAGUCUCAUGCGUUCUAAAAAAACUGAAGAAGAGUGGCAAAGAAUCUUAAAUAGUGAGCUAUGGAAAAUAGAAGAGAUCGAGAAAGGUGUUCUAAC